UGAAAAGGUAAUUGUUAAGAAGAUGAUAAUAACAGCUUGUUGGUGUAUACAAGUGACACCUAAUGACCGUCCUUCAAUGGGCAAAGUCUUGCAGAUGCUUGAAACAGAUGUCGAGCUCCUUCAAAUGCCCCCCAAACCUUUUCAACUUCCUUUUGAAGUAUCAACUAAGGAUCAUGUUGAUGACAAUCCAAGCAAGGAUCCAACUUCAUCACUUUUUUCUUCAAAUGCAAUUAGUUUAAAUAUAGCCUAAGCUAUUAAACUUUUCAUUUUUAUCACGUUACCAUUGUACUUUGGUAAUAAGAAAAAAAUCAUAUCCCUCCAAAGCCUAGAAUUUUGUAUUCUAAUUUCCAAACUUUGCUCUGUAUUUUGAGCUCUAUUUCUAUGGGUUUUCUUUUUUUUUUUUCCAUUUUGUGCUUUAUUUCAUAAUAUCCUUCAUUUUUGUUCUUUUGACCUCUGCUAUUAUUUCUUUUGUUAAGCUUAACCUUCUCACUCUUUGUAGGAAUGGCUUUGAAAAAUUAAAAAAUGGUAAUGGAAGCAAGAACUCCAUAAGAUUUAAAUUCCAAGACAAAGGCCAGGCCCUAGUGUUUGCCUUCGUUUUGUGAUUUAAGUCCAACGAUGUCAAAGAUAAAAAAGAGAAUAGAAAAUGGGAAAAGCUAUGUUAUUACUUCUAAAAUCAGCAUUAUGUUGAAAUAAAAUCUUACUCUCCUUUCUUUUAUUUUAUUCUAAUAAAAUUUCAUUAAUUUAUACAAAUUAUGGAACCAUUUAUUUAUUUAGUUAGACAUGAAAUUUUGAGGAUUUUCUGAUUGCUUUCUAGCUAAAUCUGGAUAGAUUUUCAAUGAAAUUUCUAUGAUUUUUCAUUGAAAAUUAGACAGAUUUUUGAUAAAAUUUUAAGGAAUUUUUGACAAAAUUGUAUCAGAUUUUUACUGAAUUUCAACAAAACUAACAUCUCAAAAUUUAAAUUAUUUAAAUGAACGUUAAAAGAAUUUAUACCCUUUUGUCGGAAAAGUUUUUUUUUCAUUUUUGACGUAAAACAUUUUUGACUUAAUUUUUUUUCAAAAUUCUAACAAAAAUUUCAAUCAAAUAUUUGUUGAAAAUAUAACUUUUUUCAACAAAAAAUUUCAUAAAACUUAAAAAAUAUUUUAUUUUAUUUUAUAAAUAACAAAUGAAACUUGGGAAAUCAGAUACUUAUAAACCUUCACUAUGGGAUCAACUACCCUUCUCUACUCCUCGGCAUUUCAAAGGGAUUCUUAGACAGAUUAAUGGCUUGAUGAAAAGAACUAGGAACUGCUCUGUUACCGACAUCUCUUGUGAAACCAACUAUCUCGCGGAUCGCCUGGCCAAGCUUGCAGUUGAUCGAACUUCUCAUCGCAUCUAAGUAUUCGAUUCUUGGUAUUGUAUUAUUUGCUGUUUCAGGGACUGUUAUUCUUAGUCUGUUGUUGCUUUUGUAUUUGAUUUGUGGGAUCUCUUUUUUCUGAUGAGACUUUGACCAUUUUUUAAUGAAGUUCUACCAUUCAAAAGAAAAAAAAAAACCUUCACAAUGAGAAUAUAGGUCAAGCAUAAAAAGUGAGAGUUGGGUCUCUUGCAUUCCUCGCCCAACAUAUAUUGUAGGCCACACAACAAAAAGAAACUUAAGCAAUGAUUGCCAAGUCUAAGACCAAUAAGUAAUAAGGUUAAAGAUAAGAGAAUAUAUCAAAAAUGAAAUAGCAUGAGAUAUAAGCUAAGCAUAAAAAGCCUACAUGAGAUAUCAAUGUAUGGGAAAGUUUAUUAUUAAAUACAAAACAACUUUGGAUAAGAAAAAUAAGGUAAAUAAAUAAAUAAAGCAAGAGAAAGUAAAAGGAAUCAUUCCUGUAAAACUUUUCUUAGCAAUCAUUAAACUUUAACCUUUCAUGGGUUUGGGUGGGCUUCAUGUGGGCUCUGUACAAUAUUCAAGAUCAAGAAGGAAAUUUACUUUCCAAUUUUUUUUAAAAGGUCCUUUUAGCUGCCAAGAAAACAAGAUUUCUCAUCAUUACUAAUAAUUAGACCUGUCAAUAUAGGCCAGCUCGGCUCAGCCCGACCCAAAUCUUUGUAGGUUGAAAAAAUAUGAGUUAGGUUGGCCAGUCGAUAUUUUAUAUGGGCUGUCAAAUCUCUAACCCAGCCCAUCCCUUUCUAGCCCAUGGGUCGAGCUGGGCAGUCCAUUUUUUUCAAAUUUUUUUUUACUCUUUAUCAAUAAAAUUAUGCAAUGAUUUAACUCAUAAAUUGAAUAAUUAAAACAUGUUCAAACAAAUAAAUUACACUAAAUAUAAAUAAGCAAAUACACUACAUCAAAUAUAAACACAAUUUCAAUAUUUAACAUAAUUACACAAACUACAAUCCCAUUAACAUAACUACAUAAGUACAUAAUCAAAUAUUUAUAAACUUCAAGACUAAUUUAUGCUCUUCUCAAUCUUCAUCCUCAAUCAAAAUAUUUGAGUCUUAUUUGGACAACAAUGAUGUCUCUAACUCUGAAUUAUUAUCAUCUAAUAUUCAUUGUUAUAAGAAAAUAGAUAUAGUGAGUUUCAAUUUUAACUAAAAUUAUUAAUUUAACAAGUAAAGAUUAAAGACAUUGAACAAUACCAUCAGCAGCUAAAGAAAAGCCAUGCAACCAAUUUUUCGUGCAAAUGAGCAUUUGAACAUUUUCAUGGUAGAGGGAACUUCUAAACUUGGUGAGAACUGUUGGUUCCAAGUAAAUGUGCCAGAGGGGGGGUGAAUAGUAUAAUUUGACUCUUUCAAAAAUUGGCUCCAAGUGGGAGCAAAUACAAGAUAAAAGAAAGAAUGAAAAUAAAAACAAAAACAGAGUAGACAACAUAAUAGAAUUUAGAGUGGUUCAGUCUAAGACCUACAUUUACUACCUUGAUUAUUCAACCAAGGAGUUUCCAAACUAAUCCAUUAUGAACGGUGAAAUUCACAAGCUUUCAUCAAGCUUUAUAAUACUUUUACCAGGCUCAGUCAAAACCUUUCAUAAUAGUUUUUACCGGGAUCAACUAAAGCCUAACACUUAACUUUUCAAGGCUAAGUUAGAACCUAUACUCAAUCAAGCAAUUCUAGCUUGAAUCAAUCCCUUAGAGUGACCCGUUCACUCUAAGAAUACAAGGAGAUAAGUGAUAAGAGUGCACCUAUGAUCACAAGUUGAUCUAAGUGGUACAAAAUAAAGAGAAGAUCACAAUUACAAAGAUAAGAGUUGAGUGCAGUAAGAUUGCAGAGAGUAUUUUCUAGUUUUUUAGCUCUUUUGGAUUUGAAAGCCUUUAAUCUAUCUUUCUAGCCGUUGGAAGUUCCUUUUAUAUUUGGAGAAAUAACUCUAAUGGCUGUUUGAUAGUUUCUGACCGUUGGAAACAGUUGAGAAUUGGUUCUAGCCAUUAAUCUGUCUUCUAGUGCCCAUAUUCAAAAUUGCAGACAGAGAGCUCUUAAUCUACUAACUUCCUUCUUAGUUGAUUAAGUCAAUUUUGUCUUCUGGUCUCAAAUUCUGGUAGUGAGCACUUAGUCAACUAACUUCCUUCUUAGUCGAUUAAGUCGGUUCUAUCUUGAAGUCUAGAUUUCUGGCAGUGGGCUCUUAAUCGACUAACCUCCUUCUUGGUCAACUAAGUUGUUUUUGUCUUUCAUUUCUCUUAUGCCUGCCAUUUUUCCAAUAUCAAUUUUAGCCAAUCAAUACUCGUCAUUAUUCAACUAAGGAGCUUCUGUUUUGUUGAUCAAUUGUAGCUUCCUUAUUCCUAUGAUAUUUGAUAUGUGCAUUUGAAUGAUUCAUUUACUAUUUGCAUACAAUUUUAUCUUGUACACUCAAGUAGAGAUAUUAGACACAAAUGAAUAGGAAUGUUUUAUUAUCAUCAAAAACUAAUGGAGCCAACAAGAACAUGACAACCAAUACUAAAAGCAGACUCUGAUGCUACCGUAGUAAUCGAAAUGCUCAAUACAUCUCGUGCCAUAAUAGAAAAAUUAGAAAAGCGCUUAGCAUUAUCCUUCCUAUAAUUAAGCACAUCCAAGUCUUCAAACACUUCAUAAUCAAGCUUUGCCUCAUCUAAAUAAGCAUCAAACUCAGACUUUCUAGCAAUAGAAAUUGUUUCAUUUUGAAACAUUUUGAACUCCUACAAUUUUUAAAUACAUAGACGAAAAAAAAAAAAUUAUCAAAACAUAAAUCAAGUAACAUAAAUUCUCAUGUAAUAAGAUGAAAGAAAGACACAAAACUUACACUAAAGAUCUUUGAUCCCUUGGGUUUAGUUCCCCUUCCGACUUGCUUAGGCAAAUUACUCGUUGAGUGAGAAGAGUACUUGUUGCACGAGUGUUGCUUGCAUAUUCUUCAAAGAGCCCGUACAACUUUAUUUUCACAUUUUCUAACUUUUCAUGACAAGUAGAAGCAUCAAUUUUAGAAUAGCAAAAUCUUAAUAAAGCAACCUUCAUCUUUGGGUCAAGAAUAGCUCCAAAUGCAAGCACUACACUAUAAUCUUUCUAAUACUUAUCAAAUUUCAUUGUCAUCCUUUGAGAUAUAUCCUUGAUAACCUUAUCUUCAUUAUGCAAAUUCUCAUUUAAAAUCAAUUCAAUUUUCCAAAGUUGCAUGAAAUACAAGUUGAAAGUUGGAUAAGAUGAGCCGGAUAUCAAGUUUGUGGUCUCAUAAAAAGGCUCCAAGAAUUCACAAAUUAUCAUUGCUUUCCCCCAUUCCUCAUCAGAUGGAUUAUAUUUAUAAGUUUUAUCAACAAAUUGGAGGCUAGCAAAAACUUUUUGAUAUUUGAUUACACUUUCAAGCAUCAAAUAUGUUGAAUUCCAUCUAGUUGACACAUCUAAAUGCAACCCAACACCUGCAUCAAUACCAACAUGUUGAACACAUUCUUGAGAUUUUUGCAUCUUCCCAUCCGAUGCCUUUACAUAUUUCACUCUUCCUAAUUUUAAACAAUACUUUAUUGACUACUUUCAAGCCCUCUUGAACAAUAAGAUUUAAUAUAUGAGCACAACAACACACAUGAAAAAAUUCACCAUCACAAAUCAAGCUACUUUGCAAAUAAGGAUGGCCUUUCAAGAUACCUUGCAUGUUAUCAUUAGCAGAAGCAUUAUCUAAAGUAAGAGAGAAAACUUAUCUAUCUAUUCCCCAUUCGUUCAAACAAUCAAAUAUAGUAGCAGCUAAUUCAACUCCAGUAUAUGGAGGAGGCAUACAACAAAAUUUGAGUAAUUUGCUACAUAACUUCUAAUUUUCAUUGACAAAGUGAGCAAUCAAACAGAUAUAGCUUUCAGAAGUAGAUGUUGUCCAUACAUCAGAAGUUAAACAAAUUCUGUUAGGUACCUUGGCCAUGGCUUGUUUAAGUUUCUUUUCUUAAAUGAAUUCUUUGGACAUCAGAUACAGUAGUGUUUCUAGAAGGCAUCAUCACAUUUGAACUUACAUACUUAGCCCAAGCUCUAAUCCUAUCAUAUUCAACAAAAACAUAAGACAAGUCAUGCUUAAUUAUGGUUUCAACAAGCAUGUUACGUGAAAUCCUAAGAUCAAACUUUCUAGCCUUUACUUUCCCUUCAUAAUCCAUUAGCAUUUGAUGUGGAUUAAAAUAUGAAAUGAAUUUACAAGUAUCAAUGUGACGACAUAAAUGUGAAGUGCCAUAAUUAGAGCCACCAAGUUUAGGGCCAACCUUAUACUUCGUUUUGCAAUCGUUCCAAGUUGCCUUUUCUACUCCAUCUUGCUUUUUGCCUAUUUUAGUGAAAUAAUUCCAAACAUUUGAAGUUUCUUUUUUGGCCCUCUUAUUCAAUUGUUCAGAUUCAGAUAUAAGAGAUUGAGAGGGAAUUUCAUCCUCAUUCAAAAUGUUCACUUCAUCAUCCACAUUUAUACAGUUUUUCAACUUAUUGAUCCAUCACUGUUACCUUCAAAUAGCAUAAGCAUGAAUAAAAAAUAUUAAAAAUUUAUAUAAACUAAUUGAUCCAAUUCAAAAGUUGGAUUGUAGGCAAGGGUGAAUUCAUUUAUAAAGGAAAAAAAUAGUAGAAAUUAGAACUAUCAUAUUCAUCUUGUAGAUUUCAUUUUAUCCAUUCUCUAGUGUUAAUAUAUUGUUCAUCUUGGAAUGACCAAACUUUGUAAUUCAUUUAAAUAAAAAAAGAUAUAAAUUUUCUUUUACCUUAUUCUGUCAUAUUGUUUAGUAAGAGGAUUAAACCAUUUAUGAUAAAGGAGGUAUAUCAAGAUUUCAAGACUACUACAGCCUACAAGCUACCUUGCCAUCAAUCGUGUUAGUGAAACAUUGGGUAGAAACAUGAACAAAAUAAAUAACUUGAGUUUUACACUGAGCAUGACUUCACACAGCAACAAUAAUAAAGUUCAAACUCUUACACAAAACAUCUUAGUUCAAUAAAAUAACUGCUACAAAUGCCGAUAUAUUCUUUAUCAUAAGAUAUGGAAAUGUCCAGCAACACAUCACAAAAGUUAAACCACUUCUAACAUUUUUAAUUUUCUCUACAAAAUUACUGUUAAAGUUAUCGGAGGUUUAAUUACUGUUAAAAGUUAUUGGAGGUUUACCUAGGCUGUUGGAGGAGAGAUGCUAACCUAGCCCUGAUGACUAAUGAAAGAAGCAAUAUGAGGAGAUAUGUCAUUGGCAGAGUUGAAGAGGAACCGAUCUCCAAAAUUGAAAAAAGUAAAGCCUCCGCUGUCUGCUCUCCAACAAAUCAAAGGAAGUGGGUUGGGUCUUGGGUCCGUCAAGUAGGAGAAAACUCAAAGGAUUAGAGCACUAGGCAGGUGCAGGAGUGGUGCGAUUUGCGAUGGCCAAUGGCGAUGGGAGUGGGAAGUGCCGGAGUGGUGAUCGGCUGAAGGUGACCGGGCGAUAGAGUGAUGUGUUGAUGCCGAUGGCCAAAUGCUGGAUGGGUAGUGAGAAAUGAAACCGAGAAGGCGACUAGGCGAGAAGUCGAGAAGCUGUAGUGAGAAGUUGAGAAGGUGAGAAGUCGAGAAGCUACAGUGAGAAGUCAAGAUUCUCGAAAAGCCACAGUCGAGAAGUUGUAGUUGAAAAGGUGAGAAAGAAGGCCAGAACAAUUGAAUAGAAUAGAUGGGUUAUUAGCUAUUAGGGUUAGCCGAUUAAGGACUUAGGGUCUUGGGCCUCUUGGGUCUUGGCAAAUGGCAUUGUAGCAUUUUUUUUGGCCCACCGGGCUGGCCUGCCCUAACCCGAGUCAGCCCUCUAAUCAAACGGGCUAGCCCAUGUAGGUCUGAUUAUAAUAUGAGCCUAAAUUUUCAAACUCAACCCACUCCAUAUUUAAUAAAAAAAUAGACUGACCCAAUGGCCAGGCUCAUAUUGACACCUCUACUAAUAAUUCAUCAAAAUAGUUUUUCAACAUAAAUAGAAACAAGCGCUUUUUACCUUGUUUAACAAAAACGGAAAUAGUUUUGGAGGGACUCUCAAAUCCCGGGGUCACCAUUGUUGUUUUGGGCUUAUUUUAACAAAUCAAGCAUUCAAGUUAUUCAAAGCCCAAUUUCUUGGAAAUUUUUUGUAGGAAAAGUUUUUGCCUUUAUAUUUUUCAUUGAGUUUUUCCAUGGCCUAUGAUUCAUGUCCUAAGCCCAACCGCCAAAGUCUCCGGUGCAUGGCCAGUCUCGCAUCCAAAUUUAUGCUUAGUAAAGUCAAAACUGGCAUUACCAUUAAGUCGGAUAAAGUGACCAAAGGAAAUUUACGAAUUUAGAGAUUUGAUAUGUUUUAAAAAUAUUCAAAUUUGUUGGUGUAAAUGUAAUCGAACCAAGAUUAGACAAUAUAGCAUGGAGCUUGAGCUUCCAUUGGAUUGAAAAAAAAAAGUAAACUUUGUUUGUCCUUUUUAUUUUCUGGAUUUUAAUUUUUUUAAGACAUGAAGAAAGAUUGGAGUAUCACUCUUUUCAUUUCACCUCUUUUUAUUUUUUUCGUUUUUCUAAUUUCAGUAAAUAUCCAUUUUACUCCCAUCGUUCAUUAAAAUAACAAAUCUAUAAAUGUUACUAAUAAUACUAUGGGGAAAAUCAAGAAAUAUAGUUAAAAGAUGAGUUUUUUAGUUAGAGUUCAAAAGAAAAAGGUUGCAUAAAAUUAAAGAGAAACAGAAUAAAUGUUAAUAUCUUAUUAAAAAAAGUAAGAAAUUUCACAAAUUUAAUGUCAAAAGGUAGAAUUUGAAAUGAAAAUAAUUAGGAUUUUUCAAAGUUGCUCAUCCAAAUUUAAGAAUUUUAAUAAUUUCAAUUUUCAUUUCGUCAAACAAAAUAAUUUGACAUUAAAAUUUUAAAAUUCAAUUUACAAAUAAAAUCUUUCUUUGAAAUUUAGUAUGUAAACAUAUUGAAGUUUAUAAUUCUUAGACAAGCUAAGUUACCUGUACAAUAGCUGUUACUUUUUGAGUAGCUCUAAUUAACGCGCAAGCAAGAAAUGCUCAUAAGAAAAAGAGUCGUAAAUUUCUUAUUUACGAGCUUGACCAACUGUUCUCCACUGGCUUUCAUUUACUGCCAAAAGAACAAUGUUUCGUCAGUGCUUCUAUAUUUCCUUGGCUUAAAACUUGUUCGCCUCAUCAGUCAUCCCCCACCUUUCCCCUUUUCCCACCCAAGUUAAAUUUAGCAUGCCAAAACCAGAAGCACAACUUCCAUGGUUUGGCCUCAUCGCCGCCCUUGCUUUAUUUCUACAUCCGGAAGCUUGCAUCACCAGAAGCACAAACAAGGAUUGCGGUUUUACUCUGUGUGGAGACGUUAACAUCAGCUACCCUUUUCGAUUAACAAGCCAACCUCGCAAGUGUGGUGACCAUAGGUUAGAGCUGGAGUGUGACAAUAAUAACCGCACCACUUUGGUCAUGAAACGGGAGAUUCUAUGUCCAAAACAUCUCUUAUGAACAUAAUACGAUACAAGUUAUCAACGCGAAUCUGGGCAGGAAUGAUUGCUCCCUUCCUCCCAGUUCCUUCAUUUUUGGUGAUAAUAAUAUAUGUACUAAGCCGUAUGGUCCGUCCUUUUCUACAAUGAUGCAGCUUGUAAAUUGCACAACACCCAUAAAAUCAUCUCUGUAUGUUGAUGUCUCUGUUUGCCCAAAUCGCUCUUCCCAUCUACCUACCUAUUUUUAUUCUUUAGAUCUAGAAACACUGCUGCCGCUGCGCGAUUUCAAUCAAUUUUGCACGCUGGAAGCAGAGUCUCCAGUACUUGGGCUAGAGAAUACAUAUCACCGACAUGCCAACUUUGGACAUCUACGGAAAGCUAAUUCCAGUUUUAUUUUCUUAGACGUUGUUUCACACAUUUUUUUUCACUAUGUUGACUUUGACAAUUAAAUUUUGACUCCUUGAUUGAGAAAAAUACAUUUGAAAUAAUGAACAAGAAAAUUUAAAUCUAGGUUUUACUCAGAUUGUUGUUUAAAUUGAAAUUUUUGAAUUCAUUUGUGAUCAUUGUUAUUAAUGAUGAUCAUAUCAAAUAUUAUUACUAAAAUAUGAUGUCAAAUUCAUCAUUAAUAUCUUUCGUUAUAGAUAUUUAAGACUAAGAUAUACUACAAAACAUAAUGUUUUAUAGCACCUCUAUUGUUAAAUGGGCUGAGAUUGGUUGGGUCAUUAAAUGUGAUUGGAAAAAUUAUGGUUAAAACAUUACUGUAUUUUUCAAAUAGUAAAAAGUUACUUUUUGGCUCAAACUUCAGUUUAUUAGAUUGAAAAUUUUGAAAACUUCAGUUUCCUUUCCCUGACUUUAUUCUUCACAUGGAAAAGGGGAAGACCUGCUGCAAAGAGGAACAGAGAAAACUCCCUUAACAAUGGAGAAAGAAAAACUUAACCCCUUUUAUUUAUUUUUGCUCCCCCAAUGUCAAAACAACCUUUAUUAAGAAGUUAAACAGAAUAUGGACGCAAGCUAGACAAGUGUUAGACUUUAUAAUAAAGUUUUUCUUAUGAAUAUGUAACUGUAACAAUGGAGUUCAAGGAAAUACAGCCGAGAGAAAAAGGUAUUUUUGGGAAAAAAAACUCUCAUUCAUUAAUAAUAGCAAAAAAGAACCUUUGUACAUGACGGUUUCCACAAAGAAAAAAACAUUGCCAUAUGAUGCAACGACAUUGUCUUGAAAAAUGAAAAAAUGAAAUAUGGACUCCACUAACAAUCUCCAAAGCAAAACAAACUAACAAAUUCUUUUACACUUGAAAUUUUUAAAUCCCAAUGCACUAACAGAAAAAUGACAAGAAUAAAAAAAACAAAAUAAUGAAAAAAAGUAAGCAGCAACUCAUGUAACACAGAUAUUACUCGCUAAGAUUGUAACAAGCUACAUGCCAUGACUCCAACAAGCUAUAUGCCAAGACUGUUACAUGCUAUGAUUGUUGGAAACUGCACGCCAUUACUCUAGGAUGUUACACACCAUGGCUCCAUGAUCAAUGUUACAAACCAAGGCUUUAAGAUGUUACACGCCAAAGCUUCUGGAUGUUACACACCAAAGUCUUUGGAUGUUACACCCCAUGGCCACCAGAUGUUACACACCAUGCUUGCAGCAAGCUUCCAUUUUCAACAUACCUCUUGGAAGCUUGAAUUGCUGACUCCCAGUUUAGCUCUUAGAUUUUCAAACUUGUGUUUAUCAAGCCCUAUGGUGAAAAUGUCUGUUAGCUGCUCAUCAGUACUGCAAUGGGUAAUAGAUAUCUCAUCAUUUUUAACUACAUCCCUAAUAACAUGAUAUUUUAUUCUAAUGUGUUUAGUCCUCCCAUGAUCUAUUGGAUUUUUUGCCAUAAAGAUGGUUGACUUGUUGUCAAUCUAGAGUGUAGUAGGUUCAUCAUAGUUAAACUUUAGAUCUUGAAGAAUCUGUCUCAACCAAAUUGCCUGGUUUGCUACUAAAGCAGUACCAAUAUAUUCUGCUUUUACAUAUGAUUGAGCUACAAUGUCCUACUUCUUAGAGUUCCAAGCAAAUAUAGCACUUCCAAAAGGAGAAACAAUAAUCACUGGUGCUUUUAGAAUCUUCCACACUCCUAGUCCAAUCACUGUUUGAGUACCUUUGAAGUUCUUGCUUCACAUUUCUACUAAAUUUCAAACCAUAGCUUAAAGUUCCUUUAAUGUAUCUAAGAAUUCUUUAAGCUGCGGUCAUAUGUACUUUAGAGGGUUUUUGCAUAAAUCUAGAUAAAAGACUAGUAGCAUACAUGAUAUCAAACCUGGAUGCAAAGAGUUAAGGUAGGCUACUAAUUCGUUUUUUGUAGAAAGUUUCAUCAGCUUCUGUAACACCAUCAUUCUUGCUAAACUUGUUACCAGUAGCUAAUGGUGUUGCCACUACUUUACAAAUUUCCAUUUUGAAUUUUUUUAGUAAUUCGGAAGCAUACUUUUUCUGAUGCAUCAGUAUGCAAUCAACUUUUGGUUCAAUCUGCAAACCAAGGAAGUAUGACAUCCUUCCAAGAUCACUCAUGUCAAAUUUAUUUUUCAUUUUUAGUUUGAAAUCAUGCAUAAAACUACAAUUUGGUUCAAUGAUAAGCAAACCAUCAACAUAGAGUGAUGCUAUUACCUGAACAAGAUUACUUGAGCUUUUAACAUACAAAAUAUGUUCACUAUCACAUCUGAAAAAUCCUUGACUCUACAGGUAACUAUCCAUCCUUUCGUACAAUGCUCUUAGGGCUUGCUUGAGCCCAUAAAGAGCUUUGAUAAGUUUACAGACUUUGUCUUUUUUCCUUGGUUCAACAUAUCCUUCAAGCUACUUGACAUAAAUCUCUACAUUAAUGGUGCCAUUUAGGAAUGCUAACUUGAUAUCAAGAUGCUAGAUUAGCCAUCUUUCCUUAGCUGUAAGUGCCACCAGUAGCUUGAUAGUGUCAUGCCUAGCUACAAGGGCAAAAGUCUCAAAAAAAUCAACACCAUAUACCUAAGAAAGCCCCUUGACUACCAAUCUUGCUUUAUGCUUGUUAAUAGAACCAUUAGAGUUGAGUUUGGUCCUAUACACCCGCUAAACUCCAAUAACUUUCUAAUUUUUUGGUCUAUCAACCAAGGUCCAGGUGUUGUUCUUCUUUAUCAUCAUCAUUUUAGCCUUCAUUGCCAGUUUCAAAUGCUCAUCUAAAGUAGCUUCAAAGUAGCAAAUUGGUUUUGCAAUGGCUAUGUUGCAUCUCUCAUAUAUGUCUUAUAGUGAUCGAGUUCCUCUGAUUGGAACUUCAUCUAUGUUUUCAUGAGAUUCCAAGUCUUCUUCAACAUUUGAUACAUCAUCAGUUACAAUGUCUUUGUUUGUAGUAGCUUUAAUGGCACUAGUAUCCCAAUUCUACUUGGCAUUUUCAUCAAAUCUGAAUCCCUACUUGUAAACAGCUUUCUUGUUUUUACAUCAAGCAACCUAUAACCCUUAGAAACUUCACUACAGCCAAGAUGAACUGCAACCAAUGGUUUCUCAUCAAGCUUACCUUUCUUAGUAUCAGGUAUCUUGGCAUAACAACACAACUAAAAACUUUGAGAUGAGUUAUAGUAGGUUUGAUACCUAACCAGGCUUCAUAAGGAGUCUUGUUGGUUAAAGACUUACUAUGAGUCAUAUUCAGUAGGUAGUUGGCAGUAUUUGUAGCUUCUACCCAUAGAAACUUAGGUAAGCUCAUCUCAAAUAACAAGCAUUGAGCCAUUUCCAUAACAAUCCUGUUUUUUUGCUCAAAGACCCCAUUUUGAUGAGGAUUAUAGGUCAUUUGUAACCUAAUGACUAAUACCAAGUUGACUCAAAUAAUUCUUAAACUCUUUAGCACUAUAUUCAGUCCCAUUGUCACUUCUAAGGAUCUUUAUAGUUAAAUUGACUUGAUUUUCAAUAGUAGCUUUAAACUUCACAAAAGUAGCCAAGGCUUUAGACUUGUGUUUUAGAAAAUAAAUCCAAUUGAAACGUGUGAAAUCAUCAACAAACAAUAAGUAAAACUGAGUUCCAUUGAGGGACAAAGUCUUAAUGAGGCCUCCAAUGUCUGUGUAUACCAGCUACAAUUUUUGCAUUGCCUUCCAACUCUUGGUCUUUGGAAAUGUAGUUUUGCUUUGCUUUCCAAAUUGACAGGUACUACACAAUUUAUCAACCUUUGAAAUAUCAAGAGGACCAUCAACCAUGUUAUGCACAACCAUCUGCUUCAAAUAAGAAUGGUUCACAUGACUAAAUCUCCAGUACCAUGUUAUAACAAAGUUUUUCUUAUGAAUAUGGAGCUGUAACAAUGGAGUUCAAGGAAACACAAAGGAGAGAAAACUAUUUUUGGGGAAGAAGAUUAUCUCAUUCAUUAAUCAUAACAAAAAACAGCAUUUUUAUAUGAAGGCUUUUACAAAGAAGAAAACGUUGCCAUUUAAUGCAAUGGCAUUGUCUUGAAAAAUGAAAAAUGGACUCCACUCAUAGUUACCAAAGCAAAACAAACCAACAGAUUCUUUUACAUUGGGAAUUUUUAAAUCUCAAUGCACUAAUAGAAAAAUUACAAAAAUAAUAAGAAAUAAAAUAAUAAAAAAAGUGAGCAACAAUACGUGUAACAUAGACAUUACAUGUUAAGAUUGUAACAAGCUACACAUCAUGACUCCAACAAGCUAUACGCCAAGACCGCUGGAAGUUGCAAUCCAGGACUGAAGGAUGUUACACACUAUGAUUGUUGGAAGCUACACUUCAUGGCUUCAAGAUGUUACACAUCAUGGCUCCAAGAUGUUACAAACCAAGGCUUUAAAAUUUUACACGCUAAAGCUUUUGGAUGUUGCACACCAUGGCCACUAGAUGUUACACGUAAUGGCCAUCAGAUGUUACAUGCCAAAGCUUCGGGAUGUUACGCAUUAUAGUUGUAGCAAGCUUCCAUCUUCAACAACCAGCUAGCCCAGUCUUUUGGGAAAGGUAAUGUGCAGGUCAAGGGGUCAAAUCCCUAUCCUACUUAGGGGCUAUAACCUUAUUACCUAGCAAAUAAAAAAAUAAAAGAUAUACUACAAAAAAUGCAAAGCAGGGUACAAAGUAAGUCUUUUAUUUGAGUGCCUGAUAUCUUUGUUUUAUUUGGAUGCGUUGAACAUUCCUGGACUCGUUGCUAUAUGCCUUAAAAACCUAUGUGGACAGCUUCCUAGAUUUCCCUUUCUAUAGCAAAGAUUAUCGACCUAAUAGUAUGCUUAAUAUGCAGGUUUCAUAAGUAGUUUCCAUAUUGAAUUUGCUUUUUUGUUCCUUAUAUGGAAAUAAUUAUAUUCGUUUUGCUCUUGGUAUUUUUCUACAUGAAUGUAUAUUUUAUGUUGUGGAGUAGCAGAUAAGCUUUAACUCUGUUAUUGCAUAUACACAAAAUUGAGCAAUAUCAAUGUUUUCAUUUAUAAAAUAACUAUUUUUUUGGAAAAAAAAUUAAAAAGCUAUUAGAUCUUACCAGUUUAUAAAUGUACCCACUUAAUACUCACGAAAGAAUAAAGCUUUUUAAUGAUUUUAAUUUUAGAGGUGAAAGAGUACUAGAAUAAAAUAUUAUUUCUUUUAUGCAUGGGAGACUUUAAUGAUAUAUUUUUUGCAAGCGAGAAGGAGGGUGGGCAAGACAGAAAAGAGUCACCGACAAGGGAAUUCGAGAAGCAUGUGACGACUGUGAAUUAAAAGACUUGGGUUUCAGAGGACCGAAGUUUACAUGGUGGAACAACCAUGAGGAAGAAGUCUUCAUUAAAUGUUGUUUGGACAGAGCAUUGAGUUCGGAUAGUUGGCGUGAAUUAUUUCCAAAAGCAGUGGUCUUUAAUGAAUCUCUUGGGGCAUCCGAUCGCCUCGCCUAAAGACUUGAUUUAUUUUAUCUUCAGCGUGUAAGCUGGAAAAGAAGGUUCCACUAUGAAGAAGCGUGGUUAUAUGAUGAUGGUUGUAACGAAAUGAUUACAGAAAUGUUGAGUAACAAAGAUGGUAGCCCGAAAGUCUGAUGAAAAAAUUGGAACUGAUCAAAGGUAAGCUAAGUAACAGCAAAUCGAAUCCAUUCCACAACUUAUAGGCAGCAAUAAAGAAGAAGAAAGAAAAAUUGCAGGCCACUCAUCAGUCCGGCUUUGAAUUACAUAAGAUUAAAUAGAUUCAAGGCGAAAUAAAUUGUCUGCUUAGGGAGGAAGAGAUGAUGUGGAAACAGAGGUCACAGGUAGAAUGGCAAGGAUGGUGAUAAAAAUACGAAAAUUUUCCAUCAAAGAGCUAAAGAAAGAAGAAGAAAAAACAUCAUUUGGGGAUUGAAGAAAGAUGAUGGUGCCUAGACAAACUCACAAGAAGAGCUCCAUGCAGAGGUGAUAUAGUUCUACUCUAAUAUAUUUUCUACUUCAAGACCUACGGCUAUAGAUGAAAUUUUGUCAGGUAUUCAACCAAAGAUCUCUUCAGAUAUGAAUGUGGGGUUGAACAAUUAUAUAUCGAGAGAUGAGGUCCGUAUGGCCUUAUUUCAAACGAACCCAUCAAAGGCUCCUGGUCUUGAUGGUCUUCCGGCCAUGUUCUUCCUCAAAUGUUGGAAUAGUAUAAGGGAUGAAAUUCAUAAGCUUGUUGUUGAUUUCUUUGAAGGGAAUAUCCAAAAUUCUAAUGUUAAUCACGCACACAUAAUUCUUAUACUGAAAAUUACUCAACCUGAAAAAGUGAGCCAAUUUCGACUUAUAAAUCUAUGUAAUGUGUUAUAUAAAAUAGCCUUGAAGGUCCUAACCAAUAGAUUAAAACCUAUUCUUCCGAUUACUAUUUCUAAAAAUUAGAGUACCGUCGUACCAGGAAGACUAAUUUCAGACAAUGUGAUUGUUGCAUAUGAAGUUAUUCAUGCCUUGCAUAAUAAACAUCAGGGUAAGGUAGGCAAUUUUGCUUUAAAAUUAGACAUGAGCAAAGCCUAUCACAGAGUGAACUGGCUUGUGUGAAGGAGAUAAUGUCGAAGAUGGGCUUUGCCGGUACUUUUGUAGAAAUGAUAUGGAGAUGUGUGACCUCGGUAUCUUAUUUAGUUCUUAUAAACGGUGUGCCAAGCAACACAUUUGUGCCGAUGAGAGGAUUACACCAAGGUGACCCUUUUUCUCCUUUUCUAUUUGUAAUUGUUUCUAAACCUUUAUCUGGCUUACUUAGUAUGGUUAACCUUUCUAAAAGUAUUUCGGGCAUAAAUUUAUGUCUAGAAGGUCUGAAUAUUACUCAUCUGUUAUUUGCGGAAGAUAGUAUGAUAUUUGGUAGGACUUGUAGACAAAAGGUUUGUGUUUUGCAAGCCAUUUUUAUGAAAUAUGAAAAAGCUUCAGGACAGAAAAUAAAUACGGAGAAAUUGGCUUUGCUAUUUAGCAGGAAUACUUCAGAAGAGGAUAGAGAAAUGGUGAGGAGAUUUGUUGGUAUUGAGACGUCCACUAAGGAGGAAUGUACCUAGGGAUGCCAUUAAUUAUAGGGGGUUCAAAAAGCAGAUUUUCAAUUUUGUGAAAGAACGGAUUACGAAGAGGAUCACAAAUUAGAAAAAUAGAUUACUUUCUGUGGCUUGGAGAGAGAUUCUCAUUAAAGUAGUGGCACAAGUAAUCCUAACAUACGUAAUGAGCUGUUUUAAGCUCCCUGACUCAACUUGUCAAGAAAUUGAUUCAGUGAUAACUCAAUUUUGGUGGAGUGGCAAUAGUAAAGAUAAAAAAAAUUCACUGUAGGAAUUGAAAGUCAUUGUGCUCUUCAAAAUUCAUUGUGGGGUUGGGCUUUAGAGACAUCAAUAGCUUCAAUUUGGCAAUGCUUACUAAACAGGACCGGCGACUACAAAUGGAAGAGACAACUGUUGCGUUUAAGGUUCUCAAAGCAAGAUAUUUCCCAAGAACUGAUUUCAUGAAUGCUUCAAUUGGAUCUAAUGCUAGCUACUCAUGGAGAAGCCUUAGAGAAAGUCAAGAGGUAGAAAAAAAAGGUCUACUUUGGAGAGCAGGAGAUGGGAAGGAAAUUAAUGUAAGUCAGGAUAAUUGGAUGCCAUAUGAUUCGCCUAGAUCGAUUAUGAGGUUUGAAUGUGUAGUAGAAAACGAGUUGCGGGUUUCAGAGCUGAUCAUUGAAAGAACAAUGACAUGGAAUGUGGAAAAAAAUAAAUAACAUAUUCCUUCCAUAUGAACGGGGUCUCAUUUUGUCAAUACCUUUGAGCUUUAGAAGGCCUUGAGAUACGCAAGUUUGGUUUUUCAACAACCAUGGGAGGUGUACGGUGCAAUCGGGUUAUAGACUAAUCCAAGCUACUUCUCUGAAUAAUGUAGCGGGCUGUUCAAAUGGUAAUCAUUUGGGACUUUGGAAAAAGAUCUGUCAAUUAAACAUUCCUAGGAAAAUCAUUUUGUUCCUGUGGAAAACUAUUAACGGUAUUCUUCCAACACGGAAAGCACUGAUUCAAAAAAGAGUAAAUGUUGAAGGAAACUGUCCUAAUUAUGAAGAUAAGCUGGAAACGGAAUACCAUUGUUUGUGUUGUUGCCCAUUGGCAAUGGCUGUAUGGAUGAUAUCUAAAUGGGGAUUUCGACAUCUAGAAGAAAAUUUCAGAACAAUGAUAGAUUGAUUGCAACAUUUAUGUGAUAUAAUGGAGAAAAAGCAACUUGAAGAAAUAAUGGUGGUUUUACGGGUUGUCUAGAAGGCUUGAAACCCAACGAUUUUUAAAAAUCAAAAGCUGCAACCGAUACAGGUGUUGGAAAUUGGCAUCAACACUCUAUCGCAAUACAUGGAUGGAUGUUAAUAAGGCACACGGAAGCUUGUCUCUUCAGCAAACAAAGACGGUAAAAUGGAGUCUCCCAAGGGUCUAUAAAAUGAACGUGGAUGCGGCAGUAGUUGGGAAUGAUGAUGAGAAGAAAACGAGUGCGGGCUUUGUAGUCAGAGACGAGAAUGGAAAACUGAUUCUUGAUGGUGCUGUUAAAUUGAAUUUUGGAACCUCCAUUGAAGAAGCUGAAUCUUGACUAAUAUUCAUCUUUAGAAAAUAAGGCAAAAAAGUUCGGAAAAACUUAUACAGGAUCUUUACUACUUGAUUAAAUUAUUCCCCAAAAAUAUUUUAUAUUCUUUUUAUGUCCUUUCUAUUUCUGGAUUAUAGAAUUUUCUAGACAUGAUAAAAAAAAUUUGUACUUACAUUCUUUUCAUUUCACCUCCUUUUUUUUUUUUUUUACACUUUGCUAAUUUCAUUAAAAUUUUCACUUUAUUCUCAUUGUACAUUUGAAAAAAAAAAUCUAUAAAUGUGACUAAUAAUAAUAUGAAAAGUCAAAAGCAUAUAUUAAAGAAAAGAGUUUUUAGUUAGAAAAAAUGAAGGUUGCGUAAAACGAGAAAUAUAAUAAAUGUUAAUAUCUUUUUAGAAAAUCAAGAAAUUUGACGAAUUUCAUCUCAACAGUUGGAAUUUGAAAUGAAAAUUUGAACCCUCCAAAAUCUCCCAUCCAAAUUCCAAGGAUUUUUAUUUUACCAAACAACAUAAUUUGAAAUAAGGUACAUAAAAAAAUUAAGUUAAUUUGUGAAAUAUAACUUGAAAUCUAUAACAUAUUUAAAACGAUAUUUCAAUAGGCAUCCUGAGCGACCAUGUGGAGGGCAGAGAGAGAAACAGAAAAGAUACUGAGCAAAAAGAGAGAAAGAGGGUGCAAAGAAGUCAGAGUUUGCUACGUGAAAAGCAUUUAUAGAAACAGGGAAAAGAUGUUGACAUAUAGAGAGGGUGCAAAGAGACCCGUGUGCAACGUACGGGUCAUAUUUGAGAGACAUUUAAACAAAGCUUGUGAAACCUGUUUGGGUCAAUGUCACCUAUUUAAUGUUUGUUACUUUUUUGACUCGCAAGUAACCUAUGUAAAGUUUAACACAUUAUAUCCACGAGGUGGACCAACAAUUCAACACUUUCCGAGUACUUUACCGCCCGAAAAAAGGACUCUCCUUUUAUUUGUUGCUUUGGGACCAAAUGGUUGUUUGCAUACCGACAAACAUUUCAAUGCUUCUAUAUAUCCUUGACUUAAAACGUUGUCAGCCUCAAUCUCGGUUCUUCAUUGCCAAACUUCAGGAUGCUAAAAGCACAAGUUUCGUUGUUUUGGCUUAUGGCCGUUGCUUUACUUCUAUUCCUUGAUCUUUGCAUCGCUAGACGUGAAAUUAGUAAAGCUUGUGGCUCUUCUCACUGUGGAAAUGUUACCGUCAGUUAUCCUUUCCGACUAAAAAGCCAGCCUCCCGGGUGUGGUCUUCAACUGGAAUGCAAUGAUAACAAUAUCACCACUUUGGCCUUGGGUACUCUGAAGUAUUACGUUCAAGAGAUCUUUAACGAAAAUCAGGCAAUAAGAGUUAUGGUUAUGGAUGAGAGACUGAGCAGUGACGAUUGCUCCUUUCCUCCUCCUCUUCGUAGUUCCUUCGAUUUUAUUGGAACUGAAAUUGGAGAUGCACUUGUGGUUCACACACACCAUCUUAUUUUACAAUUUCCUAAUAGCCUUUUUUAUGUAUCUAGUAAAUUGCACAAGACCAAUGAAAUCUUCUUCCUACGUUGAUGCCUCUCGUUGCACCAAUAGCUCGUCCCAUCCAACUUCCUGCUUUUAUUUUUUAGAUGAAAGAACACCGCCAGGAGAUUUCAACCAGUCUUGCAUAGUCAUAGCUCAGGUUCCAUUCAUGUUCGAGAAUAUUAUAGGCUUGUCUACUUCGGAUAUCUACGAAAAGCUAUUACUGGGCUACGAAAUAACAUGGAGAGACUCCGAUGGGAGGUGCCCCUGGCACUGGUCCGGGUGCGACAACAAGGUUUCAUUUCAAGAUAUGUAAGAUUUUUAUGAGCCUUUGUGUUUUUUGAGCCGUGUCAUUCAUAUUGGGUAAAUUUUAUGUUUUUUUUUUUGUUAAUUUGGGUAUUUUUAUUUUAUUAAUGACCAAUUGGUUUUAAGUUUGGUGCAUAACAUGCUAGUAUACUCAAAGUUUGUUAUGUUCUUAUUGUUUGUUGUUCCUUAUAAGUUUGUCUAGGAGGUAUGCUCGUUUGUUUGGUUCGAGGGUUUCCGAUGAUCCUAUGUUCAAUUAAAUAUAGGUUAGAUACUUAACAUUAUUUUAUUAUAGUGAAUUUGGUUGGAUAGUAAAAUUGUGAUUUACGAAAUUAUGGCAAACAAGUUAUUUUUUUGAAAAACUAUAAGAAAAGUUUUUGUCUCACCGACUUCAAUUUAAUCUGGAAAAUAUCUUUUAUUAUGUGAACUGUGAUCAAAAUGACAAUUUAUUGCUCAACUAAUUCAAAUUCAGCUUCAUGUUUUAUCAUGCAAAUAAUCAGUUAAUAACUUUUAUAUAGACUAUUUUUUUUACCUGCUACUUUGCACUUGAACUAAAUUGUAUGUCAAAUAUUAUAUAUAUUUAAAGACAUACACACGAACAAAAUUUUCACUUAGUUAUAAAUAUGCUAUCUAGGCUGCCUUUCAAAAAAAAAAAAUGCUAUCUAGAUAAUUUGCUAUCUAAGAAAUUAAGUUUGAUAAGUGUAAAAUCUUGAUAGGAAUUAUUAUUGAUAAUUAAGUUGAGAGAAUAAAAAGUAGUGAGUUGGUUAGGCCAUAACUUUAUUUGAAAAUUAGGAAUAGGAGAAUUAAUAUUUAAAUCUAGGUUUUACUCAAACUGUUGUUUAAAUUGAAAAUUUUGAACUCAUUUGUGAUCAUUGUUAAUUAAUGAUGUUCAUACCAAAUUUUAUUACUAAAAUAUGAUGUCAAAUUGAUCCUUGAUAUUUUUUAUCAUAGAUAUAUAAUAGUAAAAUUUACUACAAAACAUAAUGUUCUAUAACACCUCUAUUGAUUAUUUAAAAAAAAAAAAAACAUAGUUUUUCUUAUCCUCUUCGACUUGUCAUUUUUCUUUUACAUCCUCUUCCUUUUAAUUUGAUGUGUUGAAUAAUCCAGAUUGGCACGGUUGCUGUAUAACUUGAGAAUCUAUGUGGACAGCUUUGAAUAUUUCCUUUUCCACGGCGACCUUUACCCUGUAUACCAUGUGCCAAAUAGUACGCUUUCCAGAAUUCGCUAAGUACUAAUGUUGUUCUUGGAUUUGCCUUUCCACUUCUUGAAUUAAUAAUUAUAUUUUUCUUUUUGUCUUGGUAUUUUCUGCAGGAACUUAUAUUAUCUGUCUUGCAAUAACAGGUAAUUAAUAAGUUUUAGCCUUGCGUUUGUAUAUACAGAAAAUUGAGCAAUAUCUGAAAUUUCAAAUUUAAGAUAAAAAUAAUAAAAGAGAUUACACAAGCCCCUUCAUUCUAAAACUCAAAAAUUUACGAAACUCUUUGAAAUGGAUUGCUUAUUUGAAUAAGAAAUAAGAAAAAUAAAACUUGAAUAAUAUGACUAACUAAAUAAUUACUUAAUCGAAAUGGAUUGCAAAGAAUUGUUUUAAUUUUCUUGUAAAAAGCUUAUGGAGAACUUAGUUAGAGAUUAUCGAUUGUACUACCAAGAGAACGGGCCUGUCAACCAAUAGUAUAUACUACGAAGGGAGCAUUAAACCGUUAGAUUCAUAGACUUUUUGAGGGCCCAAUAGUUUUUUUCUUCUUUUUUUUUUUUUAAUCUGUUAAUGCUUUUUGGUCUUACUUAAAAUGGGAAUCUGGUAUUUUCAUUAUGUCAAGUUUCUUGGGACAAGAGAUAUAUAAGAUAUGUUGCACGAAAUAACUCAAUUUUACUUGUAUUUAUGUAUUGCCUACAUUCAAAAUACUAAUGUAUUCCUAUAUACUUUUUUUUGUUAAAAAAAAAAACACAGGAAUUAUCUUAUCACGAAUGUUAUUGGGGAUAUCUUGCUUGCUUGCACUUGUUACAUACACAUUUCGAAGGAGACAUUUAUGUGCAGAUAGUACAAUUGAAGAGUUCCUUCAAAGUCAAAAUAACUUCUUACCUAUUAAGUAUUCUUAUUAUGAAAUGAAAAGAAUAACUAAUGGUUUCAGAGAUAAGUUAGGUGAAGGGAGUUAUGGUUCAGUGUUUAAAGGAAAACUUCGUAACAACCAUUUUGUGGCAGUAAAGUUGUUAGGCAAUUCAAAAGCUAAUGGGCAAGAUUUCAUUAAUGAAGUUACAACAAUCGGGAGGAUUCAUCAUGUUAAUGUCCGGAAACUCUUUGGAUUUUGUGUCGAGGGAUCAAAACAAGCUCUUAUCUAUGACUUCAUGCCAAAUGGAUCUCUAGAUAGAAUCUUAUUUGCAAGAGAAAAUAAGAUCAGUUUAAGUUGACAAAAAAUGUUUGAUAUUGCACUUGGAGUAGCUCGAGGAAUUGACUAUUUACAUCGAGGAUGUGACAUGCAAAUUUUACAUUUUGAUAUUAAGCCACAUAAUAUUCUUCUAGAUGAGAACUUUAACCCAAAACUUUCGGAUUUUGGUCUUGCAAAAUUGUAUCCAGUAAAGGAUAGUACUAUCUCUCUCACUGCAGCAUGAGGUACAUUUGGAUAUAUUGCUCCUGAGGUGGUCUACAAAAAUAGUGGAGGCAUCUCAUAUAAAGCUGAUGUUUAUAGUUUCGGGAUGUUGUUAAUGGAAAUGGUGGGUAGGAGAAAAAAUUUGAAUGCAUUCAUUGAACAAUCAAGUCAGAUAUACUUUCCAUCAUGGAUUUAUGACCGAUUUGAUCAAGGAGAGGACUUAGAGUUGGGAGAUGUUACAGAUGAGGAAAAGAUAAUUGUCAGGAAGAUGUCAAUAACAACUUUUUGGUGUGUACAAACGAAGCCUAUUGAUCGUCCUUCAAUGAACAAAGUCUUGGAGAUGCUGGAAACUGAUGUUGAGCUCCUCGAAAUGCCUCCCAGACCUUUUCAACUUCCUUCUGAAGCAUCAACUUCAUGUUAAAUUAGUGUAAACUAGUGAACGUGUAUUUCAUUAUGUCACCCAUGUAGUUUUGUAAUUUUAUGCCUAGCGACUCAUAAUUUAUCAUAUAGUUUUUAUAAGAUACUUGUGGAAAACGAUAUAUGCAUAAAAAUUUUUUGAUAAAAGAAAUGCGGUUGGUCGAUCAAUUUCCAUUCAGUGAGCGGUAUAAUUAAGUUUAUGCCCCAUUUAAGGCUAAACCAUUUUGUUCUACAGCGUCAAAGGUUGUCUGCCGCUCAAGAAAUUAAGGUCUCCUUUCAAGAAAUUGCAGCCUAGAUGCAUGUGAAUAAAAUCUAUGUUUUUAUUAUUGUUUUUCUCAAUUUUUUCCCUUCCCAAAACGAGAAUCUAUUCAUCACUUUUCUUUCAUCUUUGUGGCAGGUGGCAAAGAAUGAAAAUAACUUCUCUGCAAGUGAUUUAUGAUUUAAUUCUAGUUAGACUAAAUGGCGGACUAUAGCCAAAAAAAUUGCUUGCUGCUCCAAAAUAAUCUUUCCUCAAAAUUAAUGAUAUUUCUUUGGGUCCACCCUCUCAAUUUGAUAGGUCAAUGGUUUUCUCAUCCAAAUUGAACUCCUUGAAUCUCAUUUUAUUGUUCUUGUUUGAUUUUCAAGGAGUUUAAUUUUUAAUUUAUUUUAUAUAAAAAUAUUUUUUUAUAAAAUUUUUAUGAAACUUUUCAUUUCAUUCCCAUCAUUCAUUAAAAAAAAAAUCUUAGAAAUGUUUUAAAAGUAUUCUUUUCAUGGUUAUUACAGUAGAGCUAAGGAUCAGUGGGUUUCAUGUAAAAAGGGUGAUUAAAUCUACUGGUUUUGAAAGAUCACACAAAGUGGAAUCAAUUGGUUUUUUGGGCGGUAUAUGGAUACUUUGGUAGGAGAUUGUUAAUAUAACAGUGAUUGCGAACCACAUGCAGUGUAUCCAUAUUACAGUUGAGCACCUAGUGAGAAAUUCUUGGAAUUUAUUUGUAGUUUAUGGUUAUCUGAAUCCAUCUAUUAGAAAUGCCUUGUGCAAGGAACUUGUGAGGUUUGUCAGAUCUGUUACAAAACCAUGGUUGAUAACAAGUAAUUUUAACUCCUUCCCAUUUUCACAUGAAAAGUCUAGACAGUCUAAAGGGGCAGACGACCUUGUCUUCAUUUUCAAAAUUUUGCAAAUGAUUUUGAACUGAUGGACCUUAGGUUUAAAGUCCCAAAACUAUUUGAAAAAGAGGUAUGGUUUUUAAGAGAAUCGACGGAGCAGUGUGUAAUAUUCAGUGGAAACUAGGUUUUAGUGAUGCGAUUGUUAACCAUCUCCUGGGGGUGGGUUUAAAUCACAAACCAUUCUAAUUUCAACAAGGGAAGAUCGGAAUGUAAAUAGAACACAAAUUUUUUCAAUUCCAAGCAGCAUGGUUGACACACACCGUAUUUGAGGAGUUUGUGAAAUAAACAUGGGAUAAUUCCGGUAGUAUUCAAGUUGUGUUGUUGAAGGUGAAUUUUUUUGAGAAAGCAAGGCAGUGGAAUAGAAAGGUGUUGAGCAACAUUUUUUUUUUAUAUAAAAGAGGAGAUUAUUAGCAAGAUUGACUGGGGUUGAGAAAGCACUAGAAUUGCGACCUUCUAAUUAUCUGAGAGAGUUGGAGUACAGCUUACACUUGGAAUAUGAAACUGUAUUAAAGCAAAAGGAAACGUUUUGAUUUUAGAAGUCCAAGGUGGAUUGGUUGAAGUUCGAUGACUGUAACACCAAAUAUUUUCACCUUUAAGUAAUAAGAAGGAGAAGCAAGUUAAAAAUUUUACGAUUUAGAGUUUGGAAUGAGGAAUUGUGUGAUGAUUAGAGGCAAUUACAAUUGCAUGCUAUAGAUUUUUUUUUAAUGUUUAUAUUCUAAGGAAGGUAAUGAUCUCCCGUCAUAUCCAAUAUGGAACUAGUAUCCUAGAUUAUUUGAGGAAGCUAAUGAUUUUAUGGGAUGUCCAGUAGAUAAGAAAGAAGUUUGUGAAGUACUCUUCAAGAUGAAACCUUUUAAAGCACCAAGAUUGGAUGGUUUUCCUGCUUUGUUCUUUCAACCUCAAUGGUAGGUGGUGGGGAAAAAAUUAGUGGAAUAUAUUCAAGCUGUUUUUAAUGAAGCAAAGAUUGGCAUUAACAUGUGUAGUUCUUUGAUUGUUUUGAUUCCCAAAGUUAGGGUUCUUGAGCACAUUUCCCAAUUUAGACCCAUUAGUUUACUGCCAGUGGCCUUCAAAGUUUUAAUGAAGUUUAUAGCUAAUAAGUUAAAGCCAUAUAUGAAUCUAUUGAUAGAUGAACCACUAGCCAGUUUUAUUCGUAAGAGACAUAUUGUUGAUAAUACAAUUGUUGCCUAGGAGGUAAUGCAUUCUUUUCGCAAAAAUAGGGACGAAGGGGAUGGAUGAUGAUUAAAAUUGACUUGGAGAAGGCUACAAUAGGCUUAGGUGGGAAUUCAUUCAUGACUCACUCUUGGAAGCUAGAAUUGUAGGUAACAUUGUCGAUAUUUUAAUUAGAAAUUGGAAUUGCUGUAGUUCUCAUAUAUUAUGGAAUGGUGCGUGUUUUGAUGAAUUGUUCCUUUCGAGAUGAGUGCGACAAGGAGAUCCACAUGCUCUGUAUUUGUUUAUGCUAUGUAUAGAAAGAUUGGCUCAUGGUAUUAAGUAGACUAUUGAACAGGAAAUGUGAAAACCAAUUAGAUUGGGUAAACAUGGACCAGUCGCAACUCCUUUAUUUUUUGCUAACGAUCUUAACUCCUCACGGAAGCUUCAGAAGCUUAAAUGGAGCUAAUAAAGGGAGUAUUGGAAGAUUGUUGUGUAUGUUCUAGUAAGAAGGUGAGUAUAGUAAAAUUGGCCUUUUUUGUUCACAGAAUGUAUGUAAGGAGGUAAUUAAUGACGCAACAAGUUAGCGUAAAGAAAAAAUCUUGCACUUGACUAAGCUCUUAAGGUUAAUAACCAAGUUUCAAAUGUAAAAACUUAAACUCAAGUUUGAGAGAAGAACUUAAUAAUGUUAUUCCAUGAUUCAAAAAAACUAAGCUUAAGGGUCCUAUUUAUAGCAUUAUAGACCCAGGUCCUAACAAAACUUUACUUUUGGUUGUCUAGUACAACUAGAGUAGUUAACAAGAGAUUUAAAUAAAUAAAUGUUCUAUUCCUAAUUAGAACAUGACUAUCCUAAAGUCCUAAUACAAGUAAAUUAAAUAAAAGAGAAAUUCUAUUAUGCCUAUAAUUCGUAUGUAGGACUCAUAACUAAAUAAGAAAAAUAUUAAAAUUAUGAAUAUGCCCAUUUAUGACUUUUGAGCUUUUCAUUUUGGCUUUUGACGCUCAGCGUGCUCCAAGAAAUUAUCUGCUAAACGUUUUAUGUUAGUCUCCUUCAUUUGAGAAAAACUCGACCCCGAAUUAAUGGAUAUAUCUAGAUACAAGGGUUCUUCUAAUAAUGGUUUGAUUGCUUCUUGAUGCUCUACUUUUUCUAACCCUAUUCAAUUGACAACACUUGUUUCACAAUUAGAGCAUGCACCUCAUUUCACUUUUUGAAAAUAGUCUAUCUCAUUCCUUCAAUGAGUAAGGGUAAAGAAAGUCUGCCCCUCCACUUUAAAAGCUUUGGUUUUGGCACUUUCCUUCAUGGGCACUAAAGUAAACUUCAUGCCAUCUUUUCCCAAUUUAUAAGUGUUUUCUUUUCCAUCAUGCUGCGUUGCAACAUCAAAUUGCCAAAGUUUACCGAAUAACAAGUGACAAGCACCCAUAUCCAGAAUAUCAAAAUAUACAUCAUCUUUGUAUUUACUAAUGGAAAAAGGUACCUUACAGAGUUUUGUUACAUGAAUCUUCUUUGCUGCCUUAAUCCAGCCAAUAGUGUAUGGAUUAGGGUAUUUCUCUGCCCUUAAUCCCAAACUUUCCAUAUCAUCCUUACUAAUAAUAUUCUCGUAAUUACCAUUAUCAAUAAUCACAUCAAAGAAACAGCUAGUGAUAGUGCACCUGGUUCGAAAUAAUUGAUGUCGUUCAAUAUUAUCCUCCUGCUUUGGAGACAACAUCAUUCUUUUCACCACAGUUCUGACCAUUUUCAUUAUCCUCAUACUUGUCAUUAUCCCCAUCCGGACCACAACAAAUCUCAUCAUCCUCUUCUUUUCGUUCCACCACAUGGAUUGCUUUUUUAAGAGGACAAUCACUAGAUCUAUGACCAAGUUGAUUGCAUUUGAAACACUUCCCUAAAUUUGGUUUAGCAUAGGGAUUUGCAGCUUUCUGCCCUUCUUUUGCAUCCGUCAUUUUCUACUUUUCAAUUGUCUUCUCUUCCUUGUACUAGUCAUUGUGUACAAAACUAUCAUGAACUAAUUUAUUCUUGUUGUUGGAUGCUUUAUAAUUAUCCAAACUGUAACUCUUGCAAGAAUAAUCAUGUCUAUUUUUUUCUUGCAACAUCAAUUCAUCCUUUAAAGCAAUAUUUCUUGCUUGAGAUAAAUUUCGUAAUCCCUGUACCUCUAUCUUGUCUUUGAUAAUUGGCUUCAACCCUUCUAGAUACUUGGUAACUUGUUGCUCUUUAAUCUCUCUUAGGUCAUUCCACUCUGCUAGUCUCAUAAAUUUUGCAAUAUACUCAUGUACAGUUUUCUAACCUUGAUGGCACCUUUGGUAUUGGUAGAAUAAAAUCUGUUCAUAAUCAGGUGGAAAAAAAAUCUUUUUGUAACAGCUGCUUCAUCUUAUAUCAGGUUCUAACUGGUGCUUUCUCCUCAUGAUUCCUUCUAAACUGUAACUUUUCCCACCAUGUAGAAGCUCCAUUUUUCAAUCUGUAGGUGAGAAGUCUCAUCAUUUUUCUUUUUGGAAUUUUCAUAUAUUCAGAAAAUCUAUCUUUUUUCACAAUCCAAUCUAGAAAAUCUUCAAUAUUCAAACUUCCAUUAAAGCAUGGAAUAUCUACCUUUAAUCUGAGAUUGUGGGUAUCUCGACCACCAUAAUUAUUCCUUCUAUAUCUUACGUACCUCAUAGGUUCUGCAAAAUAAUCAUCUUCCUCGUCUAAAUCUUCCAUGUGGACAUGUUGUCUACCCCUAUUUGUAAGAACAGGUCUGUUGAUUAGCUGUCCACGAGUUGCGUCAUCUCUACUACGUGGCCUUUUGUCAUUCCAAUUUCUGUUGGCAUCUAUGCCUAGAGAAUCAAGUUGAUUUGCAAUUUCUUUAAAGUGCCAUUCCAAAUGUUGGAAUCUAAGAUCCAUUCGUUGCUCCAAAGCUUUCAAUGCCACCCCUUGAUCUUGCACUACAAAUUGCGAGGUUUUAGUUCCCUAAUCAUCGACAUGGGAACCACCUUCUACCAUAAUUAGGUCAUUUGCCAUUAGAUUGGGUCAGUUUUCCCGCCUCUAAUACCAACUGACAUAGUGAGUUAGUGUGAAAACAAAGGCUAGCACCUGAUUAAGCCCUUAAGGUUAAAACCAAGUUUCAAAUGUAGAAACUUAAACUCAAGUUUGAGAGAAGAACUUAAUAAUGUUAUUCCAUGAUUCAAAAAAGCUAAGCUUAAUGGUCCUAUUUAUAGUAUUAUAGGCCCAAGUUCUAACAAAACUCUACUUCUAGUUGUCUAGUACAACUAGAGUAGUUAACAAGAGAUUUAAGUAAAAUAAAUGUUCUAUUUUUAAUUAGAACAUGACUAUCCUAAAAUCCUAAUACAAGUAAAUUAAAUAAAAUAGAAAUUCUAUUAUACUUAUAUUUCUUAUGUAAGACUCCUAACUAAACAAGAAAAAUAUUAAAAAUAUUAAAAUUAUGAAUAUACCCAUUUAUGACUUUUGGGCUUUUCGUUUUGGCUUCUAACGCUCAGCUUACUCCAAGAAAUUAUCUACUAGACAUUCUACAUCAAUUAACAUCUUGAGGUCCCCUUGUUGCAUGGGAGAAAGAGUGCUAAUAUUUACAAGUAUUGGAUCGAUAAAGUUAAGAGCCGUUUAUGUGUAUGAAAAACAUCGUCUUUAUCUUAUCGAGACACUUAACUCUUGUUAAAUCAAUGCUAUCCAGUAUCCCACUACACACAAUGCAAAUAGUUUCUAUUCCGUUGGAAAUUUUGUAAAAAAAUUAAGUUAUUGUGUAGGAAUUUUCUUUGGCAUGGUGAAAAUCAUAGCAAGAAGGUACAUAUGUUGCGGUGGAGUACACUUUAAGCCAAAAGCAGGAGGAGGUAUGGGUAUUCGAAGUUUAUCCCUAAUGAACGAUGCCUUCAUUCUAAAAUUAUGCUGGGAGCUGACAUCCAAACCUGAUGCACUUUAGGUGAGGGUACUUGUGCAUAAAUAUAAUUUUAACAGGGCUAGAUACUCAGAUCACAUUAUGUGAAGUGGUUGUUUAAAUUUGUGGAGAUCGAUGAGCAGGUUAUGGUGUGAGUUCAUUAAACACCUGAGAUGGUCAAUUGGGGGUGGAGUAUCCGUUAGUUGUUGGAUUGAUAUAUGGGUAGGAGAUGUACCGUUAUUUAAUAUUAUUACAAACAUGGGACUUAUGGCAGAUAUGAGGGAACGGGUAAGGGAUUACAUGAUACCGACUGAAGAUUGGGAUAAGGAGUGACAAACUGAUGUGUUACCAGCUGAAGUGGUGUAGCAAAUUGUUUACAUAAUUCCUCCCAGCUUGUCCGUUUCCCUUGAUGUGCUGUAUUGUGCUUCGUCCUUAUUUGGAUACUAUACUAUAUCCUCAGCGUAUGAACAACAAAAGAGUUUAUUUGAGUCUGGCAGUACAGAGAAUAGAAAAAUGUGGAGUUUAGCUAGGGGAUGGAGUGGUCCUCAAAGACUAUGUGUUUUCCUUUUUCAUUUUUACACAAUCGUGUUUUGACAAAUGCAGAAAGAGUGAAACAUAGGCUAUCGUCUGAUGCUUCAAGCCCGCAAUGUCGUGUUAUUAAGGAAUCAAGUCUCGAUUUGCUUAAGGAUUGUCCUGCUGCAGCAGCUCUCUGGAUGCGUCUGUUGCCCCAAAACAGUAUAUACCAGUUUUUCAAGCAACGUUGUUAGAAUGGUUGUCUGUGAACCUUAGCCAAAGUAAUUUCUUCAUUUUUUAUGUCCCUUGGAACAUUGUUUUUGGUAUAGCCUGCUGGUAUACUUGGAAGUGGAGAAAUUUAUUUAUCUUUGAAGGUGAAAUCUCCAUUAAAGGGCGAUUGAGUGUUAUCAAAAGUAUGGCAGUGGCAACGCAUAAUACAUGGUUAACUCGUACCUUACAAAGUGGAGGACCAGUUAGUGGGAUGGAUACCACCACCUGUAGACUGGAUAGCAGUGAAAUCAGACGGGGCUUACAAGAGUGGAAUGGGGGCUGCUUCUGUUGGAGGAGUUUUGAGAAGCUCAGAUGGUACAUGGAUAGUGCGAUGUGCAUACAAAUUAGGCACAUGUACAGCAUAUCGUGUAGAGUUGUGGGAAGUUCUUCAAGGUCUCAAGAUGACUUGGGAGCAAGGUUUCCGCGGAGUUAAGUUACAGGUUGAUAAUAAGGCAGUGGUUCAGGUCCUGAAUACUUCAUCUGUGAUCUGUGCAUCCUUGCUCUAAGUUAGAUGUAAUUAGAGCAAUCAAAGACUUGCUAAGUAGACAAUGGGAGGUUAGUUUAAGUCACGUUUAUAGGGAGGAGAACAAAGUAGCUGAUUUUAUAGCUAAUUUAGGCUUUGAUUUAAUUAGGUUCUGAUAAUUUUUUGUGUUAGUCUCCACCAAUAGAUGUGUCAACCCUACUGGUGAGCGAUAUGUGGGGAGUCUGUAUCGCAAUCAUGAUUUAUCAAUAAAUUUUUUAUUCCAAAACAAAGGUAUUCUUUUCAUUAAAAUGUAGCAUUGAUAGAUAUAGUUGUCUAAAAAAAAUAAGAUUAGUCACAAAAUUCUAUCAAAUAACUUUUUUCAAAAUUUGAAAUUAAACCCCUCAUUGUAAUGGGUUUUUAUUGAAAAUUUUAUUUUAGUUAUUAAAAUGACCAAAUCUAAUACAAAUUUGAACUUUACAAUAUAGUGGAAUUAACCCUUUUUUUUUAAAUGAGAAUACAUUUAAAAGUACAAAUCAAAAUAACAAUUAAAUAACUCUGAAACAUAUAUGAACUCAUUAAACCAUCAUAUAUGUUAGAAAAAAUUUCGACAUUUACGCUAGCCACUUACUCUUUUAUUUUAUCUUUGUGUAACAUGUGCAAAUGUCAAAAUAAUAUUCUAGAUUAAAUUAUGUAAACUUCUUUUGCAAAUAAAAUUUAUAUAAUAUAUAAAAAUAUAUUAUUAAAAUAAAAAGUAAAACAAAUGAUUUCGGAAUUCAUUUUGAUAUUUACAUCAUUGAUUAAUAAGUUUUAACAUUUGAAUUAUUUUGGUGCUAUUAUUGAGAGUCCUACUUAUACCCACUGCUGGUUUUCGGAAAAUGAGAAGAACAUUCCUAAAAAUAUUUUCCAAGAGCUUGACUUUGAUUUUUCAAACGAUGACUUGCUAUCAUUUACUUAAUCCAAAAACGACCCAAUGCUUUUAUUUUUCCUUGACUUAAUGUAUAUCAUUUACUUAUACGUGCUUUCAUCGAAAUGGUCGUUGGAAUAUUGAAGACAAAAACGACCCAAUGCUUUUAUAUAUCCUUGACUUAACAGUUAAAACUUGUUACUGCCUCAUUCUCGCUCUUCCACGUCCAAAUUUUACAAUGACGAAACCAAAAACAGAACUGCCAUUGCUUAGCCCACGAUCCUUGCUUUACUUCUGUUCCCUAAUGCUUGCCUCGCUGCGAGUGAAAACAAGGACUGCGGCGGCUCUUCUUUGUGUGGAAACCUUACCAUCAGUCACCCUUUCCAAUUAAAAAGUCAGCCCAAGUGUAAUGACCGUGAUUAUAGGGUCGAAUUGGAGUGUGAGAAUGAUAAUCGCACCAUAUGGGUCAGGGAAAAUGGGAAAUUCUAUGUCAAGGAAAUCUUUUAUUCUAAUUUUACGAUCCGAUUGGUGGAUGGGAGCCUGGAUGCGGAUAUUUGCUCCCUCCCGCGCUCUUCUGCUCUUCCUUUUUAUGAUAGUCCAUGUGAUCCCAUAUGGUUUGAUUAUCCAAAGUAUCCAAAUGGAUCAUUUUAUGUACCUUCUAGGGACAUGCAUCUUGUCAAUUGCACAAGACCAACGAAUUCUUCUCUGUACGUUGAUGCCUCUCUUUGCACCAACAGCUCUUCCCAUCCACCUCCCUACUUUUACUUUUUAGAUCAAGAAACACCAACCCGCGAUUUCAAUCCGUUUUGCACAGUCAUAGCCGAGAGGGUUCGAGUUAUAAUUCAGAAUAUCACAGGUCUAUCUACUUUGGAUAUCUACGAAAAGCUAUCAAUUGGCGUUGAUUACUCAUGGGACGACCAUGGUUGGAUUUGCUUGGAGGAUAAACCUUCAAUAUUUCAUACGACGUAAAAAUUCUCAAGGAUUUCAAUUCUAUUUUCUUAGGUUGUGUUUGGUUGGGACUUCAAAUUCUAACUUGAAAAAUUGUGGUCAAAUAAUUAUCUUGAAUGAAAAGUUUCCCUUUUUUUAAUUUUCUGCAAUUUGGAUUUUGAAAAUUUUGAAUUCAUGUCAUUGUAAGUUUGCUGAUUCAAACGACAGUUUAUAUCAAAAUUCGGCUUUAAUAUCUCUCACUUUCAAAUAAGGUUAGAUAUGCUAACAUAAUGUUUUCUGCUUUUGUAGCUCUGUUGCUUAAUAAACUUCUUUUGGCAGCGGAAAAGAAAAAUAAAAAUGAAAACAUAAUGUUCAUUAUGUUUCAUUUUUAACAUUUUAAAUUCUUUUCGGGUUCAUAUAUUUCUUUUUGUAUUUUCUAAUCGCCCAAACAGGGAAAAAGUUUCUUAGUUUAUUUUCCUUUGUUACUAAUUCAUUUAUUGAUUCUUGUUGUGUUGAAUAUUGUAGAUUGGCAUCGGUGAAGUAUGCAUUGACAAACUAUAUGGACAGCUAUGUAUAUUUUCUUAUGCAUGGCCCUCAUGUAUCCAGUAAUACAAAAUAUCCACCUAAAAGUAUGCUUUUGCAUUGUUCAAACAGAAUUGUUCUUAUUGGAUUUGUCUCUUUGUUCGUUCAGUUGAAAUAAUCUAUAUUUUGUUUUUUGUCAUGGUGUCUUUCUACAGGAACGUAUUUUCUCUGUCUUGGAAUUACAGGUAAGUUUUAGCUUUGCAAAAGAAUUGAGCAAUAUCAGUGUUCUCAAUUAUUUACAACUAGGGGAGCAUUAAGAUGUUACACGAAUAUUGUACAUUUUGGGGAUCCAAUAAUUCUCUCUUUUUCUUUUUUUUUUUCCCCUUAAUUUGUCUUUUGCAACCAUGCUCAUUCAAAGAUGCUAAUACAUGUUCCAACAAUUUUCUUGAAAAGGAAGUAGAACUUUGCUGGGGAUAUCUUGCUUGAUUGCGCUUGCUAUGUACAAAUUGCGGAGGAGACAUUUAUGUGCGGAUGAUAUAAUUGAAGAGUUCCUUCAAAAUCAAAAUAAUUUAAUACCUAUUAGGUAUGCUUAUCGUGAAAUAAGAAAAAUGACUAGAAAUUUUCGAGAUAAAUUAGGUCAAGGUGGUUAUGGUUCAGUGUUUAAAGGAAAACUUUGCAGCGGUCAUCUCGUAGCAAUAAAGUUAUUGGGCAAGAAAGCUAAUGGGCAAGAUUUCAUUAACGAAGUUGCAACAAUUGGGAGGAUUCAUCAUGUUAACAUCGUAAAACUUAUUGGAUUUUGUGUAGAGGGAUCAAAACAAGCUCUUGUAUAUGACUUUAUGUCAAAUGGAUCUUUAGAUAAGAUCAUAUUUGCAGAAGAAAACAAAAUCACCUUAAGUUGGCAAAGAAUGUUUGAUAUUGCGCUUGGGGUGGCUCAAGGAAUUGAAUAUUUACAUCAAGGAUGUGACAUGCAAAUUUUACAUUUUGAUAUCAAGCCACACAAUAUUCUUCUAGAUGAGAACUUUAUCCCAAAAGUUUCAGAUUUUGGUCUUGCUAAACUUUAUUUUGUAGAUGAUAGCAUCGUAUCUCUCACAGCAGCACGAGGCACAAUAGGAUACAUUGCUCCUGAAUUGGUUUACAAAAACAUUGGAGGCAUCUCGUAUAAGGCUGAUGUUUAUAGUUUUGGAAUGCUAUUAAUGGAAAUGGUAGGAAGAAGGAGGAAUUUGAAUGUGCUUGCCGAACACUUAAGUCAAAUAUACUUCCCCUCAUGGAUUUAUGGCCGAUUUCAUCAAGAAAAGGGCAUUGAGAUGGGAGAGGUUUCAGAUGGUGAAAAGAUAAUUGUGAGGAAGAUGAUAAUAACAGCUUUUUGGUGUAUACAAGUGAAGCCUAAUGAUCGUCCUUCAAUGAGCAAAGUCUUAGAGAUGCUUGAAACUGAUGUUGAGCUCCUUUAGAUGCCCCCUAAACCUUUUCAACUUCCUUUUGAAAUAUCAAGUGAGGAUCAUGUUGAUAACAAUCCAAGUGAGGAUCCAACUUCAUCACUUCUUUCUUCAAAUGAAAUUAGCUUAAAUAUAGCCUAAGUUAUGAAACUUUUCAUUUUAUCACAUUAUCUUUGUACUUUGAUAACAAGAAAAAAUCAUGUCCCUCUAGAAUUUUGUAUGGUAAUUUCCAAACUUUGCUUUGUAUUUUGAGCUAUGUUUCUAUGGGUUUUCUUUUUGCAUACCAUUUUGUUCUUUAUUUUAUAAUAUCCCUCAUUUUGCUUAUUUGACCUAUCUUAUUAUUUCUUUUGUUAAGCUUAACCUUCCCCCUCUUUGUAGAGAUGGCUUAGAAAAAUAAAAAAUUAAAAAUGGUAAUGGAACCAAGAAUUCCAUAAGAUUUAAAUUCCAAGACAGGGCCCUAGUGGUUGCCUUUGUUUUAUAAUUUAAGUCCAAGUAUGCCAAAGAUAAAAAAGAGAAUAGAAAAUGAGUAAAAGUUAUGUUAUUACUUCUAAAAUGAGCAUUAAGUUGAAAUAAAAUGUUACUCUUCUUUCUUUUAUCUGUUUCUUUAUUCUAAUAAAAUUUUAAUAAUUUAUACAAUUUAUAUAUGAAACCAUUUAUUUGUUUAGUUAUACAAGAAAUUUUGACGAUUUUUUUAUUGCUUUCUACCUAAAUCUUGAUAGAUUGUUAAUUCUCAAAAAAAAAAAAUCAUAAACCAAUUACAUAACUCUGAAACAUAUAUAAACUAAUUAAAUCAUCAUACAUGUUAGAAAAAAUUCCGACUUGUAUGCUAGCCACUUACUAUUUUGUUUUAUCUUUGUGUAAUACGUGCAAUUAUCAAAAUAAUAUUCUAGAUUAAAUUAUAUAAAAUUCUUUUGCAAAUAAAAUGUUUAUAAUAUAUACACAUUUAUUAUUAAAAUAAAAAGUAAGACAAACGAUUUUCGAAUUCAUUCUGACAUUUACAUCAUUGAUUAAUAAGUUUUAACAUUUGAAUUAUUUUAAUGCUACAUUUAAGCAUUUGACUUAUUGAUUGGUGCAUAAUCCCCUGCUUAAAUAACAGAGUUUGAUUCCCCAUCUUCUAAUUAAAAAAAAAUAUUUUGGUGCUAUUAUUGAAAGGUCCUAUACCCAUUGCUAGUUUUUGAAAAAUAAGAAGAAAGUUCCUAAAGAUAUUUUUCCAACAGUUGGACUAAUUGGUUAAACUGUUUUCUACAUUGACUUAUGAUUUUUCAAACGAUGAUCGCUCUCAUUUACUUAAUCCAAAACAAGCAAAAAAAAAAAAUCUUUGUUUGGAGCCAGUCUUGCCAUAAGUUAAUAUCUUCACUAGAGGACUAUUACUUUAUAAUACUGUUUCAAUUGGAUUGUUUCUCUCUUUGUUUGGAUGGUUGGUGGCUUUGAAAUUUUGGAUCUUGUUCUAACUUUUUGACAAAAAAGAAAAAGCCUUUAAUGGAUUACCAUAUUUAGGUUCGUAAAAUCUCUUAAUAAUCUUACUCUUUUUCAUUUAAUAUUUUUUUAUUUUUGACAUAAAAUGUCAUUAAAUAUUGAACAUCAUUAUUAUAAAAAAAUUUAAAAUAAAACACAUUACAUUAAAGGGAGAGGCUAUUGGCACUCCCUAUUGUCUAUUUGCACUCCCCACGAACAACUUAACAUUGUACUUUCUUAAAUUAGACUCACUUAAAUAACUUCUUUUUAUUAAAGUUAAACUUUAAUUAAAUAUAUUAAUGUUUUGUGUACUUCAUAUGUUUUUGAUGAUAACAAAACAUAUCUCAUUCAUUAAUAUUUAACUUUAUAAUUUAAGUGUGUAGGAUUUAAUUUUAUAACCCUAACAAAGCGGUUAAUUAAAAGUAAGUCAAGAAGCUUGUUGAAUUAAAAGAAGAAGUUAAUUGGUCGAAAAAGGAGAAGGCAAGUAAUGAACAAAGAUAGAACCUUAGUAAUUGAUUAUCAAGUCACCUUAAUCAGUUAAGGAGUGGCUGUGUGAUAAGUUGAAGCAAAACAUAAAAAUGCUAAUCAGUUAAGAAGUCUGAUAAUCGGUUAAAGCACAAGGUCCUAGUAUCUUCAAGUGCCAAAAACAAGUUUGAAAAUAUUAUUGACCGUUGAAGGGAGCUAAAACGGAAAAGUUUAAUUUUCAAAGAACUUCUAGUUGAUUAAAGGUGAUUUUAAUUGGUUGUGGUUGAAAGAAGUGAAGGUUCAAUCAGUCAAGGGACGUGCUGACCAAUUAGAGGAAGACUACUGUGUAGAGAAGUGAAAACAAAAGGUUUGUAAUCAGUUAGAGCCUGCCAUAACCAAUUAGAGAAAGUCUGAAGACAAAAAACUCUUAAUUAGUUAAAGCCUCCUGUAAUCAGUUAGAGCAGAGAAAACAACAGCAGGAUUGUUGUUUAAUUUUUUACCCAUGUAAGUAUACGUAUCACAAAUAUAAUAUAGUGAUGAGUAAAGUAUCGUUCCCACAAAGAAUUGUUUUAACUCCUUUCGUUAAGUACUAAAAUUGACACAACCUAAUCUUAUUUAAAUAAUUAAAAAUAUAAUUAAAACUAAUAAACUAAUAAACUAAACAUAAAACUAAUCUAAAAUCUAUUAGCAAAUUUACUUUAUUAAAUUUGAGUGACUACCAAACCUAAGAUUAUGAUAUCCCUCAAUACUUUAUCUAAAUAUUGUCUACCUUUUUCUCUCUCUUAAUUCAGUUUAAUGGGUUAAGUUUUUUUUUUUAUAAUUGAGGGAGGGGGGAUUUGAACCCUGCUCUUAAGUAAAGGGGAUUAUGCACCAACCACUAAGGUAAAUGCUCGGUUGCGUUUAAUGGAUUAAGUUGCUAACCUAGAGUCUUAAGUUAUUUACAAGUCUCUGUCGAGUUUCUCAUAAAAAUACCUUCCUCAAUUAAUUUACUAUAUGUCUAUGCAAAUUAUAUUGAAGAAAGAUUCAUUAAGUUUGUGCUCUAAUCCGGGCUACAUAUGGCUUAUAGGUGUAUGUCUACCUUAUAUGAAAAUCAAACCACCUAAUCAACUAAGUGUAUUUGAUCAUACGCUAUUCUAUUCAAGGUCUACCUAAAUCUCCUUCGUCAAGGUUUAACCUAGGUUUCCAAUUCAAUCUAAUUGGUGGCUAAUCAACUAGAAGCAUUAAGAACAGAAUAAAAUAAACAACUUAAAUCUAUCAAACAUAAGUAAAAGAGAGAUAAAUAGUUCAGGCUGCGUAUUGAGUUCAGUCAUAAUCUUAUAUUAACAUUUUAGUUCCCUAUCAAGUCACACAUCAUCAUUGAAUGAAGUUUAAACAUUCAAAUCAAACUAAGAAAAAUAAGAAAAUAACAAAAAGAUAGCAAAACCUAAGAAUUGUAUUCUUGAUCUCCAAAUCUCCUUGAAUCCUUCAAAUUCUUCUUUGCUUCAAUAACUUUGUGACUGAACUCUCAAUUAUCAAUUUGGUGUUUUAUUCCUUUUUCUUCUCCUUUAAAAGUCUUCUGAAAGGUUAUUUUUAUAGGCUUUGAAGUUAAGCUAAGUUGGGUGAAGAAAGAAGUCAAUUUUAGUUGGGAUUUCCUCAUCUGACUAUGUGGGCCGCAGCCUUGCCCAAUUUAUUAACAGAAAUCAUAAUUGCUCUAUGACUGCUAUAGUGCAUUAAAUUUGACAAGAUCUUUGACCAUCUUCCAGGUUGAACUGGUAAAGUGGUAAAUAUGAAAGUUGUAGAGUUUUCUCUUGUCUUUCCAAUGAUUCAAGAAUUGCUUCAUUUAAAGCUCUAUAGAGAGAGUUAUGGUAGAAAUAUCAAAACAUGUGCAGUGAAAGUCUACACCUCAAAAUUGCUCUUCUUCUUUCACUAAAAUUCUUCUUUCAUCAAAUAUCUACAAAAACACAAAUAAAUCAACAACAACCUAUCUUAACCACAUUAACAUCAAUUUAAGCAUAAAAUUAACUAAGAUUAGAUUGACUCACCUAAACUAACUAAUUUAAAAUAAUUAAAUAAAAUAUACUAAUUUCUAUGCAUUACUACAGGAACUAAGCUAAUUUAUUAUCAAAAUUAAACCCAAAUAACUCUUUAUCAUAAAGUUAUCAAGGACAGUGCAAGACAGAAAGUCUAUAAUCGGUUAGAGCUGCCUAUAACCAAUUAGCUGAAGUUUGUCUCUCUUUUCGAAUUUAAACACUAGAGGAUAAAAUAAUAGCUAAAAGUGUAUCAGAGUUGUUCCUAACAGCUAAAAACUGUCUCCAAUAGAAAAAUUUGACUCCCCAAGUAUAAAAGGAAGUUCCAACAGUCAAAGAAAAGAGAGUUUUUGGAAGAUUUAAAGAAAAAAAAGCUACUUUGAGCAAAAAGCCAACUAUUCUUUACCAAAAAUACUUGUUCUUCAUUCCAAUUCUAGAUAAAGUGUUUGAGCUAGAUUGUAAUCUGUCCAGACUUGUGAAGGCACUUAGUUGUACUUCUUUUUCUUCUCUUUCUUGGGAAAUUAGAGUGUGGGAAAUACUUUAAAGCUUAUUGUAAGGGAUUAGAGCUUGGAUUAGAAAUUUACCUUGUAAAAGCUUGGUGGAAGCUGUUAAUUCCACUAGUUUAGUGAAGUUGGGUUUAAAAUCCUUUAUUAGGAGAUCAAGGUAGUGGAUGUAGGUCAAAGGGAUUGAACCAUUGUAAAUAGCUUUGUUUUGUCCACUUCUCUUUACCGUUCCUUACUUAGUGUCUUUUAUCCACUACAAGCUUUAUUUUCACUCUCCUCUAAUUGGUUAAAAGGUUUAUCUUUCAAAAAGGGCUGAACUUAAAAUUUUUAGUGCUCUUCACCCCCCUCUAGCAUUCCAUUGGGAUCAACAAGUGGUAUCAAAGCCAUACCCUCAAAUUUAAGGCUUUAUAUUCUUAAGGAAGAUCCACAUGGCUUUGCAAAAGUUAGUUGUUACUGAAGGAAAAUCUACAAAUAGGCCUCCUCUAUUUGAUGGGUCAAAUUAUGCCUAUUGAAGUACUAGGAUGUCUAUAUACAUUAGAGCCCUUGACUAUGAAAUGUGGGAUGUUAUUAUGGAAGGACCAUAUAUUCCCACCUCACCUAGUUUUGUUACUAGUGAGAAAAUGCCUAAGCCUAGAGCUGAAUGGACUGAGGAUGAAGUCAAAAAGGUCCAAAAAAAUUUUAAGGCCAUUAACACCCUUCAUUGUGCAGUCAUUCCUUUGGAAUUCAACAAAAUCUCUAGCUGUAAUACAGCCAAAGAGAUUUGGGAAAAACUUAGAGUCAUUCAUGAAAGGACGCCUUAAGCAAAGGUGUCCGAAGUUGCCUUACUUACCUAUAAUUAUGAAAUGUUUAAAAUGGAACCAGGUGAAGAUGUUACUAACAUGUUGGAUAGGUUUACCAAUAUUACAAACAAGCUCAAUCAACUUGGAAAAACCAUCCCUGAACAUGAGUUAGUGUUGUUCAAUUUUUUACCUACGCAAGUAUACGUAUUGCAAAGAUAAUAUAGAGAUAAGUAGAGUGUCGAUCCCACAGAGAAUUAAAUUAAUCCUUACUGUUAACUACUAAAAUUAACACACCCUAAUUUUAUCUAAACAAUUAAACUUAAAAUUUAAAACUAAUAAACUAAAAACUAAAACUAAUCUAAAAUAUAUUAACAGAAUUAUUAACUUUUAGUGAUUACCAAACCUAAGAUUAUGAUAUCCUUUAAUACUUCAUCUGAAUAUUGUCUCUCUCUCUCUCUCUUUCUUAUCCUAGUUUAAUGGAUUAAGUUACUAACCUAGAGUCUUAAAUUAUUUACAAGUCUCUGUCGAGUUUCUCAUAAAAGUACCUUUGUUAAUUAAUUUACUAUAUGUCUAUGCAAAUUAUAUUGAAGAAAGAUUCAUUAAGUUUAUACUCUAAUUUUGGCUAUGUAUGGCUUAUAGGUGUAUGUCUACCCUAUAUGCACAUCAAACCACCUAAUCAACUAAGUGUAUUCGAUCAUACGCUAUUCUAUUCAAGGUCUAUCUAAAUUUCCUUCGUCAAUGUUUAACCUAGAUUUUCAAUUCAAUCUAAUUGGUGGCCAGUCAACAAGAAGCAUUAAGAACAGAAUAAAAUAAACAACUUAAAUCUAUCAAACAUAAGUAAAAGAGAGAUAAAUAAUUCAAACUACAUAUUGAGUUCAAUCAUAAUCUUAGAUUAACAACUUAGUUCCCUAUCAAGUCACACAUCAUUAUUGAAUAAAAUUUAAACAUUAAAAUCAAACUAAGAGAAAAAAGAAAAUAACAAAAGGAUAGAAAAACCCAAGAAUUGUAUUCUUGAUCUUCAAAUCUCCUUCAAUCCUUCAAAUUCUUCUUAGCUUCAAUAACUUUGUGGUUGGACUCUCACCUGUUAAUAUGGUGUUUCAUUUUCUCUUUUUUUAAAAGUUUUCUAAAAGGUUGUUUUUAUAGGCUUUGAAGUUAGGCCAAGUUGGGUAAAGAAAGAAGUCAAUUCCAUUCAAGAUUUUCUCAUCAGACUACGUGGAUCGCAGCCUUGCCCAAUUAAUUAACAUAAAUUGUAAUUGCUCUAAGACUACUACAGUAUGUCAAAUUUAAUAAGAUUUUUGACCACCUUUUAGGCUGAACUGGUAAAAGUAGUAAACAUAAAAGUUGUAUUUUUUUCUCUUAUCUUUCCAAUGGUCUAAGAAUCACUUCAUUUGGAGCUCUGUAGAGAGAGUUAUGGUUGAAAUACCAAAAUAUGUGCGGUAAAAGUCUACACCUUGAAAUUGCUCUUCUUUUUCCAUUAAAAUUCUUCCUUCAUUAAACAGUUACAAAGGUACAAAUAAAUUAGUAACAACCUAUCUUAACCACAUUGACACCAAAUCAAGCAUAAAAUUAACUAUGAUUAGAUUAACUCACUUAAAUUAACCAAUUUAAAAUAAUUUAAAUAAAACCUACUAAUUUCUAUACAUUGCUACAAGAACUAAGCUAAAUUACUAUCAAAAUUAAGCCAAAAUAACUCUAUAUUAUAGAGUUAUCAAUUAAUGAAAAGAUUACUUAGAUGUCUCCCCAAAAGUUGAAAGCCCAAAGUUAUAGCUAUUCAAGAGGCUAAAGAUUUCAAUGUGGUCACACCUGAUGAAAUUUGUGGCUCACUCCUCACACAUGAACUUGAAAUGAAAGAAGAAGAAGAAGAGGAAAAGAAAGAAGCCAAAAAGAAGAAGAAAAACCUAGCACUUAAGAUUAGCUAACUAGAGGAAGAAUUAGAAGAGCUAUCAAGUGAUGAUGAUGAAAAGCUAGCUAUGAUGGCCAAAAAAUUUAGAAAGUUAAUGGGACAAAAAGGCAGAAAGUUUGGAAGAAAAUAUUAUAGGAAGGAUCAAGGUCUUUCUUGGAAAAAUAUGCACAAGGAUGAUUUCAGCAAGAAUGAUGAGAUGGUGUGUUUUGAAGGCAAAAAACCAAGACACUUCAUAUCAGAAUGCCCAUUACUCAAAGAAGACACCUUAAAGAAAAUGAAGAAACCAAAAAGAGCAAUGGUAGCAGCAACAUGGUUUGAUAGUGAUUCAUCAAGUUCAGAAGAGGAAAAAGAAAAAUUAAAAGAAAUAGCUAAUUUCUGCUUGAUGGCAAAGGAAAAAGAAAUUGAGAUAACUUCUAAUUCAUUUGACAUUUCCUAUGACGACUUGCAAGAUGAAUAUGACUGCUUAUGUGCUGAAUUCAAGAAACUUACCUUGACAUAUAAAACUAUGAAGAAAAAGAUUGUUGCAUUGAAUCACGUAUUAGAGAAAAUUAAGUUUGAAUAAACUCUGUCUUUGAACAAAAAAACAUACUUCAAAUAGAACUUGAACAAUCCAAAACUGAUUUUGAAUGUUUAAAAACACUGCACAUACUUUAAAUGCUUAGAGUUACAAAGUGCUGUUGAUCAAAAUACUACACUUAAAGCUGAUAGAGAGCAAAGGUCGAAAAUGAAAUUAAAAGAUAAAGAAGAGUUUAAAAAGAAAACAAACCUUCAAAAAAAAAAGAAUGUUGUCUCAUGUCACUGUUAUGUGUGUGGUAGGAAGGGUCAUUUGCCUUAUGAAUGUUUUCAUUCUAAUAUAAUCUUUUCUAGAACGAAAUUGGUUUGGGUUCCAAAAGGAUCCUAUGUGAUUGUUACCCCCAAGGACCCAUCAAAGUAUGGGUACCUUUAAAGAAAACCUGAAAAUCUGUUUUGUAGGUUGAGCAAGGACAAAAAGAUCAAUGUUUAGAAGCUCAACCUAAGGAAAGGCAACCUUGGUUCUUAAACAGUGGCUGCUCAAGGCAUAUGACUGGGAAUGAGAACUUGUUUUCCAAGCUUGAUAGAAACAAAAGUGGUAGUGUUUCCUUUGGUGAUGGCUCCAAGGGUGUUAUCCAAGGAAUUAGAACCAUUAGUAACUUAUUACAAACUCAAAUCAAGCAUGUGCUAUAUGUUAAAGGCCUAAAACAUAAUUUGCUAAGUAUUAGUUAACUUUGUGAUAGAGGCUUUAGAGUAUGCUUGGAUUCACAUGGAUGUCAUGUUUGGAUUCACAUAGAUGUCAAGUAAUUAAUGUUAACACUAACAAAGUUGCAUUCAUUGGUAAAAGAAUAAAGAAUAUGUAUGUUAUCUUUCUUGAUGAAAUUAAGACUUGUGAAUCUUGCUUUAUUGCCAAUGAUGUAUGUGAUAGUUGGUUGUGGCAUAGAAGACUAGGACAUACUAGUAUGCCUACCAUUUCAAAACUUUUGAGAAAAGACUUAGUCAUUGGACUUCCAAAGAUAUGAUUUGGGAGUGACAAAGUUUGUGAUGCAUGUCUAUUUGAAAAACAAGUUAGAAGUUCUUUCAAAUCGAAGAAAGUCAUAUCAACUUCUAAGCCACUUGAAUUACUACACAUUGACUUUUUGGGACCAAUCACUGUUGCUAGUUUAAAAGGCAAGUCAUAUAGCUUUGUUAUUAUUGAUGACUACUCUAGAUUUAUAUGGGCACAUUUUCUUACUCAUAAAGAUGAUGCAUUGCCAAUUUUUAUUAAGCAUUGUAGAAGAGUUCAAAAUGAAAAAGGCCUCACCAUUGUUGGUGUUAGAAGUGAUCAUAGUGGUGAAUUUAAAAGUGAUAGUUUUGAAAUCUUUUGCAAUGAAAAUGGUUUUGAUCACAAUUUUUCUACUCUUAGAACUUCACUGCAAAAUAGAGUUGUUGAAAGAAAAAAUAGGACUUUAAAAGAAAUGGCAAGAACAAUGUUUUGUGAAAAUAACUUGCCAAAAUAUUUUUAGGCUUAAGUUGUAAACACUGCAGCUUAUAUAUUGAAUAGAGUUUCCAUUAGAGCCAUGAUUUCUAGAACCCCUUAUAAGCUUUACAAAGUAAGAACACUAAAUAUUUCUCAUCUAAGGAGUUUUGGAUGCAAAUGUUUUGUCUUAAAUAAUGGAAAACACACCUUGGAAAAGUUUGAUGCUAGGAGUGAUGAGGCAAUUUUCUUGGGCUAUGCAUUGAAUUCUAAAGCAUAUAGAGUGUUUAACAAAAGAACUAUAGUUAUAAAAGAGUGAAUUCAUAUUGUUUUUGAUGAGACUAAUGAUGCACAAAGAAAGGUAGUGCUUGAUGAUGAUGAUGCAGAUGACAUUGAGAAGAAAAUGGAGAAGAUGAGCUUGGACAACAAAGAAAAUGAUGGAGAAAGCUUGAAAGAGAAAGAUGAUAAUGAACCACCACUAGAAGACUUGCAAAAAAUUGAAGAACAGCACAAUGAUCUUCCUAAAAUCUGGAGAUUAGUAAGGAGUCAUCCUCAAGAACUCAUAAUAGGUGAUCCCUCGGAUGGUGUCAAAACUAGAAGGGGAUUAAGAGAAGCUUGUGAGUACCUAGCAUUCAUAUCACAAGUGGAACUAAGGAACUUUGAGGAAGCUGAAAAGGAAGAUAGUUGGAUGAUUGCAAUGCAAGAAGAAUUAGGCCAAUUUGAAAGGAACAAGGUGUGGAUUUUAGUUCCAAGGCUAACCAACCAUCUAUUUUUUGGAACAAAAUGGGAUUUAAUAACAAGAUGAAUGAGUUGGGAAAUGUGGUAAGAAAUAAGACAAGGUUAGUUGUUCAAGGCUAUAAUCAAGAAGAAUGUACUGAUUAUUUGCUUCCGUAGCUAGACUAGAAGCUAUUAGACUUUUACUUGCCUAUGCAUGCCUUAUGAACUUUAAAUUGUUUCAAAUGGAUGUUAAAAGUGCAUUUCUUAAUGGCUUUAUACAAGAAGAGGUAUAUGUUGAACAACCUCCUAAUUUUGAAGUGUUUGAUAAAAUUGAUAAUGUAUACAAAUUGCAUAAAGCUCUCUAUGGACUAAGACAAGCUCCUAGAGCUUAGUAUGUUAAACUUUCUAAGUUUUUUAUUGAAAAUGGAUAUUCUAGGGGAAGUGGUGAUAAUACUUUGUUUAUUAAGAAAAAUGAGACUAAUUUGAUUGUUAUUCAAAUUUACGUUGAUGAUAUAGUAUUUGGUGCUACUAUUGAAAGGUUGUAUGAGAAUUUUGCUAAAAAAAUACAGGGAGAAUUUGGAAUGAGCAUGAUAGGAGAACUAAAGUUCUUCCUUGGUCUAUAAAUCAAGCAAUGUGAAGAUGGAAUAUUCAUCAACCAAGAAAAGUAUACCAAAGAAAUGCUGAAAAAGUUCGGUGUGAUGAAUAUGAAGUCAAUUGGAAUUCUUAUGAGCCUUUCCACAAAGCUUGACAAACAUGAUAAAGGAAGAUAUGUGGACCAAAAGCUCUAUAGAGGUAUGAUUGGUUCACUUCUUUAUCUUACUACAAGUAGACCUGAUAUAUUAUUUAGUGUAUGCCUAUGUGCAAGAUUUCAAUCAUGUCCCAAGGAAUCACAUUUGACUGCAGUGAAAAGAAUAUUUAAAUAUCUCUUGGAUACUCAAAACUUCGGGUUAUGGUAUCCAAAAGGUUCAUUUUUUAAUCUUUUUGGCUAUUCCAAUGCUAAUUUUGCUAGUAGCAAAACUGAUCGGAAAAGCACUAGUGGUACUUGUCAAUUCCUUGAAAACAUGCUUGUGUCUUGGUCUUGCAAGAAACAAAAUUCUGUUGCUCUAUUAACUAUUGAAGCUGAGUAUAUAUCACUAGGUAGUUGUUGUGCACAAAUUCUAUGGAUUAGACAAUAACUAAAUGACUCAAAACCCCCAUUAAUUGUAAUAAUAUGAGCGCCAUUAACGUCUCCAAAAAUUCUGUUCAACAUUUUAUGACAAAGCACAUAGAAAUAAGACAUCAUUUCAUUAGAGAUCAUGUGCUUAAAGGAGAUAUUGAAAUAGAUUUUGUAAACACCUUCGAUCAAUUAGUGACAUCUUCACAAAACCAUUAAAUGAAGAACAAUUUUGUAGAAUUAGGAAAGAUUUAAGGAUGAUUGAUGCUACUGAAGUCUAAAUUAUGCUAAAGUAAUGAUGUUUUGGAUGAUAUAAAUUCAAUGAUGAUAAUGUCUAUUGUUUGGUGCAAUUGAUUAGUGACUAUUAUUGGUUAGCUAAAGGACCCUACAUGGAAGAUAAGAUUCAUUCUAAUCAGUUAAGGAUUUCCCUAAUCAAUUAAAAUAGUUUUGUGUUAUGGGGGUUAACUUAAAUCAGUGAGGUAAUAAUCAGUUAGCAACUCUCUUAACCGAUUAAUGCAAGUGUGCUAAUUAAAGGGCUUUCAAGUUAAAAAUAGUGUAAUCGAUUAAGGCUUCCUUUAAUUGAUUAGAAGAUAACUGUGAAAGAGAUAAGCUAUCGCUCAAGAAUUUUUCAAAAUAAAAAAAAAACUGGUCCGGGGGUACGGGACAGUUUCCACUCAAAACCUGAGUAAUCGGUUAUAACUCCCCAUAAAAGACCCCCCCCCACCUACUUAGUGAAUUAGUUACAUUGAAAAUCAAAUACUUAAGAGACCUUAGAUUUUCCCUUCCAUAUUUUCCUCUGAAACUCAAGAAACCCUAAGAAAGAAAAACCUAUGGCAAAAACUUCUUUCACCCACAAGGUAGUCGAAAAGGGGAAAGGUAAAAGGAAAACUGAUGAUUCUUCAUCACAUUUUCCAAAAAAGAAAAGAAAAAUCAAAGGACAUUCAGCAGAGAAGAAAAAGGGAAGCAAAAGGAAAAUAAUAGAGAAAGAGAAAGGAUCAACAUAUGCAAGAGCUACGACAGGGAAAGGUACUGGUUCUUCUUCUUCUUCUUCUUGAUUUUGAAAUGACAUACAUGCUAAUAGAUUUUGGAGAAUCGAGAAUGCCAUAAUUUCCUGUGGAAAAUUUUUUGAUUGGGAUAGCUUUAAUGAUUCACCGGGAGUAAAAGAAGAUUUAGAGAGAUAUUUUGAAUCUUUGAAAUUAAGAUAUAUGAGUACAUGUAGAGAUAGAAUGUACAGUCCAACUCUGAUUAAGGAACUAUAUUCUAGUAUAGCUAUUAACAAAACUGAACUGAAAAAAGAAGAGGAAUUUACAGAGGAUAGAUUAAAUGUGUUUUUAGAUGGUGAAGAUUUUCAAAUUAGUGCUCAUGAUCUAGGAAAAUUCCUUAAGAUUGAAUUCGAAGUAGGAGACUGCAAAAUACUAGAGAAACAUUAGCCAAACUAUCUAUAGGAAGUUAUCACUGGAAAAAGGGAGAAGUUUCCUUCUAGAAGCUAUGCCAGUGAGAUAAAAAAUGCUCAACUUAGAAUUCUUCAUUAUUUCAUAUCAACUACUCUCCAUGGAAGAAGUAGCAUCUUUAAUUAUGUGAGUGCAUAGGAUUUGUAGCUAAUGGAAGUUGUCUUCAAUAAAUCCCACGUAAUGUGGGAAGAUAUAUGGUGGAAAUAAUCAAAAUAACUACACUAGGGGACAAAGUAAAUCUACCAUAUGGCAAUAUCUUUACAAUCUUUAUGAAAAAGAAAGGAAUUUAAAGUGGAAGAUUUCUGUUUGAUCUUAUGAAAAACAAAGAUCAAGGAAUAUUCCUGGGUAGUGUACUAAAAAUGGGUUACAAGAUAGGGAGGAAUGAAUUUAUUAAGAUCACAAAAAGUACACUUUUGCCGCCUCUAACUGGUAGUCCUUCAACACCCUUCACCAAGGCCAGUCAACCCCCUUUUCAAAGUGACAUGAUGCUUAAUCUUCUGAUGAGAAUUGAUGGGAAGUUGACUGAUCAAGCUGAGAAAAUGGUAAAGAUCAACGAAAAACUUCAAUAGCUUUAAGCUCUAUUAAAUCCAGCUAAGGAAACCAAAGUUCCUAAAGCCACUGUCUUUGCUGCAAGUCAGUUAAGUGAGAGGAUUGCUACAGAACAAUUUCAAAGUGUUACUUCUGGUCAUUAUAGGGAAACUGACUAGGAAAUACUUGAAAAUCCAGAUGUGACUUAAGCUGGGAUUAAGGAAUCUAAAAAGAAGAAUAAUGAACAAGAAGAACAAGAAAAAGAAAAACAAUUACCCACUGAAGAUGAUGAGAAAGAAAAAGAAAAAGAACAUUCAAAUGCUGAAAAGAGUGUUGUGAGCUCCCCUACAAAAUCUGAAAAGAUUCUUGUUUCUGACUUCGUAAAAGAUAUCAUCAAUGAAGCUAAAGUUGACCAAGCACACCAACAGACAAGGAUGCAUCAAGAAGCUCAGUUAACUCCACUAGAAACAGAACAAACUACAGAAAAAGCACAUCCAGACAAGGGUAAAGUUACUAACACUGAUCUUGUAGCAAAAAAGACUACUGGUACAGGUAAGAAAACUAUGGCCACCAAGACCAAAACCUUCAGAAGAAGAAAGUCUACAAGAUUGACAUUGACUUCCAACCAGCAGUCUUCUAAAUCUGCAGACUCCUAGUUUAUUUCAUCAAACUCUCUAUCUCGCUCUUCUUCCAAACCUUUCAAUGUUCAUUUUGGCACUAAUGAAUCCUCACCUUCAUCUGAUUCAUAUUAGAACCUUUUAGAUGAUGCCAAAAAAGGGGAAAAAAAUAGGAAGACAAGAAAAUAGGAUUAGGAAAUAGAACUGAUAGGAAUGAUGAACUCAGUCCUUAAGUUAUGCUUUUAUUGUCUUCUCUUUGGCAUGUUUUUUUUUUUUUGUGAUGAACAAUGGUUGUGUGGUUUAUAUGUUUUAUGAUGGUGUUAUGUGCUGAACUAUGUUAUAUGGGUCAUAUGGCUUAUGUUGUGCUGAGUUUCUAUAUUUUUAUGUUGGACUUAUAUUGAAUGGUAGAAUAUUGAAUAUAUACAUGCAUAUAUGUAUAUAUAUGCUCUUGAGUUUGAAUGGNUAUAUAUAUAUAUAUAUAUAUAUAUAUAUAUGUAUGCUCCUGUAUUUGAAUGGAUUUAUGUUGGAUAAUUUUAUUAGAGCAUAUAUUUAGGGGGAGCACAUACUCAGGGGGAGCAAUCCUCAAAGCUGCACAAAAUAUUCUUUUCAUUUACAGAAAUUGCACUCUUAGUAUAGGGGUGUUUUAUCAUCAUCAAAAAAGGGAGAGAAUGUUGACUCUAUAUGUUUUUGAUGAUAACAAAACAUUCCUCAUUCAUUAAUGUCUAACUUCACUAUUUAAGUCUGCAGGAUUUAAUACCCCUAACAAAGCUGUUAAUUAAAAGCAAGUCAAAAAGCUUGCUGAAUUAAAAAAAGAAGUUAAUCGGUCAAAAAAGGAAAAAACAAGUAAUGAACAAAGACAGAAUCUUAGUAACUGAUUAUCAAGGGACCUUAGUCAGUUAAGGAAUGGUUGUGUGAUAAGCUGAAGCAAAACAGAAAAAUGCUAAUUGGUUAGAAGGUCUAGUUAAUCAGUUAGAGCAUAAGGUCUUAGCAUAUUCAAUCGUCAAAAACAAGUUUGAGAAUAUUAUUGACCGUUGAAGGAAGCCAAAAUGGAGAAGUUUAAAAUUCAAAAAUAUUCUAGUUGAUUAAAGGUGAUUUUAAUAGGUUGUGGUUGAAGAAAGUGAAGCUUCAAUCAGUUAAGGGAAGCGCUGACCAAUUAGUGGAAGACUGCUUUGUAGAGAAUUGAAAACAGAAAGUUUGUAAUCAGUUAGAGCCUGCCAUAACUAGUUAGAGAAAAUCUGCUGAAGAAGAGAAGUUUGAGGACAGAAAACUCCUAAUCAAUUAGAGCAGAGAACAUAGUAGUAGGACAAUGCAAGAUAGAAAGCCUGUAACCAGUUAGCUAAAGUCUAUCUCUCUUUUUGAAUUUAAAUGUUUAAGGAUAAAAUAAUGGCUAUAAGUGUAUCAGAGUUGUUCCUAACAGCUAGAAACUGUCUCCAAUAGAAAAAUUUGACUCCCUAAGUAUAAAAGGAAGUUCCAACGGUCAAAGAAAAAAGAGUUUUUGGAAGAUUUGAAGAAAAAAAAGCUACUUUGAGCAAAAAACCAAAUAUUCUUCACCAAAAACACUUGUUUUUUAUUCUAAAUCUAAAAAAAGUGUUUGAGCUUGAUUGUAACCUGUCCAAAAUUGUAAAGGUAUUUAGUUGUACUUUUUUUUCUUCUAUUUCUUGGAAAAUUAGAGUGUGGGAAGCACUCUAAAGCUUGUUGUAAGGGAUUAGAGCUUAGGUUAGAAGCUCACCUUGUAAAAGCUUGGUGGAAGCUAUUAAUUCUACUGGUUUCGUGAAGUUGGGUUGAAAAUCCUUGAUUGAGAGAUUAAGGUAAUGAAUGUAGGUCAAGGGAACCGAGCCACUAUAAAGAGCUUUAUUUUGUCCACUUCCUUUUACCCUUCCUUACUUGGUGUCUUUUAUCCACUACAAGCUUUAUUUUCACUUUCCUCUAAUCAAUUAAAAGGUUUAUCUUUCAAAAAGGGCUGCACUUAAAAUUUUUAAUACUAUUCACCUCCCUUUAGCACUCAAUUGGGACCAACAUGUUUGUCUUUUCACACUCUACAAUAUUAAUUAUUUGUAUUUUUCUUAUUUAUUGAAAUAUUUAUAAUUUUUUAUUAUAAUCGCAACUUAAUAAAAAGGAGGAGAGCAUUCUUCUAUGAUAAACUCAUAGGUCCAUAUGUUGACGCAAAUUUGUAUAGUAAACUCGUAGAAACAACAAAAAAAAAAAACAAAUACAAAUAGCAUAUUUAUUUAUCAUUUGACAAUCUUUACUUAUGCCAAAACUUCAACCAUACUAGAUAUUCUAAGUUUACAAAAUCGUCUUUUCAGCUUCUAUUAUGAAUUUUAAAUGUUUUAUGAAAAAUAAAGUGGCAACAAACAAAUCCAUACUCCAAUUCCCAUCAUAUAUUUGUUACAACACAUUAACUGCCGAGCCGAGAUGAUUUCUUUCUUUUCCUUUGCACUAGUGAAACAUUAGAGCCUUUAUAAUUUCCACUUCAAUCGCAUUCAAUAAUAACAUAUCUAUCUUUUUUAGACCUUCGAAUGGUUGUUGCAUAUCCUUGUGAUAGACCAAUGCCACGAACACUAUCUCGAUUUUCAAAUGAUUUCUUUUGAAGUUCAAGAAAAUUAUUGUCCACAAUAUUUUCUUGACAAUCAGUAUAUACUUCUUGCAAAUUAUCUGUAACAUAUGAAACAUAAAAUAUUUUCAUAUAAGGAAACUUAAAUAUCACAAUAGAUAACUGGUUAUAUAUUCUAAAUAAAUAACUAUAGUUCAAACUAUAAGAGAUGCACAAAGUUGGAUGUCAAUAUAUUUCAUGUUUAUUAAGUAAUUACAGGCCCUUGCAAUAAAAGAAAUAAUAAAAAAAUCAGCAAUAAAUAUUUUACAUUCGUUUACUAACGGGUGCAUUUGUUGCAAAAUUAUCUGUAGGAUGAGGAAUUAGAAACUCUAAUAAGGAAUGACUUUAAACGUGAAGACAAGUAUAAACAUUCAGAUUUCGUGGUGCAGGAUUGUGCACGUAGGGACACAAAUUUACGUACUCUUGACCAAAGACCAUAUUCAUUAUGCGGACUCUCAAGUCAUCUUGAAAUUGUACUUUAUUAAUCUGACCUACAAGGCUUCCGCCCAAACUAUUACUACCACUAUUACCUUGCAGAAGGCAACAACCUUUAAAAGGGUAGCCCUCUGCUACAGUUCUAUCAUUAUGGUGUGCUGUUGUUUGUUAAAGACUUACAUGCAAAAGGUGGGUAUUUCAAACUGUUCUCUUAUGCAAAAGGUGGGUAUUACAUAACAUCUCUUAUGUAUAUCAUACAAUACAAGUUAUCGAUGCGAAUCUGGGCAGGAAUGAUUGCUCCCUUCCUCGCAGUUCCUUCAUUUCUGAUAGUAUUUGUAAGACACCGUAUUGGGCGUCUUAUCAUGCGAGAAGCUUUAUGUAUCUUGUAAAUUGCACAACACCGAUAAAAUCUUCUCUGUAUGUUGAUGCCUCUCGUUGUCCAGAUCGCUCUUUUCUUCCGCCUACUUACUUUUAUUUUUUAGAUCAACAAACAAAGCCGCGUGAUUUCGAUCAGUUUUGCACAGUGGAAGCACGGGUUCCAGUUGAGCUAGAGAAUAUCAGCAACGUGUCUACUUUGGACAUCUACGAAAAGCUAUUACUGGGCUUUGAGCUGUCAUGGAGGUACUUUGAUGAUCACCUGCUCUAUUGCGCGGAGGAUAAACUUCAAGUGAUGUAAGAAUUUUCAAUAAUUUUUUUCUAUUUUCCUAGGCUGAGUUAGGUUGGGUCAUUAGAUGUGAUUGGAAUAAUUAUGGUUAAAAAAUUAUUAUAUGUUUUGAAUAGUAAAAAGUUGACGUUUUUCUCAAACUUGAGUUUAUUAGAUUGAAAAUUUUGAAAAGCUUCACUUGCUUUUACCUGAUUUUAUUCUUCACAUGAAGCAGUGGAGACCUGCUGCAAAGAGGAAUAGAGAAAACUCCCUUAACAAUGGAGUGAAAAAAAAAAAAUAAUCCCUUUUAUUUAUUUUUUGCUCCGCCCAUGUCAAAACAAACUUCAUUAAGAAGUUAAACAGAAAAUGGACGCAAGCUAGAGAAGCUAGCCCAGUCCUUCGGGAAAGGUAAUCCGCAGGUCAAGUGGUCGGAUCCCCAUCCUGCUUGGGGGCUAUAACCCUUAUUACCUAUCAAAAAGAAAAAUAAAUCCUACAAAAAGUUCAAAGCAGGGUACAAAACAAGCCUUUUAUUUGAGUUGCUGACAUCUUUAUUUUAUUUGAAUGUGUCGAACAUUCCAGAUUGGACUCGUUGCGAUAUGCCUUGGAAACCUAUGUAGACAGCUUCGCAAAUUUCCUCUUUGGCCAACAUUAUUAUGUAAAUGAAAGUAUGCUUAAUUUGCUGGUUUCAUAAGUAGUUUUCGUAUUGAAUUUGCUCUGUUUGUUCCUUAUGGAAAUAAUUAUGUUUCGAUUUUGUUUUGUUAAUUUUCUACAGGAACGUAUAUUUUAUGUCUUGGAGUAACAGGUAAGCUUUAACUUUGCUAUUGCAUAUGCACCAAAUUGAGCAAUAUCAAUGUUUUCAUUUAAAAAAUAGCUGAAAUUUUUUUUGAAAAAAAAGAAGAGGUAUUAGAUCAUACCAGCUUAUUAAUGUACCCACUUAAAACUCACAAAAGAAUAAAGCUUUUUAAUGAUCUUAAUUUUAGGGGUGAAAGAGUACUAGAAUAAAAUAUUGUUUCUUAUAUAGGUAUAGAUAGAGGAAAAAAUGGUAGUAAAUAAAAAAAAUCUAUGGGCUUGAAUAAUAUGAUAAAAUAAACUAAGUACUUAUUAAUUGAACAUAUGAAUGGUAAAAAUUAAUUGUAAAUUUUCUAGUAAAGCAUAUGAUGAUUUUAGUUAUUAAGAAAUUACCGAACGCACUACCGGAUAGAAUUUGCCUUUCAAGUUAUAAUAUUUAUUUUCCUUUAUGAUAUUCAAACUAUACUAUUUAAUUAUGAGAGAGAGCUUCAUACUGUAACAAGAGCAUCCUAGACUUUUAAUUAUUGGGAAAUAGACUUUGUGAGGGAUCCCACACUAGCUUCUUUUGUUUUUCCUCAAAUCUUUUGCCUUUCCGAAAACAAGCGUCCCACACUUUCAUUCUUUCAUUUUGUUAGGAAGUUUGAUAGGGCGAAAGAUAGUGUAAGUUGCCCGAUAUAUGACAGAAUUACUUUUGUUUUGGUAACACUGUCAUUUGAAUAUACUAAUGCGUUUUAAUGUAUUUUUCCUUAAAAGGAGGAGCUAUCUUAUUACGAACUUUGUUGGGAAUAUGUUGCUUGAUUGCACUGGUUACGUACAAGUGGAGAAAAAGACAUUUAUGUGUGGAUGACACGAUUGAAGAAUUUCUUCAAAAACAGAGUGAUUUAAUACCGAUAAGGUAUUCUUAUCGCGAAAUAAAAAGAAUGACUAGAAGUUUUAGAGAUAAAUUAGGUGAAGGUGGUUAUGGUUCAGUGUUUAAAGGAAAGCUUCGUAGUGGCCAUCUUGUGGCAAUAAAGUUAUUGGGCAAGUCAAAAGCCAAUGGGCAAGAUUUCAUUAAUGAAGUUGCUACAAUUGGGAGAAUUCAUCAUUUUAAUGUGGCGAAACUCAUUGGAUUUUGUGUGGAGGGAUCAAAACAAGCUCUUGUAUAUGACUUUAUGCCAAAUGGAUCUCUAGAUAAAAUCAUUUUUACAGAAGAAAAUGAAACUACCCUGAGUUGGCAAAAAAUGUUUGAUAUUGCGCUUGGGGUGGCUCGAGGAAUUGAAUAUUUACAUCAUGGAUGUAACAUGCAAAUUCUACAUUUCGAUAUCAAGCCACACAAUAUUCUUUUAGAUGAGAACUUUGUUCCAAAAGUUUCAGAUUUUGGUCUUGCUAAACUUUAUUCGGUAGAUGAUAGCAUUGUAUCUCUCACUGCAGCACGGGGUACAAUAGGAUACAUUGCUCCUGAACUGGUCUACAAAAGCAUUGGAGGCAUUUCAUUCAAGGCUGAUGUUUAUAGUUUUGGAAUGUUAUUAAUGGAAAUGGUGGGAAGAAGGAAGAAUUUGAAUGCAUUUGCUGAACACUUAAGUCAAAUAUAUUUCCCCUCGUGGAUUUAUGGCCGAUUUCAUCAAGGAGAGAACAUCAAGUUCGGAGAUGUCACAGACGGUGAAAAGAUAAUUGUGAGGAAGAUGAUAAUAACAGCUUUUUGGUGUAUACAAGUGACACCUAGUGUCCGUCCUUCAAUGAGCAAAGUCUUGGAGAUGCUUGAAACUGAUGUUGAGCUCCUUCAAAUGCCCCCCAAACCUUUUCAACUCCCUCUUGAAAUAUCAGCUCAGGAUCAUGUUGAUGACAAUCCAAGUGAGGAUCCAACUUCAUCACUUCUUUCUUCGAAUGAAAUUAGCUUAAAUAUAGCGUAAGCUAUGAAACUAUUCAUUCUAUCACGUUAUCUUUGUACUUUGAUAAUAAGAAAAAAAAAAUAUGUCCCUUUAAAGCCUAGAAUUUUCUAUUGUAAUUUCCAAACUUUCCUCUGUAUUUUGAGCUCUGUUUCUAUGGGUUUUCUUCUUUCGUACCCUUUUUGUACUUUUUUUCACAAUAUCCUUCAUUUGGCUCAUUUGACCUCUGUUUGUUAUUGCCUUUGCUCAGCUUAACCUUCCCCUUCUUUGGAAAGACAGCUUAGAAAAAUUAAAAAUUGUAAUGGAAGCAAAACUCAAUAAGAUUCAAAACAAGGGCCCUCAAGAAGGUAAUCAGAGAGUUUCGUUUAUAUCGAUUUAAGUUUAACCAUACUUAAGAAUGGAAUGUGAUAAAUUAUUGUGCAAGCAAGAAUUACAUAAAGAAAAAAAAUGCAUGUCAGAAUGUAAGGCUAAGAAAGUUUGUUAGAAACAUAUUACAUAGGAAAAGGAAGAAAGAGAUUGGACAUGCAGUUGUAAAUUUUCUUAACUAACCCAGGAAGGAAGCUCCCUGAUAAAUCAUUGUAAAUAGUAAGUGAUAGAAAAGGCAUAUAAUAAAAUGAAAAAUUACACUUACAUUAGACAGAAGAUAGUGAUUGAUAGAAAAUUUAUAGCUUGGCUAGAUUAUCAAUAAAAUUUAAUAGCUUUGUGUUUGGGUAAAUUACAGCUUUGCUGGAAUUGGGUCUUAAUAAUUUGGUAUUUUAGUGAAAUUAAUAAUAGGAUUUAAGGGUACAGACCUACACUCUGAUGUCCAAAUUUAUUUUAGGAGUCUAUCCAUUUUAUUAAAUCAUAUUAUGAACUAUAAUUAAAAUCAAAUAUGUUUAAUUUAUUUUUUAUAAAAAGAUAAUAAAUUCAAUAAUGUAAAUUCACACUUUAUUAUCUAAAAAUAUUUAACGUUUUAUACAGUUAUAGUCUAGAUUUUAAGUAUCUUUGACAAUAUCACAGGCUUGUGUACUUUGGAUAUACAAAACACUAUUAAUGGACUUCGAAAUGCUAUGGCAAUUCUACGAUAUGAGUUACAUCGUCCUCGACAGAUAUUCAUUUCGUAAGACGAAAGAAAUUUUCAAGCAUUUUAUCAGUUCUAUUUUCUUUGACUCGGCUUUCUGGGGUUUGUUAAAAUUAGAUAGGAAAAAGCAUAAUUAAACUCAAAUUUUUGUUAAAUGAAAACAUUUUGAAUUCAAUUUUCAUUCAUUGUAAUUAAUUUUGAUUCAAACCAUAUUUUAAUUAAAACUUUUUUACAUUAACACCAAACAUUCAACCAUAUUGUAAUUAAUUAGGAUCUACGUUUUGUUGGAAUUUUUGUUUAAAUUAAAACAUUUGAAUUCAUUUGUCAUUGUAAUUAAUUUUUAUUCAAACCAUAUUUAUUAAUCAAGGCAGUUGAUGUAUUGCAUUUAUAUUAAUCUGAUGUAUUGAUUGUUCCAAGUUGGUAGGGUUGCGGUAUGACUUGAUGUUAGAUCAAGAAGCUUGAGAUAAAGCAACCAAAAGAGGGGUGAAUUUGUUCUUUAAUGUAAAAAUUUGAUUUUCUUGAAAAACAGAGAUAAAGAUGAAAACUUUGAAAGCACAACUUGAAAACGAAAAUAUGAGAACUUAUAAAAUGAAGAACAAAGCAAGUAAAAAGUAUAAAGGAGAAGAAAAACAGUUAAUCACGAUUUUAUAGAGGUUCAGUCCUCAAAGCCUACAUUAUUUCUCUUGAUAUCACAAAGGGUUUGAAUCCACUAUCAACUGCCUUUUUCAAUCAAGUUCAAGCAUACUCUUUACAAGCAACUGCCUUUUAAAGAUCAAACACAACCUCUCAAUAGGCUACUUCCUUUUUAGGAUCAAGCACAACUUCUACAAAUUACUGUCUUAUUAGGUUCAAGUACAACCUCUUUACUUUUACAAAAGGUAUAACCUUUUUACCUUUUGCUAUGGAGGUGUAACCUUACAACAAUGGAUUACAAAACUUUGAACCUUUAACAAGGCUGAUAAGCUGAGUUUUAGUACAAGAGAAUGAAAAUGAAUCAAGGAAAAUAGCUCAGGAAAUGAUGCUCUAUUUUGAGAGUUUUGCUGUAGAGAGAGAAAUGAAUGAACUUUGAGAAAUUUUUGCCUUUUUCUCCUCUUGUAGUGAUUUUCUUGCUCUCUUUUCUUUCUAGUUGUUCUUGUCACUUGAAAAAGUCCUCACAACGGUAUUUAUAGGUCUUUUAAAUUUCUACCUAUUAGAGAGAAAUUUUGUUCAUUUUUCAAUAGUUGGGCCCACUUGAAUUGCGUCAAUCAACCUUCAGGAAUCGAUCAAUGGACAUGUGAGAAGUCGAUUAUUUUGCAACUUGAGACAUUUUGCUUUCUAAGAAUCAAUCUUUCUACUCUUGAGAUAUUGAUUUUUCUUGUUUCAAUUUGAGCCUGAUGCUUUUAUGUUUGGUGAGAAUCUACCAAUGCGUUUACGAGUAGUCAAUUCUUCUUGUCUCACUUCAGGUUCGGAGCAUUUUGUUUUGUGAGAAUUGAUCACUGUCUUCUUCAGAAGUCGUUUUUUCUUAUUUGUUGAGCGCCAAAUUGAAAUUUCAAAGUAGAUUUUUCCUGCUUCAUUCUAUUUUGGUUCUUCAAAAAGUUUCCAAUCUUUCCCCUUUGUGGCUUUGAGAAUUGAUCAUGGGAUACUCGAGAAGUCAAUUCUUCUUUUCCAGUGUCUUCUCAUCAUGUUUGUACCUUAUUAGGAAUUGGCCUUUACUUCUUCAGACAUCGAUUUUUCCUCUUCUAGUAGCUUUCUAUUUCAUCAGGAGUCGAUGUUUCCUUACUGAGAAAUCGAUUCUUCCUGCUCCAAAGAGGAAAUAUUGCUUUCCAAUAUACAAAGAAUCAAUGCUUCACUUGCAAAAGUUGAUUAUAUCAGUUGGAACUUGUGUUUUAAAAUGUUCAAAAAGAUUUUCCUUUUCACAAAUAACUUCGAAACACUUUAAGGAUUGUUCUUCAAGUUCAAAAUCAUUUUUAUUUAAUUUCAAGUCAUUUUUAGAUCAUUCAAUUUUGUCAUUUCAAAACUAAAGUCAAUUUUAAAGCUAACAAUAUCCCCCUCUUCGAUAUGAAAAAAAUUAAGAGCUAAAUUUUCAUGUGAAGAACUCAUCUUGAAUUUAUGCUCUCCUGAGUUAGUUUGAAGUCUGUUUAAGCAUAAUCUUAUCCAAAGUGCAUGAUAUUCUUUGUGAAAAAUUUCACACAAACGGAAAAUUCAUCUAAACAUAAACUUGCAUUGGAAUGAAAUGUAAACUAACACAAUAUUGAUGCUUUGUUGUGAGUUGAGAAAACAAGAUAAUUUAUAAGAAAAUUAAAGGUGAUUAAUGGAUUGGUGCAAUCUCUUUGCUUGAUGUUUUCAACUAUGUCAUCUCAGUUUUAUUUUUAAUUUUGCUCAAGGACUAGCAAAAUAUUAAGUUUAGGGGUAUGAUAAUUGUAUUAUAUAGUGUUAUUUAGCCACAUUUUGAGAUGUUAAUAUAGCUAAGUCUUUGUGUUUUAAGUAGAUUUUAGAUAGUUUUUAUGUUUUUAGUUGAUUAGUUUAAAGUAUGUUAACUUAGUUUAAUUCAAGUAAUUUUAGUUUAUUUUCAUGUUGAAAGUCCUAUUUUAAGCCAAUGCUGAUUUAGUUUUUGAGAUGGUCACUUGAGGAUUAAACACUUGAGAUGGUCAAUUGAGGAUGGUGCAUCCGUUAGUUUUUGGGUUGAUAUAUUGGUAGGAGAUGUGUCAUUAUUUAAUAUUGUUGCAAACAUGGGACUUAUGGCUGAUAUGAGGGAACGGGAAAGGGAUUACGUGAUGCCGAUUAAAGAUUGGGAUAAGGAGAGACUAACAGUUGUGUUACCAGCUGAAGUGGUGAAGCAAAUUCUUUACUUUAUUCCUCUCAGCUUGUCCGCUUUCCCUUGAUGUGUCGUAUUGGGCUUCAUCCUUAUUUGGAUGCUUUACUAUAUCCUUAGCGUAUGAACAACUAAAGAGUCUAACUGAGUCUGACUUGAUAUUUUCUAAGAGCUUGACUUUGAUUUUUCAAACGAUGACUUGCUCUCAUUUACUUAAAUCCAAAAAAAAAAAAGAAAGAAAAAUGUUUCAGCGGUCCUAUGUUUCCUUGACUUAAAAGCGUGUUUAGCCUCCUUCGCUUCUUCUUUCAUUAUUUGUAGCGUGUCAAAACCAAAAGUACAAGUUCCACCAGUUAAGUCGAGUUAUAGUCAAGGAAAAUGGCUCGGUGCUUUCUCCAACAUUAAUGAUAUUUCUUUGGAUCCACUCUCUAAAAUUGACAGGAUCAAUGGUUUUCUGGUCUGAUAAAUUUGUAUCUCAUUUUUUAUUUUCUUCGGAAAAUAAGAAGAAAAUUCCCACAGAUAUUUUUCCAAGAACUUGACUAAUUGGUUAAACUGUUUUCCACAUUGACUUUGAUUUUUGGCUGGAGCCAGUCUUGCCAUAAGUUAAUAUCUUCACCGUAGGAUUAUACGUGCUUUCAUCGAAAUGGUUGUCGGACUAUUGAAGGCAAAAAAGACCCAAUGCUUCUAUAUAUCCUUGGCUUAAGAGUUAAAACUUGUUAUAGCCUCAUUCUCGCUCUUCCUCAUCCAAAUUUUACAAUGUCGAAACCAAAAACAGAACUGCCAUUGCUUAGCCUCAUGACCCUUGCUUUAUUUCUAUUCCCUAGUGCUUGCCUCGCUACAAGUGAAAAUAAGGACUGCGGCGGCUCUUCUUUGUGCGGUAACCUUACCAUCAGUCACCCUUUCCGAUUAAAAAGUCAACCUAAGUGUAACGACACUGAUUGUAGGGUUGAAUUGGAGUGUAAGAAUGAUAAUCGCACCAUUUGGGUCAUGAAAAAUGGGAAAUUCUAUGUCCAGGAUAUCUUUUAUUCUAAUUUUACGAUCCGAUUGGUCGAUGGGAGCCUGGAUGCAGAUAAUUGCUCACUGCCUCGUACUUCCGUUACUUGUGAUUAUGAUUUGCCGUGUGACGGACUUGGGUUACCUGGUACAAUUCCAAACACAAUGUAUCUUGUCAAUUGCUCAAGACCAAUGAAUUCUUCUCUUUACGUUGAUGCCUCUCUCUGCACCAACAGCUCUCCCCAUCCACCUUCCUACUUUUACUUUUUAGAUCAAGAAACACCAAGUCGCGAUUUCAACCCGUUUUGCACAGUCAUAAACGAGUGGAUUCCAAUUAUGAUUGAGAAUAUCACAGGUCUGUCUAGUUUGGAUAUCUACGAAAAGCUAUUAAUUGGCUCUGAUUUCUCAUUGGAAGAAUAUCAUUGUUACCAGGAGCACAAACCUUCAAUAUCUCAAAAAUUUCAUACGAUGUAAGAAUUCUCAAGCAUUUAAAUUCUAUUUUCUUUUUUUUUUCUAGAAAUAAAAAUUAAAUCUUUCAUUCUGUAAUGAAAGGAGAUACAAAAAAAUGCCAAAGUCAGUCUCCCAGAGGCCCUAAGAGACCUACUUUGGCAUUCCCUAAAAAAUUUACAAGUAUUACCUAUGAAAUUAGUUCUUCUCUAUCACCAUGCUAGGCAGCCUACAGAUGACACUUNNNNNNNNNNNNNNNNNNNNNNNNNNNNNNNNNNNNNNNNNNNNNNNNNNNNNNNNNNNNNNNNNNNNNNNNNNNNNNNNNNNNNNNNNNNNNNNNNNNNNNNNNNNNNNNNNNNNNNNNNNNNNNNNNNNNNNNNNNNNNNNNNNNNNNNNNNNNNNNNNNNNNNNNNNNNNNNNNNNNNNNNNNNNNNNNNNNNNNNNNNNNNNNNNNNNNNNNNNNNNNNNNNNNNNNNNNNNNNNNNNNNNNNNNNNNNNNNNNNNNNNNNNNNNNNNNNNNNNNNNNNNNNNNNNNNNNNNNNNNNNNNNNNNNNNNNNNNNNNNNNNNNNNNNNNNNNNNNNNNNNNNNNNNNNNNNNNNNNNNNNNNNNNNNNNNNNNNNNNNNNNNNNNNNNNNNNNNNNNNNNNNNNNNNNNNNNNNNNNNNNNNNNNNNNNNNNNNNNNNNNNNNNNNNNNNNNNNNNNNNNNNNNNNNNNNNNNNNNNNNNNNNNNNNNNNNNNNNNNNNNNNNNNNNNNNNNNNNNNNNNNNNNNNNNNNNNNNNNNNNNNNNNNNNNNNNNNNNNNNNNNNNNNNNNNNNNNNNNNNNNNNNNNNNNNNNNNNNNNNNNNNNNNNNNNNNNNNNNNNNNNNNNNNNNNNNNNNNNNNNNNNNNNNNNNNNNNNNNNNNNNNNNNNNNNNNNNNNNNNNNNNNNNNNNNNNNNNNNNNNNNNNNNNNNNNNNNNNNNNNNNNNNNNNNNNNNNNNNNNNNNNNNNNNNNNNNNNNNNNNNNNNNNNNNNNNNNNNNNNNNNNNNNNNNNNNNNNNNNNNNNNNNNNNNNNNNNNNNNNNNNNNNNNNNNNNNNNNNNNNNNNNNNNNNNNNNNNNNNNNNNNNNNNNNNNNNNNNNNNNNNNNNNNNNNNNNNNNNNNNNNNNNNNNNNNNNNNNNNNNNNNNNNNNNNNNNNNNNNNNNNNNNNNNNNNNNNNNNNNNNNNNNNNNNNNNNNNNNNNNNNNNNNNNNNNNNNNNNNNNNNNNNNNNNNNNNNNNNNNNNNNNNNNNNNNNNNNNNNNNNNNNNNNNNNNNNNNNNNNNNNNNNNNNNNNNNNNNNNNNNNNNNNNNNNNNNNNNNNNNNNNNNNNNNNNNNNNNNNNNNNNNNNNNNNNNNNNNNNNNNNNNNNNNNNNNNNNNNNNNNNNNNNNNNNNNNNNNNNNNNNNNNNNNNNNNNNNNNNNNNNNNNNNNNNNNNNNNNNNNNNNNNNNNNNNNNNNNNNNNNNNNNNNNNNNNNNNNNNNNNNNNNNNNNNNNNNNNNNNNNNNNNNNNNNNNNNNNNNNNNNNNNNNNNNNNNNNNNNNNNNNNNNNNNNNNNNNNNNNNNNNNNNNNNNNNNNNNNNNNNNNNNNNNNNNNNNNNNNNNNNNNNNNNNNNNNNNNNNNNNNNNNNNNNNNNNNNNNNNNNNNNNNNNNNNNNNNNNNNNNNNNNNNNNNNNNNNNNNNNNNNNNNNNNNNNNNNNNNNNNNNNNNNNNNNNNNNNNNNNNNNNNNNNNNNNNNNNNNNNNNNNNNNNNNNNNNNNNNNNNNNNNNNNNNNNNNNNNNNNNNNNNNNNNNNNNNNNNNNNNNNNNNNNNNNNNNNNNNNNNNNNNNNNNNNNNNNNNNNNNNNNNNNNNNNNNNNNNNNNNNNNNNNNNNNNNNNNNNNNNNNNNNNNNNNNNNNNNNNNNNNNNNNNNNNNNNNNNNNNNNNNNNNNNNNNNNNNNNNNNNNNNNNNNNNNNNNNNNNNNNNNNNNNNNNNNNNNNNNNNNNNNNNNNNNNNNNNNNNNNNNNNNNNNNNNNNNNNNNNNNNNNNNNNNNNNNNNNNNNNNNNNNNNNNNNNNNNNNNNNNNNNNNNNNNNNNNNNNNNNNNNNNNNNNNNNNNNNNNNNNNNNNNNNNNNNNNNNNNNNNNNNNNNNNNNNNNNNNNNNNNNNNNNNNNNNNNNNNNNNNNNNNNNNNNNNNNNNNNNNNNNNNNNNNNNNNNNNNNNNNNNNNNNNNNNNNNNNNNNNNNNNNNNNNNNNNNNNNNNNNNNNNNNNNNNNNNNNNNNNNNNNNNNNNNNNNNNNNNNNNNNNNNNNNNNNNNNNNNNNNNNNNNNNNNNNNNNNNNNNNNNNNNNNNNNNNNNNNNNNNNNNNNNNNNNNNNNNNNNNNNNNNNNNNNNNNNNNNNNNNNNNNNNNNNNNNNNNNNNNNNNNNNNNNNNNNNNNNNNNNNNNNNNNNNNNNNNNNNNNNNNNNNNNNNNNNNNNNNNNNNNNNNNNNGUUUAGGGUUUAGUUAUAAUUACACUUUCAUUAGGUUAUAAUUAGUUAUAAAGUUCACUUAGACAAAAGAUAGCAACACAUAUAUUGCACAAUUUACGUAUAAUUUUUUGGGGCAAUAGCCCUCAUUCAAAAUAUAUAUGCUAAUUCAUUUUAAUGUAUUUUUCUUCAAAAGGAGGAAUAAUCUUGUCAAGAAUGUUGUUGGGGAUAUCUAUCUUGAUUGCACUUGUUACAUACAAAUUGCGAAGGAGACAUUUAUCUGUAGAUGAUACAAUUGAAGAGUUUCUUCAAAGUCAAAAUAAUUUAAUGCCAAUAAGGUAUUCUUACUAUGAAGUAAAAAGAAUGACUAGAAAUUUUCAAGAAAAAUUAGGCGAAGGUGGUUAUGGUUCAGUAUUUAAAGGAAAGCUUCGAAGCGGUCAUCUUGUAGCAAUAAAAUUAUUGGGCAAGUCAAAAGCUAACGGGCAAGAUUUCAUUAAUGAAGUUGCUACAAUCGGGAGGAUUCAUCAUGUUAAUGUGGCGAAACUUAUUGGAUUUUGUGUGGAGGGAUCAAAACAAGCCCUUGUAUAUGACUUUAUGUCAAAUGGAUCUCUAGAUAGGAUCAUAUUUGCAGAAGAGAAUAAAAUCAGCUUAAGUUGGCAAAAAAUGUUUGAUAUUGCUCUUGGGGUGGCUCGAGGAAUUGAAUAUUUACAUCAAGGAUGUGACAUGCAAAUUCUACAUUUUGAUAUCAAGCCACACAAUAUUCUUCUAGACGAUAACUUUAUCCCAAAAGUUUCAGAUUUUGGUCUUGCUAAACUUUAUUCGGUAGAUGAUAGCAUCGUAUCUCUCACUGCAGCACGGGGUACGAUAGGAUACAUUGCUCCUGAAUUGGUCUACAAAAACAUUGGAGGCAUCUCGAAUAAGGCUGAUGUUUAUAGUUUUGGAAUGCUAUUAAUGGAAAUGGUGGGAAGAAGAAAGAAUUUGAAUGCGUUUGCUAAACACUUGAGUCAAAUAUACUUUCCUUCAUGGAUUUAUGGCCAAUUUCAUCGAGGAGAGGACGUUGAGUUGGGAGAGGUUACAGAUGGUGAAAAGAUAAUUGUUAGGAAGAUGAUAAUAACAGCUUGUUGGUGUAUACAAGUGCCACCUAACGACCGUCCUUCAAUGAGCAAAGUCUUGGAGAUGCUUGAAACUAAUGUUGAGCUCCUUCAAAUGCCCCCCAAACCUUUUCAACUUCCUUUUGAAGUAUCAAUUGAGGAUCGUGCUGAUGAGAAUCCAAGUGAGGAUCCAACUUCAUCACUUCUUUCUUCGAAUGAAAUUAGCUUAAAUAUAACGUAAGUUAUGAAACUUUUCAUUUUAUUAUGUUAUUUUUGUACUUUGAUAAUAAGAAAAUAUCAUGUCCCUUUAAAACCUAGAAUUUUGUAUUGUAAUUUCCAAACUUGUUUCUGUACUUUGAGCUCUGUUUCUAUGGGUUUUCUUCUUUCGUACCCUUUUUGUAUUUUUUUUUCAUAAUAUCUUUCAUUUGGCUCAUUUGACCUCUGUUUGUUAUUGCCUUUGUUGAGCUUAACCUUCCCCCUCUUUGAAAAGACGGCUUGGAAGAAUUAAAAAUGGUAAUGGAAGCAAGAACUCAAUAAGAAACAAAAUAGGGGCCCUCAAGAAGGUCAUCCGAGAGUUUGGUUUAUCUCGAUUUAAGUUUAACUGUACGUAGAAAUGGAAUGUGAUAAAUUAUUCUGCAAGCAAGAAUUAAUAAAGAAUAAAAAGCAUCGCUUAAUAUAAGGGUAAGUUUGUUAGGAAAAUAUUACAUAGGAUAAAGAAGAAAGAGAUUAAACAUGCAGUUGCAAAUUUUCUUCACUGACCCAAGAAGGAAUGCUCCCUGAAAAAUCAUUGUAUGGCACAUCUCUGACAUCGCAUUAUCAGUCAUGUCAUAACAAGUCUUAAGUUUAUUCGGCAAGAGACUUUAAUGGCAUAAAGAUACUGAUAUGGGCAACAUCAGCUGUACAAUUACAAAAGUUUUCACUGGCAGCCUAAUUCCUUUUUAAAACCUAAACAAAGACUAAGGGUUUAUCAGUAGCUAAUUUCUAUUUGAGUGUUCAAAGUUCAGCAUAUUCAUCAAACUUUCAAAUUAUUUAAAAAAACAGAUUUAACCCUCCUCCAUAUACGGUUCACAAGGAGAACAACCAAAAAAACUAUUAAACCGGAGCAUCAACGCAAAAUAUAGCUCCCAACCAUGAUGGAGCCCUGCUGAAAGUCCCACUUCCGGAACAUCCAAUCAUAAGAAUCUGUCCCUCAUUCAGACUGUUAUGACAUUUAUUGCUAUGAUAUGUAAUACUAUUCACAAUUCUUAGCAUCAAUUCAUAAUUCUUAACAUCAAAUAUGGAUAAAAUUUUUUUUUAAAAAAAGCUUGCUGUUUUGGUAAAUUUGAUCAGCUUUGCUGGAAUUGGGUAGUUUAGUUAAAUGAAUCACUUUAUUUAAAUUAAUCAUAGGAUUAGAGUCUAUCCACUUUAUUAAAUCAUAUUAUGAAUUAUAAUUAAAACCAAAUAAGUUUAAUCCAUUAUUUCAUAAAAAAGAAAAAUAAAUUAAAUAAUGCAAAUAUACACUUUAUUAUUUGAAAAAAUAUAACAUUUUAUACAAUUAUAACUGAGAUUCUAAAUAUCCUUGACAACAUCAUAGGACUGUAUUACUUUGAUAUCUACGAGACGCUAUUAAUGGACUUUGAAAUGUCAUGGCAAUUCUAUGACAUGAGCUGCACUGUCCUCCACAUAUAUUCAUUUCAUAAGAUGAAAGAAUUUUUCAAGCAUUGGAUCAAUACUAUUUUAUUUCGCUGAGUUUUCUUGGGUUUGUUAAAGUUACGAUUGGAAAAAGUAUAAUUAAUUAAAAUCUACAUUUCACUCAAAUUUUUUGAUUAAAUUAAAACAUUUUGAAUCCAUUUGUCAUUAAUGUAAUUAUUUUGAUUCAAUCCAUAUUUUAAUUAAAAUUUUUUAUACUAAUACCAAACAUUAAAACCAUAUUGUACAUAGUUAGGAUCUUCAUUUUACUCCAUUUUUGUUUAAAUUAAAACAUUUUGAAUUUAUCUUUCAUUGUAAUUAAUUUUGAUUAUGGAGGAAUUAAUAUUGGGUGAUCAUUUUGGACCACCUUAUUUUAAUUUUGGGUCUAUUUGGCUGGCAACUGGCAAGGAAUGAAAAUAACUUAUCUGAAAAUUGUCUCACUUCUCUGCAAGUGAUUUGAUUUAAUUCAAGUUAUAGCCCAAGAAGUCGCUUGCUCUUUUCUCCAACAUUAAUGAUAUUUCUUUGGAUCCACUCUCUAAAAUUGACAGGAUCAAUGGUUUUUCUAAUCCAAUAAAUUUGUACUUUUUGUAUCUCAUUUUAUUUUCUUCGAAAAAUAGGAAGAAAUUUCCUAAAGAUAUUUUUCAAGAGCUUGACUAAUUGGUUAAACUGUUUUCCACAUUGGCUUUAAUUUUUCGACAGUGACUUGCUCUCAUUUACUUAAUCCAAACGAACAAAAAGAAAGAAAAAUGUUUUCUUUCUUGACCCACUGCUGGUCCUCGGAAAACAAGAAGAAAAUUCCUAAAGAUAUUUUCCAAGAGUUUGACUAGAUUUUUCAAAUGAUGACUUACUCUCAUUUACUUAAUCCAAAAAAAUAAAAAAUGUUACUGUGGUUCUAUAAUUCCGCGACAUCCUUGACUUAAAGCUUGUUUAGCCUCCGUCGCUUCUUCUUCCGCACCCAAAUUUGCAUCAUGCCAAAACCAAAAGCAGAAUUUCCAUUAUUUGCCCUCAUUGCCCUUCCUCUUAUUCUAUUCCCUGGCCCUGCAACAUAUAUUAUAUCUCUCGUUAAAAAUAUUUAUACUAAUGCAUUUUAAAGGAUUUUUCUUCAAAAAGAAGAGUAAUUUUAUCAAGAAUUGUUGGGGAUAUCUAUCUUGAUUACUUUUGUUACAUAUAAAUUGCAAAAGAGACAUUUAUCUGUAAAUAAUACAAUUGAAGAUUUUUUUUUUUAAAUUUGAGUAUUUGGUUCAUUAGUUGAUGCAUAAUUUUCCUUCUUAAAGAGUAAAGUUUGAAUCUUCCUUCUCCAAUCCCAAAAACAAAAAAAAUAUUUAAUAUCUAUUAAGUAUUCUUGAUAUGAAGUAAAAGGAUUGAUAGUCGGUGUAUUGCCUUCAAGAUGGACAAGAAGAGGCAAUAGUUGAUUGUAGAGAAGCUCGAGAGUUUGGGAGCAACUUAUGAUGAUUUCACCAACUCCUUGCCUUCUAAUGAAUGCCACUAUUCUGUCUUUGAUUAUAAUUUCACUACAAAUGAGAAUUGUCAAAAAAGUAAGAUUUUCUUCUUUGCAUGGUAUAUGAAAGCGAAAAAGAAAAACCCAACGCCUUGUUUUUCUUCGUUCAAUUUUGAAAGAUUGUUACAAUUAAAACGGCUGCAAUGUUGUUUGUGGUAUAGGUCACUUGACACAUGAAGGGUGAGGACUAAGAUGCUUUAUGCGAGCUCCAAGGACAAGUUCAAGAGACAGUUGGAUAGCAUUCAAGUUAAGUUGCAAGCGAUAUAUCCAACUAAGAUGAGCUUGGACAUCGUCAAAGGACAAGCCCACUAAUUCCAUAUAACUACUUCCAUUCAAGGCAUUUUCCUUCUCAAUCUAUAGUCUUUAUUUGGGAGAGUUAUUCCCCUGUUUUUAAUUUUCUUUGUAUCUCAAAUAAUCCUCAGUCUAACUGAUAAUAUAUAACGGUAGGAGAACUGCCCCUGUUUUUCUAGUUUUCAUCAUGAUUACAUCUGUAUAUCUCCUAAAUUAUCAUCGUGGAUGAUUUUAUAUUUUAUUCUAGAAGUUAAUAUUACUCAUAGUCUUUUUAUUUUUGUUAAAAUAAGUAAACAUCGUUAAUUUUGAAAGUAAUAUAUGACUGUUAGGGAAUCCGCCUUCUAUUUAAUUAAUUGGGACAAAUUUUUUAUAUGAUAUGUUGAAUCAUGGGCAAUGGUAAUUAAAUUUUAAUUUGGUACCAAUGACCAUGAAAAUGAAACAAAAAGAGAGGUUUCUAUUGCUUCUUAGCUUUGAGUUUCUUCCAAUAUUCAGUUUGCCACUCCUCCACUUGCCUGGUUAUUUUCUCAUUUUUGUUGAGAGAAACUUGAAGAGCUUGAGGUUCAUAAGGGAGAGGCAACGCUCAUGGAAUUAUCUUUCCUAAGUAAAAGCAAUAUAUAAAAAACGAAAAAAAAAGAAAUAAUGCGAGAAAAAAAAGAAUUUCUUUUGGGGGAUCUAAUUGCUAGAUGGGAGCCAAUUUGUCACGAUCCAGACCCAAAUCUGGGGUCGUGACCGACGUACGAGUUCAGCAAGCGAGGCUCACAAGGUCUGAGGAAGCCUCCAAACACAAUUAUGCAGAAGUACAAAUGAUCGUAUAUAACCAUAGAUCAAACCAAAAAUGCACAACAGCUUUACUUAUAUAACAGAAGUUCUAAUCUUUUACAGCAAAAAUGCACGCUGACACUUGUUUCAACACCUCGUUGUGCUUAAUCAAAAAUAGAAAUGCAACCACGCAACAUAUACAGAAGUUGCCAUAACUUGGCUAACAUGGUGGGUCCAAUAGUUGAACAGAAUCAAAUGUUAACAGCGUACUUACAAAACCGGAACAUGUUAUAAGUUUAGAACCAUAACAAGAAUGCGAAAACAGACUCUAACUCAACGGAGUGGACUGCUAGAUGAACAUGCCUACCAGAUACUAAUUUUCAAUCUACGAAGCGGGCGUUAAUUACGCACUUCCCACAUGGAAAUCCCCAGUUGUUAAUUGUUUUCACAAAUAAAGGGGGUGAAUCUCUUACUAAUUUAGUGAGUGAGAGUAGAAGGAAAUCAAGCCAAAAACGAAAGAAUAUUUUUUUUUUAAUAAAAUAGAUAGUUCAAAAGUAUGCCAGAUAAUGCAUUCGUAAUGCAAGCAGAGCUAUGUACAGGACAUCUCCAAAUAGGCAAACUUCAUAUAUCUAUGGGAGUCAUCCCACUAUCUCAUAUCACAUAAUCAUAGGUUCUGCUAUCACCAAUAUUUCUCCUCCGAUCAUAUAAUUCAUGGUACAAUAUACACCAAAUAAUUAGUAUUCAACUUUCAGCUUACUAGCCUUUCAUAUCACAAGUCAUCCCCUUAGGGUGCAUGUUGCGAUUUGAUAGGUUUUAGCAAUAAACAAAUAAAGGUAGGAAGAGCAGAGAAUGAAGGAUCUGAAAAAAUAAUUGGUGAGCUCAAAAACAGAGGCUCUCACACACUUUCAUCUAUUCAUUUUCACCUUUAUAUACUGACUAAUUAACAAGAAAUAACCAACAAAUUAACAACCGUAGAGAAUCUCGAAGAAAGAGAAUGAAAUCUGUUAGCUGUGCACUGAAAUCCAUGUAUUGGUUUCAAUGCCAGGCAACAGCUACAAAUGGGAAAGAAAACACUUGGCUUAACAACCAGCAAACAUCAAAAACGACACUUACAAGCUGUGUUUAACACAGUAAAACAAGAAACGACAUAUGCUAAAGUCGUAUUACAAAAACAGAAAGUAAAUAUAAAUGAAACGACACAAGGCUUGGCGUAUUGGCUGCUGAAGUGAGAAAAUGACACUGUACUACUCAUCCCUCUUCUUCCUCUUCCUUCUUCAGCCUCUGACUUUUCCCACCAAGUCUGCUCCUUGAAUUUCCAGAAUUGUGAUCAUCUUCCAACAGACCCCCUUGAUCACAAAUCUGGUAAACACCCAAACAAGACCUCAAGAAUUCAAAUCUGUCUCUACACAAACCUUUAGUCAGAAUAUUAGCAAAUUGUUGAUCAGUUGGAUAGUAAUGAAUAUCAAUUUCAUUGUCUUUUACUGCCUCUCUAAGAGCAUGAUAGUUAACCCUUAUGUGCUUGGUUCGACCAUGCUGAACAGGGUUCUUUGCAAUAGCUAUGGCUGAUUUGUUGUCAACUUUAAGCACUGUGCCCUUAGUUUGAGGAAAUUCCAAGUCAACUAAUAUCUUCUUGAGCCACUAGAUAUGAUUUGUAGCAGCUGAAAUAGCAAUUCACUCAGCCUCAGCUGAGGAUUGAGCUACCACUUCCUACUUUUUUGAAUUUCAGGAAAACAUACCACUACCAAAUGAAAAACAAAAUCCCCUAGUGCUCUUUGAAUCAUCAAGUGACCCUGCCCAGUCACUAUCUGUAUAUCCUUGAAGUUCACCACUGUCAAACUUACUGUACUUGAUUCCAUAGUUCACCGUACCUUUGACAUAUCUCAACACCCUCUUAGCUGCUUUGAAAUGUGUUUCAGAUGGUGACUGCAUGAACCUCGAUAGCAAGCUAGUUGAAAACAUAAUGUUAGGCCUUGUAGUUGCUAGAUACAGUAGUGACCCUAUUAUACUUCUAUAGACUAGACCAUUAGCCUUAUCUGCUCCAUCAUUCUUAAUCAGUUUAUCCCCCACAGCUAAUGGUGUAUAAACUGGUUUACAAGACUCCAUCUUAAACUUCCUCAACAAAUCUCUGGCAUACUUAGCCUGGUGAAUCAUGAUCAGCUCAUUAGUUUGAAAAAUUUCCAUACCAAGGAAGUAUCUCAUGAACCCUAGAUCAGUCAUUUUAAAUUUAGUCAUAAUUUGAGCUUUGAAUUUCUCUAGGUAUACUGCAUCGGGCCUUGUUAACAAAAGAUCAUCCACAUAAACAGCUACUAUAAACAUCACUGAGUCAUUAGACUUCUUCACAUAAAGAGUAGGUUCUGUCAUGCUUUUGAUUAAGCCUUGAGCUCUAAGAUAGUUAUCCAACCUUUCAUACCAGGCUCUAGGUGCUUGUUUUAAACCAUAUAAAGCUUUAAUACACUUACAGACUUUUCCUUCAGCUCCUUGCUUCACAUAGCCUUCAGGCUGCUUUAUAUAAAUAUCUUCAGUUAAGAUUCCAUUAAGAAAAACAGAUUUCACAUCCAGGUGAUUGAUAUUCCAUCCUUCUCUUGCAGCUAGAGUAGCUAGCAAUCUUAUAGUGUCAUGGUGAGCCACAGAAGCAAAAGUUUCAAAGUAGUCUGUUCCAUAAGUCUGUGCAUAACCCUUUGCCACCAAUCUGGCUUUAAAUUUGUUUACAGAACCAUCAAGAUUGAGUUUGGUUCUGUAAAUCCAUUUAACUCCAAUAACUAGAUGAUCAUUAGGUCUGUUAGCUAGACACCAAGUUCCAUUCUUCUCGAUCAUAUUCAACUCAACAUUCAUUGCUUCCCUCCAGUUUGCAUCUGCACUUGCCUCCUUAUAGCUACCAGGAUCUGCAAUUGCUACAUUGCAUUUGUUGUAUAUGUCCUGAAGGGUUUUGGUCCAUCUAACAGCCAAAGACUCAUCCUUAAUAUCUUCCUCAUCAUCAGACUCACCUUGCACUGGAUCAGUAGACAGAUUCAAGUUACCAGGACCUUCAAUUAUAGCUUUGUCCCAAUUCCAAGUUGAAUUUUCAUAACACUUUAUAUCUCUACUGAACAUCACUUUCUUACUCACCACAUUGUACAAUUUAUAUCCUUGAUGACAUUACUGUACCCAAUUAGAAUAGUAACAACACUCUUCUCAUCCAGCUUGGAUGUUCUCUCAUCUGGCACUUUAGCAUAGCAUAUACAACCAAAUACCUUUAAGUGUGAUACUGAGGGCUUUCUAUCAAACCAACAUUCAAAAGGAGUCUUCUGAUGCAAAGUUCUAGUCUGACUUCUAUUCAAAAUGUAAUUAAUUAUGUUAACAGCUUCUGCCCAAAACAUCUUAGGCAAAUUCUUCUAAAACAGUAGACAUCUGGCCAUUUCCAUGAGAGUUCUAUUCUUCCUCUCAGUAAUUCCAUUAUGUUGAGGAGAAUAUGUAACUAUCAAUUGAUGCAUAACCCCUAGCUUGGACAGAAAACCUUCAAAUUCAGCUGAGGUAAAUUUUGUACCAUUAUCACUUCUUAGAGUUUUAAUGGUUGACUCAACUUGAUUUUCAAUAGUGUUUCUGAACCUCACAAAGUUGCUAAGGGCUUCUGAUUUGAUUUUAAGGAAAUAGAUCUAGCAAAACCUAGUCUAAUCAUCAAUGAACAGAAGAUAAUACUUACUGCCCCCAAGUGAACUAGUCUUCAUAGGACUUUCAAUGUCUGUAUGAACCAGCUGAAGCUUCCCAAUUGCUUUCCACUUUUUCUCCUUUAGAAAAGGCAAUCUGCACUGCUUACCAUACCGAUAGAUGCUACAAACCAUACCAGGUCUUGUAAUUUCAGGCAAGCCUUCAACCAGCUCUUUAGUUGCCAUGUCUUACAGGGAUUUGUAGUUAAUGUGCCCUAACCUUCUGUGCCACAGCUCAGAGUCAGGCACUACACUGAGGAAGGCCCUUUGAUCUGUAAGUUUCCAGUCAAUGGGAUAACAUUUAUUUCUCAUCUCCACUAUUAACAUUUCCCUACCCUUAGGAUCAAAGAUAGUGCAUAAUUUAUCUUUGAACAAGAGUGUAUAGUGAUUUUCAGUUAGCUGCCCUACACUCAACAAAUUUUGACUUGCAUCAAGAACAAAAUAAACAUUAGGAAUAUACCUGUUGCCAUCCUGAGUCUCCACAACAACUAUUCCUAUGCCUAAGAUCUUCAUGAAUGAACCAUCACCAAUCUCAACUCUAGCUCUGUAGCUUCUGUUGCUAGUAGUGAACUGUUCUAUAUCUCUUGUCAGAUGGUUAGAGCAAGCAUUGUCUAUUAGGCACACAUUCUUCUUUGCUGAUCUCCCUGUUUCCUGAACCAUGAAAAGUACUUCAUCUGAGCUUUCAUUCUUCUCAGCAAUUGUAGCUUUUUCAUCCCCACGAGUCUCUUUGUUUUUACAUACUCUUUCCACAUGGCCAAGCUGAUUAUAGGACCUACAUUUUACAUUAAGCUUGUACCAGCAAUACUUAGGUGAAUGAGUAGUCUUCUUACAAUGAGAACAUGGAGGAUACUUAGUCUUCUAUUUUCCAAUCUUCUCCUUCACUGUUUUCUUCCCUUUUUCCUUCUUUUCAGAUUCAUUCUUCUUCGAGCUAUUACCUCCAAUCUUCAAAUCUUUUGUUUUGGCAACCAAGGCACUAUUGAGAGCAUUUUUCUGCCUGAAUGCUUUUCUUUGUUCAAGAGCUUCUAAGGCAUUCACAAACUCUUUCAGAGUAAUCUUUUCCAUAUCCUUAGAAUCCUCUAAUGAGGAAACUUUGGAUUCAUACUUUUUUGGAAGGUUGACAAUCAUCUUUUGAACUAACCUGUCCUCAGUUAUAACUUUGCCUAAUAAUCUCAACUGAUUCACCAAUGCCAUCAUUUUAUCAAAAAACUCCCUAAUUGAUUCGUCCUCCUCUAUUGUCAGCAUUUCAAAUUGUCUAAACAGAUUCAAUGUUUGAAUCUGUCUAGUCCUAUCACUUCCAAAAAAUUCAUCUCUCAAGUGCUCCUAUACAUCCUUAGGAUUGUCUAAAUGCAUAAUCCUAGUGAAAACUUCAUCAGACACAACAGAAUGUAAAGAUGAUAAAGCUUUAUACCUCCUUGCCUUGUCUUCUUCAAACUGUCGAAUCUGAGCUAAGGUGGGAUUGGUAUGCCUCUAAGCCGGGUCCUCUCCAGUCUCCACAACCUCCUAGAUACUCAAUGCCUUGAGGUACGCUUUCAUCUUCAUUGACCAGAUUGCAUAGUUCUCACCAUUGAACACUGGUAAAGAAGCAACAUUAAAUCCUGAUGAAGCCAUUAUUAAACCUUGCAGAAAAGAACAAAUAAUUACUUCAACUAACAGAGGAAGAAGAUAACAUCACAAUCCCUUAAGAUCACUAAUACAGCUCUGAUACCAUGUUGCGAUUUGAUAGGUUUUAGCAAUAAACAAAUAAAGGUAAAAAGAGCAGAGAAUGAAGGAUCUAAAAAAAUAAUUAGUGAGCUCAAAAACAGAGGCUCUCACACACUUUCAUCUAUUCAUUUGCACCUUUAUAUACUGACUAAUUAACAAGAAAUAACCAACAAAUUAACAACCGUAGAGAAUCUCAAAGAAGGAGAAUGAAAUCGGUUGGCUGUGCACUGAAAUCCAUGUAUUGGUUGCAGUGCCAAGCAACGGCUACAAACGAGAAAGAAAACACUUGGCUUAACAACCAGCAGACAUAAAAAACGACACUCACAAGUUGUGUUUAACACAGUAAAACAAGAAACGACAUAUGCUAAAGUCGUAUUACAAAAACAAAAAGUAAACAUAAAUGAAAUGACACAAGGCUUGGUGUAUUGGCUGCUAAAGUGAGAAAACGACACCGUACUACUUAUCCCUCUUCUUCCUCUUCCUUCUUCAACCUCUAACUCUUCCUACCAAGUUUGCUCCUUGAAUUUCUAGAAUUGUGAUCAUCUUCCAACAGACCCCCUUGAUUACAAAAAACUUUCCAUCAUAGCAGAGAAUAUAUUGACAUUAUGUUCAUGUAGAAUUAUAUUCUUUCUGCUUCUUGAAAUAGAGAUAUAAACUUCAACAUAACUAAAAAGAAAAUUCUCAUACAUCUAGGUAGGUAUAAGAUUACAUUUACAAGUGCGAUAAGUCAUUUUUCGUACCAAACAAUGCUUGAUCAAGGCUGUUGUUUGAGAGAUAUUCAUAAACAAGGAGUCUUUCAUCUCCCUCAAUGCAGCACCCAUACAGCCUCACAAGAUUGCGAUAUUGAACAGCAGUUAUAGUUGCAAUUUCUACUGCAAAUUGAUCUCUCCCUUGGUGGGAUACUUCAAACAAUUUUUUUAUAGCAACAGCUCUCCCAUCUCCAAGAAUCCCCUGUACAUCGAGUACAUCUUUUAUUGAUAAAAAUGAAGUAUAAUAAAGAUGUAACAGUACUUUUAGUUCAUUAAUUAGUUAUCUUCCAUUAUUAAGUGCUGCACCUGACUGGGGAGAAAAAUAGUUCUUGUAGUUCACUACUCGUACUGGUUUGUGGUGAAUGUUUGGUUGAGUUAGAGGCUGCACGAUCAAACUGGACUACACCUAGUGAUUCGCAACUAUUCUUUCCCAAUUACACUAACUUUUAUGAUUUCUUUAUUAAAGAGGUGAUUAAAAGAAAUCUCGUAUAAGUUAAAUCUGGGUUAUUAUAAGCAACAUAAAUGUAAUAAAGGAUCAUUGCACUUAUUGCCAAAUGGUUUUAGAUUCUAUGUCUAUCCUAAAAUUUAAUAUAAUUUGAGAAUAAGUACCUUUGUAAUAGACGUGUUAUCAAAUUAGUUUUGAGUUUUUUGGUGAUUUGACAAGUAGGCGCUGUGAGCACUGUAUAUUUAGUGUAAAGAUAAGGAGAUUGAGGGUCUCAUUUCACCUAUAGCAAAAGAAAAGGAGCAGUGUGACAAGAUUACAAAAUGGGAUAUCUAGUUCUGAAAGUUGAAUACAUCGUUUUCUCCUGGUUGGUCUUUAGUUAGAACGAUGGCUCACCUUUUUUUUUAUUUUUUAAAGGCAAUGACUCACCUUAUAAACAUGUCCAAACCCUCCCUGUCCUAGCUUAUUUGAUGGACUGAAAUCUUCAGUGGCAAUUUUUAGUUCAGCAUAAGCAAAUGCUUGUGGCGUAGCGUCCAUAUCGAUUAGUUCUUUAUGUUUGACGGUAUUUAGCAUCUUUCCCCUCUUCUGGUGAAUAUAAACAAUUGCCAAAACUGAUAGACAAGUUAUAGUAACGUCAAGAAUAGUACUCAGAAUUAUCAGCCUUGUCUUCACACGUUUUGGAGGCUUGAGCUUGUUAAUUGUGGGAACAAAAUCUGCAACGAAUUAAAAAUCUACCUAUCAACAAAUAUACUCCACAUAAUUAAUGGAGUCCUUAACUUUCAACCAUAUAAUUGCACUGAAUCAUGAAAUACUUGGAGUAGCACUAAUUGCUGAUACAGUAGGUCCAUAUGUACCUUGAGCAGGCAUGCAACAAGUCCCCUUUCCAGCCUAAAACAGAUGAAUUUCGAGGUAGUUUUUUGAUACCUUGGCCAUGAAUUGUUUUGGAACUGCUUGGAAUAAGGCCUUAUUGGCUUCCUUUCGGAUGUCAAAACCCUUUACUCAAGCUCUCCCUGCAGAUAAAUUGAAAACAUGUAUAGUAACUUAUAACCUUAAAGCUUCACAUGAUUAAAUAAGUAGAUGAAUUGUGCUAGCUUUAGGAUGAAAAUAAGCACCUGAAUAUAGAUGUCAAAAACUCGCCUCCCUACAUUUAGACCAAAACACUUUCCAUAUACUGUCAUUCAAACAAAAUUUAGUUCCUGUUUCAUUUUUAGAUACUCCUGAUUAUGCUCUUGAUAUUAUGGAUUCAAUUGUUAAGAUAAUUUUUGAUUCAAAGGAUUUUGGUUUGUGUUCUUUAACUCAAGGAUUAUAUUGAUUGUGUUUGGCUCCUACUAAUAUUUAUGCCACCUUAUAUAAUGUCGAAAGAGUUGCCAAAAGGUCCUACGUAAAGGAAACAUCUUCCAUGCUAUGACAUAAAAGGUUUGGGCACAUCUCCAAAGAAACAGUGGAAAAGAUGAUAAAGCAUAACAUCUUUCCUACUCUUAUUUUUAAAGACUUGGAGACAUCUUUUGAUUGUUAUAGGGACAAGAUGACAAAAAUAAAAGGAAAAAGGUCACAUAGAAGUUUCAAUCUCUUCGAACUUAUUCAUACUGACAUAAGUGAACCAUAUACUCCUACCAUUUACAAUCAUAGAUAUUUUGUAACCUUCAUUGAUGAUUUUUCUCGUAAUGGUUAUAUGUUCCUAAUUAAAAAAAAAUUAGAAGCUCUUGAUAAAUUUGAAAAUUUUAAGACUAAAGUUGAAACAAUUGGGAAAUAUCAUUAAGGUUGUCAAAUUUAAUAGAGGUGGUCCAUAUUAUGAUAGACAUGACACAAUUAGACAACAAAAAGGUCCAUUUUCAAAUAUUUAGAGAGUUAUGGAAUAGUGCCCCAUUAUACUAUGCUUGGUAGUCAUGAAUAAAAUGAUGUGGUUGAAAGACGAAAUUGCACUUUAAAGGAUAUGAUGAGGAGUAUGAUGAGUGGAGCUGAUUUACUUGAAUUCUUACGGGGAGAAACAAUUAAAACAACAUUGUACAUCUUAAAUAGAGUUUGCACCAAGUUGGUGCAUAAAACCCCUUAUGAAUUAUGGACAAGACAAAAUCCUAGUCUUAAUCAUUUACAUGUGUCUUUAUGAUCCUAAUGAGACUAAGAUACAAUAUCGAUCCGCUCAUUGUUAUUUUAUUGGGUACCCAAAUUGGUCCAUGGAUUAUAGAUUUUAUUGCUCAAAUAGAAAUGGUAAAAUUAUUAAGGCAAAAAUAACUAAAUUUAUAGAAUUAGAUGUGGCUGAUACUAGUUGCUAUAAAGUUAAAGAUGUAAAAGAACAUAUUGAGAUAGUAAGAAUUCCUAUAUCUAUUCAGAAAGAUAUUGUUGUGCAUACAGAAGUUGGGGAACAAGAACAAGUACAACUAAUUCUUAAUGUAGUCCUUCAAAAUCAAAAUAUUGUAGAUGAACCACAAAGAAGAUCCACUAGGAUAAGGAAGCUUGCUCUUUCUUUUGACAUAUAGGAAUUCUAUCUUGGAAAGGGUGAUUAUGAUAUUGGUCAUGUAGUUGAUCUAGUAACUUUUUCAAAAACUAUUUCUAGUCCUUAAUUAGAUUUGUGGCAGGAUGCAAUGUGCAAUGAGAUACAAUCUAUGUCAUAUAAUAAUGUAUGGGAACUUGUUGAGCUACCAUUGCAAACCCAUAGGUUGUAAAAUGGGUAUACAAGACCAAGAAAGAUUCCAAAGGAAAGAUUGAGAGGUUUAAAGCUAGAUUGGUUGUCAAAGGUUUUACACAGAGAGAAAAAAUUGAUUAUAAUGAAACAUUUUGUUCUAUAUCGUUUAAAAAUGUUUUUAAGAUUAUCAUGGCACUAGUGUCUCAUUAUGAUUUAAAGCUACACCAGAUGGAUGUUAGGACUACCUUUCUAAAUGGAAAUCUUGUUGAAAAGUGUCUAUAUGUUUUAGCUUGAGGGAUUUAAGGAAGAUGGCAAAAAUCAUUUUUUGUGAAGACUUCAAAAGUCUAUUUAUAAGCUUAAACAAGCUUCUCGCCAAUGGUAUCUUAAAUUUGAUGAAGACAUCACCUCCUUUGGUUUUGUUGAGAGCAAGGUAGACAAAUGUAUAUAUCACAAGAUCAGUGAGAGUAAGUUUGUCUUUCUUAUUUUGUAUGUUGAUGAUAUCUUACAUGCAAGUAGUGAUUUAAGGAUGCUAAAAGAGACUAAGAAAUUAUUGUCUAGCCAAUUUGACAUGAAAGAUAUUGGGGAAGCAUCUUAUGUUCUUGGAAUUGCAAUCUAUAGGGAUCGAUUUUGUCACUUAUUGGGACUCACUCAGAGUGCAUACAUUGAUCGAGUGUUAAAUGGAUUUUCCAAGCUUGAUUGUAAAAAUGGAGAUGUGUCAGUUGUUAAAGGUGAUAAAUUAAACUUGGCACAAUGUCUAAAAAACGAUGUUGAGAGGGAGUCAAAUGAAAGCAAUACUAUAUGCUUGUGCAGUAGGAAGUUUAAUGUAUGCCUAAGUGUGCACAAGGUCAAACAUUACCUUUACAAUGGGUCUUUUAGGAAGAUACUUGUCUAAUUCGAUUAAAGAUCAUUGUGAAGCUGUAAAGAAGGUGAUGAGAUACUUGAAGAAAACCAAGGACUAUAUGCUAAUUCAUUAAAAUGUUGAAUACCUUAAGCUAGUGGGUUAUAUGGAUUCAGACUUUACCAGUUGUUCAGAUGAUAAGAAAUCCAAAUCAGCAUACAUCUUUAUGUUAACAACUGGUGCAAUAUCUUGGAAAAGUGUAAAACAAACACUUAUGACCUCAUCCACUAUGCAAUGGUGCAGCUAUAGAAGAAGUUUGGUUGAGAAAUCUUAUUAAAGAAUUAUUUGUGGCUAACUCUAUUGCUAGAACCAUACAAUUGUACUAUGAUAAUGCUGCAGCAAUUAUGUUUACUAAUAAUAAUAGGAAUAUCACAAUGGCUAAGCAUAUAGAGAUAAAGUAUUUGAAAGUUAAAGAACUUGUGAAAAAUGGUGACAUUGUAGUAGAACAUAUUGGAACUAAUGAUAUGAUUGUUAAUCCUCUGACCCAAGUGCUACGCACUAUCACCUUUAAGAAAUAUGUUUUUAACAUGGGUGUUUUAGACUCUUUUGAUGUGCUUGGUUAGUGGGAGGAUUUGACAUUGUUCUAUUUUAAGCUUUUGCCAUGUGUGUAAAGAAAUAUUCCAACCCUUGACCAUUAAUCUCAUGCUCCUAUCCUAAAUGCCCUACAAUUAUUGAAAUGUAGAAAGAAAAUUAAAUAAGAUAAAAUAAUAAAGAUAAACAAACCAAGUAAAUAAAACAAAUGUUAUUUUUUAUUUUUAAAAUUAAGGGAAAUAAAGUUGGAUAUUGAAUCAUAAUUAAUUAAGGCUUGAGAUAACACAUAAUUAAUUACUAGCUUGUCUCUCGAAGUCCUAAGUGGAGUCUCCAAGCUAUUGUAAUGUGCGGGUCUUGGAACCCUGAUCGCUAGAUGUGGAAAAACUGGGAGUCGCCACCGAUCUUUUUUAUCUAGGUGCUAUUGGCCACUUACUAAAUUUGUUCCAUUCAAUGAAGUCUUAAACUGGUUUUAGGUUCAUCUAAGAAACAAUAGUUUGGUCUGUGAAUUUUUAAAGUUCGGUUCGGGAGUACGAUUACACAUGAGGAAGGAUUAACACUUCCGUAACGCCCAUUCCACGAAUAGUACCAUCUAAUCCUAUGUUAUCCUAUAGAAGCCUUAAUUUUUAAAAUUAUUUCAUUGUGUUUUCUUAAUCAUUAUUUGUUUAUUCUAGUAAAUCAUGUUACAACCUAUUGUUGUGUCGUGCACCUGAUGCAAUCAUAAAAUGCAUGUCAUAAACAUUGGUAAAAUGUCAAAUGAAAACCUAUUAUUGAGAUUAUUCCCCGAAUCUGCCUAUCAAAUUGACAGGACUCAAGGAUAAUCUCUCACCUAGGGAAUCACUCGAGAAAGCUUACCUUCACAAGUUUAUCAGGUAAAUCCCAUCAUCAGAGUAAUCAUUCGUAUUUAAAAAUAAUAUUUUUGUGGAUGCAAACCAUAAUACAAGCGAAAGCUUUUUAUUUAAGACAUUCUCUGGGCCCUCCCAUCGUACUAGUGGGACUCAAAGGUGUCCUUUCACCUUGAGAAUUUACCGAAAGAACUCACCUUUACAAGCUCCCUCGAAAAGUUUUAUUAUCGAAGCCUUGACUCGUACACAAAAUACGUCUACAUGCCAUGACAUUUAGCGAUGCAGUGAUGAUGUGUAAUAUACCUGUAAAUUGCAAUAUUUAUUUCUUAACCUUCCAACAACUCUUUUGUUAUUUCUUUCAAACUUCAUUUUUCAUUAUUCAUCUUUGUGUGCAUACACAUCAUAAACAUUUUUUAUUUAUUAUUUUUUAUCUAACUAUAUUUUUUAUUUUUUAUUAUAUCUUUUUUAUAUUUAAGUAUUCACCUAUAGAGAUUUCCUUUUACUUAAAUACUAUUUUUUAAACCGAAUAUUUUACUUCAUAAUUACUAUUGUUUAUGUGUAUUUUUUGUAACUCAAUUCCUUUCCUAUUCUUUUAUUAACCUAACCUAUCUCCUUUUUGUCUAACUAUCUUUUUAGCUUUUCAUAAAUCUAUUCUUCGUAACUAGAUUAUUUUCUUUUUAUAUUUUAAUUGUAUUCGUUAUUAUUAUGGGUUUAUCAUCUCUGAAAAUUUUAUUUUUAUUUAUUUACCAUCAUGAAUAUCAUCAUUUUUCAUUAUUAUAUGUAUUUGUAAAACUAUAUAUAUUUUAUGUAUUUCCCCUCGGUAUAUAUUAUUAUUAUUAUUAUUAUUAUUAUUGUUUUCAUUACUUCAUUAUUUCUUUUUGUAUAUACAUUUUGUUUGGUUAAUAACCAGGUAAAUGUCUUUUUCCAUAUAUUUAGAAUUGUAAACAUCGGGACUCGAAACCCUCCCAUCAUACUGAUGGGGUUUUAAUCGAAAUCUUUAAUCUAGAAAAACUCAUUCGGGAUGGCAACUUCUCACAUACCAAACGAAUAUUCCAUCAUUGGUCCCAUCUAAGUACGUAAUAAGAUUAUGCUCACUAUUAGUGCUAUGUAUAUUUUCGUUACCUAAAAUAUUCUACUUUCCUAACCAUUAAUAUUACCUACGUCUUAAAUAAUUAUGGAUAUUAUUUACUUUCCAUAUGUGCAUUAUUCUAUUUAUUAUUAUUAUUUAUUUAUUUUACCUAACUAAAUCUACAUAUAAGAUUUUUACUACUAACAUUUACUCAUUCUUUUUUUAUAUGUAUAUUUUUAUCUAUCUAAGUCUAUAAAAUUGUUUACUGGAUAUUUUAUUUAUUUAUUUAUUUCUUUUAGUCAAAUAUUUAUAAAUUAUUUUUCUACCUAUAGUUUUCUGUUUUUUUUAUAUAUAUAUUUUUAUGUUCUUACCCUAAACUAAAUAUAUAUAUACACACACAUAUGUUCUCAAUUACUAUUAUCAUUCGUAUUAUUACUAAUAUUAUUUUAACCACUAACUUCAAAUAAAACUAAAAACAAACCUUUUAAAUAAUAAAGCCUAAUUUAAAUUAAACUAACAAGUUAAAUGGCCUAACAAACAUAAAAAACAAUGUAAGCCAACUCAAUGAAAUAACCCAAAUAACCAAGUCAAAAAAAAAUCCAUACCAAGUUUGGACUGUUAAAGCCCAAAGUCCAAUGAACCCAAUAGCUCCCCCUAGGUACCUCUAAAACGAGUCCGUUUUACCUCUCCACCCUUAGGUAAAAAAAGUUUUUCACCUCUUCCUUUCAUUUUCCUCUCUUAUUGUCUCUCCCUACUUGGCGGCACCCCUUCCUGUCUCUCUAGUCGAAAACCACGGCCCCUCUCUUCACUCUCUCACCACCGUUCGCUCUCCCCUUUCUUUCACCGCCGUUCACCUUCUCCGAGACUCUUCCUACCCAAGAAAAAAUCAUUUUUUUCUUUCCUUCCCGAAACCUAAUGGUGCUUCUCUUCCUAAAACGAUUUCCCCAAAAGCUUCAAAACCCACUUACCCCACCACGCGCUGCCUCCCAUUUGCUUUUUGAUUUUUAGUAUUGUUUUUUAUUUUUUUGGUGGUUGUGGUAUCUCACCAGUUGGUAGAGGUUAGGGUAUUUUUUCUUUUACAGGGCUUUAGGUUUUUAGCAAAGACUUCUAGGGUUUUCGAAAUAGAAAAUUUUUAGGGUUUUUCAUAUAUUUUUUGAAAGCUAGCUUCUCUCGUUUUUUUUUUUUUUUUAAAUCCGGCCCCUCCUUUUAUAAACGGGGGAUGGAUUUUCAAAAUCCUUCCUCCCUGUUUGCUGCCAAUGGUAGCGUCUCAGGGCUUACGUGCUGCCAAUGGUAGCGUCUCAGGGCUUACGUGCUGCCAAUGGCAGUGGCCAAACCCUUGACUUUUUGAAAUCGACUUUUUCUUGCCACAAUUUGAGGGAAGGGGAAAAGUGGCGUAAAUCGUCAAAAGGAAGGAAGCUUAGCCAAAGUUGACAUGCUUUGGGCCAUUUUUUCUUUUCACAAUGUGAAGGAAAGGGGAAAAGUGGGGUAAAUCGGCUUAACCAAAAUUGAUAUGCUUUGGGAGAAAGAGGCGCUGAUUCAAUCUUGGGAAAGGAGAAGGUAGACUCCGAUGGCAGUCCAGCCUUGGCUGGCUACCACAGCAGCUGCCUCGACUGCCAUGCCAAGCAUGGCAGCAAAUCAUGAUUUUUCUUCUUCAUUUAUUUAUGAAAUUAAGUAAAAAUGGGUGUCUACACUUAGUGGAAAAGAAGCUUGGAAAUCCACGUCAGGCGGGGAGGGAACAGCAGAAUAUAACAACGUCGGUGGGAAUAGUUCUGCUGGGUUUGAGUCAAGCUGAACUCAGAUGGAAGGGCUUAACAUGUAUGGCAAUGGUGUCGAUAAUGGCUUGGUGAUAAGGAAGAGAGUGAUGGUUGUAGUGGAUCAAAGCUCACAUUGUAAGCAUGCAAUGAUGUGGGCACUUACUCAUGUAGCUAACAAGUGUGAUUUGCUUACUUUACUGCAUGUUAUUUCUCCUAGCCAAAAGAGUCUUCAUCUUGUUCUCCUUACCUUGCUAACUCUCUUGGGUCACUCUGCAAGGGUUGUAAACCCGAGGUUGAAGUGGAAGCACUGGUUAUCCAAGGGCUUAAGCUGGCGACAGUGACGAGCCAAGUGACGAAGCUAGAGAUUUCCGUGUUGGUACUGGGUCAGAAAAGGCCAUCUCCGUUCUUAAACUGGUGGGUCCUUUGGUCCUCACCCUUUCCCACAAGUACACAUUUUCCAUCAUUCAUUCAGAUCUCAGAACCUAUCUCACCCUUUAUUAUCUUGCGAACUGUUUCGUGGUUGCUUUUGCAGUCUCUGCGGGACCAGCAGCUCUGAGGAAGUUGUGGAGCAAUGAAUCAAGGGUGCAGAUUGUUUAACCAUAGGGGCUAGGAAGCAGAGCUAAGGCGUCUGUGGAUACCUUAUUAACACUAGGUGGCAGAAGAAUUUCUGGCUCUUGGCUUAGUUCUAGUUAAUUUUUAUGGACUGUUAUUAACUAAAUAUAUAAAUAUAUAUGAUUCCUAGUUAGAUAACCCAGGAUAGCAUAUAAAAUCACUCUAAUAACAGUAUUAGCUUCUGAUCUAGGCUUCACCUUAUGUAUAACUACUACUGACUAGAUUUUCCUUUGUACCCUUCAUCAUUGCUAUAAAAAAAAAUGAGCAACCCCUGCCUAUGGCUUGCUCUAAUGAAAUUGAGGUCGUUGCGCUUCCCAGAAAAAAAAUAUUUUUGUAAUUUUUUAUUCAGAAUAUACUAAUAAUUUUUUAAAAUAUUUUAAUCUUUCAUUGAAAAUAUAUUAAUUAAUCUUUUUAUUAUUAAAUUUUUUUUCUUUAUCUUUAUAAAUUAUGAUUGCACAUGUCAUUUAGCUUUGAAUAGUUGUUACAUUUAUUAUCCUCUUUUUUAGUUAUUGUUUGAGUUCUCCGGUUUUAUUGAUUACCAUAUAUACAUCACGUUGCAAACUUGACUACGUACAGACAAAAUAGUGAUGAACAUAUCAACCCACUGCUGCCAGUUGAGUUUUUUGUUCAAAACUGUGCCGCAUUAUGUUCUUUAGAUUGUUAUCUACAAAUAGCUACAACAAUAUGCAACUUUGUAAUUAUAGAACUCUAAAAGUGAACCAAUCAUAGUUAUUUUGAUUUGUUCAUAUGUAGCAUAUGACAUCAUACAUGUUAUCCCAAAAAAUGACAAAGUAUAUUUUUAAAUUUCUAUUGUAGAUAAUUAGUUUGCACUGUUUUUAGGGCAACAGUAUUAUAAUCAAUAGUUAACAAAAGAAAUUUUUGCUUGUUCUCUCAUCAUAUCUGUAUAUCAUAAUUGUAAUAUUGCACUCUUGAAUACAUGCGAAUUGGAAAACUCUGAUACAAAGAUUGUAAUCCUGUUGAACUGUAAAUGGAUACAAUUUAUUUCUUUAUGUUUCACGUUAUAAAUUGUAUGAUUUUGUGCUACUACCGACAUGUAUCAAAUAUUUAAUAAUAAAAAUACUUAAAAUUUAUUCAAUCAAAUUGUAAUCCUUACACUAAUUUGCUAUAGUUAGUAAAUAAUUAUAAAAUUAUAUCCAUGAAGACAUAUUGAUACAAACUUUUUUGUAAAAAAUUUGUGAUAAAAUAUUCACAAAAUUUUACAACCCGCUGCAGAGCGAAGGAUGUGAUCUGUAAUUUUAAUAUUAAAAAGAAAUUCAAAAAGGUUAGUUAAGAUUUUCAAGUCAAGCAGCCGAGGGGUCAACAAGGCGUAAAGUAGCAGCCUGAUGAGCCUAAAUCUCAGCUCCCGACGUGUAUGCUGGGCUGGGAUCAUGUGCCUUGCUCAACGGGGUCCUAACUCCUAAUUAUUCGUGACGAAAAAGUUCAGAAAAUCUUGUCCAAGAUCUUCACUAAUUCAUUAAAUUAUUUUCUGGGUUUUAGUUUUUUUAUAAAUAUGAUAAAAAAAUUUGUACGUAUCAUUCUUUUCAUUUCACCUCUUAUUUUUUGUUCAUUUUUCUAAUUUCAUUAAAAUUUCCACUUUAUUCCCAUCGUCCAUUAAAAAAACAAAUCUAUAGACGUGACAAAUAAUAAUAUAAAAAAAGUCAAAACAUAUAUUUAAAAUAUGAGUUUUUAUAGUUAGAGUUUAAAAAAUAAAGGUUGCAUAAAAGGGGUAAUAUAAUAAAUGUUAAUAUCUUCUUAGAAAAUCAAGAAAUUUCGCAAAUUUCACUUUAAGAGUUGAAAUUUGAAAUGAAAAUUUGAACCCACCAAAAUCUGUCAUCCAAAUUCCAAGAAUUUUGAUAAUUUCAGUUUUUAUUUUAUCAAAAAAUUAAUUUGACUUUAAAAUUUUAAAACUCUCUUUACAACAAAAAAUCUUUCCUUGAAAUCCUUCAACCAUAAUAAUAGCUUUUUGGUGUAUACAAAUGAAGCCUACUGAUCGUCCUUCAAUGAACAAAGUUUUGAAGAUGUUCGAAACUGAUGUUGAACUCCUCGAAAUGCCUCCCAGACCUUUUCAACUUCCUUCGAAAGCACCAACUUCAUGUUAAAUGUAGUGUAAACUACUGAACGUGUAUUUCAUCAUGUCACCUACAUAAAUUUGUAAUUUUAUGCCUAGCGAUUCAUAAUUUAUCAUACAAUCUUUAUGUAAGAUACUUGUGGGAAACAAUAUCUGCAAAAAAACUUUAUGAUAAAAGAAAUCUUAUUGGUCAAUUUUCCAUUCAGUGAGCGGUAUAAUUAAGUUUAUGCCCCAGUCAAGGUUAAACUUCUAAAGCCCUGGAGGCUUGAAGGUUGUUUGCCGCUCAAGAAACGUCUCCUUUCAAGAAAUUGCAACUUAGAUGCAUGUGGAUAAAAUCUAUGUUUUUAUUGUUGUUUUUCUCAAUUUUUUCCCUUCCCCAAAAUGUGAAUCUAUUCAUCAUUUGUUUUUUUCAUCUUUGUUCUUUAUUUGGGGAGAUCAUCAGCUCCUUGUGUCUGGUGGAGUAAUUAAUAAUGGGUGAUCAUUGUGGCUGGCAAGUGGCAAGGAAUGAAAAUAACUUCUCUGCAAGUGAUUUGUGAUUUAAUUCGAGCUGGACUGAAAUGGUGGAUUAUAGCCAAAGAAAGUGCUUGCAGCUUUCUCCAAAAAAGUCUUCCUAAAAAUUAAUGAUAUUCCUGUGGAUCCACCCUCUAAGUUCUACAGGUCAAUGGUUUUCAGGUCCAUGGAUUGUCAAAAUAAUAUUCUAGAUUAAAUUAUAUAAAAUUCUUUUGCAAAUAAAAUGUAUAUAUAUAAUAUAAAUUUAUUAUUAAAAUAAAAAGUAAGGCAAACUAUUUUCGAAUUCAGUCUGAUAUUUACAUCAUUGAUUAAUAAAUUUUAACAUUUGAAUUAUUUUGGUGCUAUUAUAGAGAGGUCCUACUUAUAUCCACUGCUGGUUUUCGGAAAAUGAAAAGGAAAUUCCUAAAGAUAUUUUUUCCAAGAGCUUGACUUUGGUUUUUCAAACGGUGACUUGCUCCCAUUUAUUUAAAUCCAAAAAAAAAAAAAAAAGAAAAAUGUUUCAGUGGUCCUAUGUUUCCUUGACUUAAAAGCAUGUUUAGCCUCCUUCGCUUCUUCUUCCGUUAUUUGUAGCGUGUCAAAACCAAAAGUACAAGUUCCACUAGUUAAGUCGAGUUAUAGUCAAAGAAAAUGGCUCGGUGCUUUCUCCAACAUUAAUGAUAUUUCUUUGGAUCCACUCUCUGAAAUUGACAGGAUCAAUGGUUUUCUGGUCUAAUAAAUUUGUAUCUUAUUUUUUAUUUUCUUCGGAAAAUGAGAAGAAAAUUCCCCAAGAUAUUUUCCAAGAACUUGACUAAUUGGUUGAACUGUUUUCCACAUUGUCUUUGAUUUUGUUUGGAGCCAGUCUUGCCAUAAGUUAAUAUCUUCACCGUGGGAUUAUACUUGCUUUCAUCGGAAUGGUUGUUGGAAUAUUGAAGACAAAAACGACCCAAUGCUUCUAUAUAUCCUUGGCUUAAGAGUUAAAACUUGUUAUAGCCUCAUUCUCGCUCUACCACAUCCAAAUUUUACAAUGUCGAAACCAAAAACAGAACUGCCAUUGCUUAGCCUCAUGACCCUUGCUUUAUUGCUAUUCCCUGGUGCUUGCCUCGCUACAAGUGAAAAUAAGGACUGCGGCGGCUCUUCUUUGUGCGGCAACCUUACCAUCAGUCACCCUUUCCGAUUAAAAAGUCAACCUAAGUGUAACGACACUGAUCAUAGGGUUGAAUUGGAGUGUGAGAAUGAUAAUCGCACCAUUUGGGUCAUGAAAAAUGGAAAAUUCUACGUCCAGGAAAUCUUUUAUUCUAAUUUGACGAUCCGAUUGGUCGAUGGGAGCCUGGAUGCAGAUAAUUGCUCACUGCCUUGUACUUCCUUUGUUUUUCAUUAUGAUUUUCCGUGUGAGGGAGUUUGGUUUUCUAGUACAAUUCCGAACACAAUGUAUCUUGUCAAUUGCUCAAGACCAAUGAAUUCUUCUCUUUACGUUGAUGCCUCUCUCUGCACCAACAGCUCUCCCCAUCCACCUUCCUACUUUUACUUUUUAGAUCAACAAACACCAAGCCGCGAUUUCAACCCGUUUUGCACAGUCAUAAACGAGCAGAUUCCAAUUAUGAUUGAGAAUAUCACAGGUCUGUCUAGUUUUGAUAUCUACGAAAAGCUAUUAAUUGGCUCUGAUUUGUCAUUGGAAGAACAUCAUUGUUACCAGGAGGACAAACCUUCAAUAUCUCAAAAAUUUCAUACGAUGUAAGAAUUCUCAAGCAUUUAAAUUCUAUUUUCUUUUUUUUUUCUAGAAAUAAAAAUUAAAUCUUUCAUUCUGUAAUGAAAGGAGAUACAAAAAAAUGCCAAAGUCAGUCUCCCAAGGCCCUAAGAGACCUACUUUGGCAUUCCCUAAAAAAUUUACAAGUAUUACCUAUGAAAUUAGUUAUUCUCUAUCACCAUGCUAGGCAGCCUACAGAUGACACUUGGUUGCCUGCGAAAUUCAGCAUUGACACAAAAAAAAAAAAAAAAAAAAACAAACCAACAAAAAUGCANCAAGUUCUAUUUUUUAUGCCUCGGGGUCAUUACAUCUAAGCACUGAUCCUAAACAAAAUAACCUCAUCGGUUUGGCAGCUUAAUACAUCUUCAAAUUCAUGGUCGGAGUGACAUGACCUGCUAGUAGGAACACCGUCCAGUUUGCAGUGGUUCCUGCGUCUCUUCUUUAUCUGGGUUCGCUUCGCAGUUUCAUGUUUUAUCCACCCAUUAUGCUUUCAGUCUCAUCAUGUGCACCAGCCUAUCACUUCCUCAACUACCUAUAUAACCCAAAUUUCACAAAAUGGGUGCUGCAACCUCAUGGCAAACAGAUGUAGCAGCCCAUCUUUCUCCCUACCCUCUCCCCUUCCUAUUUCUCCCUUCCUUACAAUGUAGAGAUCUCUCCUCCAACCUCUUCCGAUGCCUCCAUCAACCUCCUGUCCUCUCCCUCAUUCGUUCCUUGCCACCCUGCUCUUUCUCCCUCCUCAUUCCCCUUUCUCUCUCCUGUGAGACAACAGCUCCCUCCCAAAACCUCCAUUCACCUCCCCCCGUCUCCCUCGUUCCCUCCAGAGAUCCUUCUCCUCCUUCCCUCCAUCCACAGUUCACUCAUUCUUUACCCUUAAAACCCCGCCUCCCCUUCGUUUUAACCCCUUUUGUUGAUCUGUGAUCCCAACAAAAUUACCCAACCAUAAUUCCAACACACACAAGCACAAGUUGGAUCUAAGCAAACAAAAAGUUGCUAAUCUGUUUGUAUUUUUUUUUUCUGUUGACCAGAUUCAUUUGCUCUCAAACUAUCCUUGCUGCCAAAAUACCAUACGGUACUUCAACUACCUUUUGUAAUUCUUUGUUUGAGCCACGCUGGACUAAUCCUCUUGCCUCCAAACUCUUAUUCUCCUCUCCAAUCACCUCCCAUAUUUACUUCCCUCCCCCCCUAAUUCACGCACAUAUGCCACCCAAGAGGGAAGCAGAGCUCCUAUCUUCCCCACUACCGCCACAUCAAGGCAUUCAAGUUAAAUUCUAUUUAGUAGAUUGGGUUUGGUUGGGACUUAAAAUUCUAAUUUGGAAAAUUGUGGUCAAAUAAUUAUCUUGAAUGAAAAGUUUCCUUUUUUUCCCUACAACUGUUUUUCCCAUUUCCUUGUGGUCAAAUAAUCAUUAAUAUUUCCAAUUAUUUUAAUCUGAUGCAUUUGAAUAUUUCAGGUUGGCAGAUUUGCUGUAUGGCUUGAGAAACUAUAUAGAUAGCUUUGUCCAUUUCCUUUUUCAAGGCCCCCAUGUAUCCUACAAUAGUUACAAUCCACCAAAAAGUAUGCUUUCCUAAGUGCAUUAAUAUUUUUCUUCUUGAAUUUGCCUUAAUUUGUGUUCCUUUGUUGAAAUUAGUAAUUGCAUAAUUUUGUUUUUUCUUGGUUUUUUUUUUUUUUGCAGGAACGUAUAUUAUAUGUCUUGAAGCUACAGGUACUUAAUAAGUUUUAGCUUUGCAUUUGCAUAUACAUAAACGUUGAGCAAUAUCAAUGUACUCAAAUUUAAGAAAAGAAUAUUAAAACAGCCUAUUAGAUCAUGCAAGCUUAUAUUUAGUUUUAUGGUAAAACUCAAAUUAGCACAGCACUUAAAGGAUUUUGGAGGGUUCUAGAAUAAAAUUCUAGAUUUUCUUUCAUUAUACAAGUACAGAUACAAAUACGUAGGAAAAGAAACACAUGAUAUAUAAUAAUACGAUCAACUAAAUUACUUAUUUGAAAUAAAUUGAAAAAAUUUUCUAUAAUAAUCUCGGUAGUCAAGGCAUAUAUGGAUAGGUUAGUUUGUAGGAAUUAUUAUUGCUUUCUCCAACAUUAAUGAUAUUUCUGUGAAUCCACUCUCUAAAAUUGACAGGAUCAAUGGUUUUCAGGUCCAAUAAAUUUGUACUUAAUCUAUCUCAUUUUAUUGUCCUUGUUUGACUUUCAGGGAGUUUAAUUUUUUAUUUUUUAUUUUAUAGUAAAAAUGUUUUUUAUAAAAUUAAUAUUCCAUAAUUUUUAAUAUCAAAAAAUAGAAAUUCAUGAAAAAUAAUUUUGAAAUGAAAAAUGGUAUGAUAUUAGGUGUUAAAAAAUGGAAGACAAGACAAGGCAACUACAUUACUGCAGGUUGUGACUAUAACUACCUUAAAUGUAGUAAAACUGUGCAAUGUUUCAUAAAAUAUUCUUUCUUAUAGAUGAAAAAAAUUAAUAGUAAAUAAAAAAAAAGCUGUGGACUUGAAUAAUAUGACCAAUUAAACUAAGUACUUAUUAAUUGAACAUAUGAAUGGUAAAAAUUAGUAGUAAAUUUUUUUUGUAAUGUAUAUGGUGAUUUUAGUAAUUAAGAAAUUACCGAAUGCACUACUGAGUAGAAUUUGUCUUUCAAGCUAUACUAUUUAAUUUCUUAUAUGAUAUUCAAACUAUACUAUUUAAUUCAUACUGUGACAAGUACAUGCUACACUUCUAAUUAUUUGAUAAUAGAUUUUGUGAGAAUCACGAACUUGUUUUUUUUUUGUCCUUUUGAAAGUAAGCAUCCUACUCUUUCAUCAUGUUAUAAAGUUUGUUAGGGGGAAAGAUAUGAUCACUUUUCUUUUGAAAAUACUGUCAUUUAAAUAUAUUAAUGAGUUCCAAUGUACUUUUGUUGAAAAGGAGGAGUUAUCUUAUUAUGAACUUUGUCGAGAAUAUGUUGCUUGAUUGCACUUGUUACAUACAAAUGGCGAAGAAGACAUUUAUCUAUGGAUGACACGAUUGAAGAGUUUCUUCAAAGUCAAAAUAAUUUAAUGCCGAUAAGAUAUUCUUAUCGUGAAAUAAAAAAAAUGAUUAGAAAUUUUCGAGAUAAAUUAGGUGAAGGUGGUUAUGGUUCAGUGUUUAAAGGAAAGCUUCGUAGCGGCCAUCUUGUAGCAAUAAAGUUAUUGGGCAAGUCAAAAGCCAAUGGGCAAGAUUUUAUUAACGAAGUUGCUACAAUUGGGAGAAUUCAUCAUGUUAAUGUGGCAAAACUCAUUGGAUUUUGUGUGGAGGGAUCAAAACAAGCUCUUGUAUAUGACUUUAUGUCAAAUGGAUCUCUAGAUAGGAUCAUAUUUGCAAAAGAGAAUAAAAUCACCUUAAGUUGGCAAAAAAUGUUUGAUAUUGCUCUUGGGGUGGCUCGAGGAGUUGAAUAUUUACAUCAAGGAUGUGACAUGCAAAUUCUACAUUUUGAUAUCAAGCCACACAAUAUUCUUCUAGAUGAGAACUUUGUCCCAAAAGUUUCAGAUUUUGGUCUUGCGAAACUUUAUUCAAUAGAUGAUAGCAUCGUAUCUCUCACUGCAGCACGGGGUACGAUAGGAUACAUUGCUCCUGAAUUGGUCUACAAAAACAUUGGAGGCAUCUCAAAUAAGGCUGAUGUUUAUAGUUUUGGAAUGCUAUUAAUGGAAAUGGUGGGAAAAAGGAAGAAUUUGAAUGCGUUUGCUGAUCACUUGAGUCAAAUAUACUUUCCUUCAUGGAUUUAUGGCCAAUUUCAUCAAGGAGAGGACAUUGAGUUGGGAGAGGUUACAGAUGGUGAAAAGAUAAUUGUGAGGAAGAUGAUAAUAACAGCUUGUUGGUGUAUACAACUGCCACCCAACGACCGUCCCUCAAUGAGCAAAGUCUUGGAGAUGCUUGAAACUGAUGUUGAGCUCCUUCAAAUGCCCCCCAAACCUUUUCAACUUCCUUUUGAAGUAUCAAUUGAGGGUCAUGCUGAUGAGAAUCCAAGUGAGGAUCUAACUUCAUCACUUCUUUCUUCAAAUGAAAUUAGCUUAAAUAUAGCUUAAGUUAUGAAACUUUUCAUUUUAUUACGUUAUCUUUGUACUUUGAUCAUAAGAAAAUAUCAUGUCCCUUUAAAACCUAGAAUUUUGUAUUGUAAUUUCCAAACUUGUUUCUGUACUUUGAGCUGUGUUUCUAUGGGUU
rnacentral:lncRNA from 1 species